rnacentral:lncRNA from 1 species
CGAGAUGAAGGUCCUUAAAUUGGAGAACUGUGACAAGUGUGUAUCUCUGCCAUCGCUUGGCCUGAUGAAUUCACUUAAGCACCUUGCUGUUAAAGGGCUGAAGAAACUAAAAAGCAUAGAGUCUGCGGUCUUUCCAUCAUUGGAGACUCUAAGUUUUGAGAAUUUGCCAGAAUGGCAGCAUUGGAACACCAAUAUCAAAGGAAAUGAGCCUGUUGAAAUAUUUCCUCGUCUCCAAGAACUUUCCAUUGCAGAAUGUCCCCAACUCUCUGGAGAACUGCCUGAGCUCCUGCCUUCUUUGGAGACACUUGUUGUUAGUAAAUGUGGAAAGUUGGUAGUUCCAUUGUCAAGCUAUCCGAUGCUCUGCAGAUUAGAAGUUGAUGAGUGCAAAGAGCUAGUGUGCAGGACUCCAAUUAAUUUUGAGUUGAUAAAGUCUGUGACUAUUUCAAAUAAUUCAUUACUCAUGAAUGGAUGCAAGGAGAUGCUAUGCCAUGGUCAAGCUGGCUCUUCACUGCAGAAACCCAAGACUAUUAUGAAUGUUUUGGAGUUCGGAAAAUUAUUGAAGCCUGGAUUUCAGAUAUUAGAAACUUUGGUAAUUGGCAAUUCUGAACGGCUCAAGUCAUGGAGUACUUUUAUUGAACCAGGGCUACAUUUGCUCGCUUCCCCUGAAGAGGUAGCAAUUGAAGAAAGUUGUGUACGUCUUGUUUUGUUUCCAGAGAUCAAUUUCUUUCCCAGAAAUCUGCGCUCUCUUCGAAUUUGCAACAGCACUGCUUUCAAAUCCUUACCCGAGGAAAUGAUGGAAAACAAUUCACAACUCGAAAGGUUGUAUAUCAGAGAUUGCGACUCUCUAACAUUCAUCGCAAGACGGAGGCUACCAGCAUCUCUUAAAAGGCUUGAGAUAGAAAAUUGUGAGAAAUUGCAACGUCUGUUCGAUGAUGAAGAGGAUGCUUCUUCUUCUUCUCCUUCAUCCUUGUCUUCCCCAGUGAUGCUGCAACACCUGAGAAUAGAGAAUUGCCCAGAGCUCACCAGUUUAUCAUCGGGUGUCCAAUUCCUUGAGGCGCUUGAAUACCUCAAGAUAGAGCAUUGUCCAAAGCUGGAGUCAAUACCGGAUGGCCUGCCCAAUCUUAAAUGUUUACAGAGCAUUUAUAUACGGAAAUGUCCAAGUCUUGUUUCCUUCUUAGAAAGAGGGCUUCCCAACGCCAUUUCAAGUUUUUACAUUUGCAGAUGUGACAAGCUCGAAGCCUUGCCCAAUGAUAUGCACAAACUCAACUCUCUUCGAGAUUUAAGCAUACAUGGGUGUCCAAGUCUUGUUUCCUUCCCAGAAAGAGGGCUUCCCAACGCCAUUUCAAGGGUUUACGUUUGCAGAUGUGAGAAGCUCGAAGCCUUGCCCAAUGAUUUGCACAAACUCAACUCUCUUCGAGGUUUAAGCAUACAGAUGUGUCCAAAUCUUGUAUCGUUUCCAGAAGAAGGUUUUCCUACCAAUCUAACAUCACUUACAAUUAGAUAUUUCAAAAUGUAUAAGACACUCGUCCAGUGGGGGUUGCACAGGCUUACCUCUCUUAAACGCCUCUGGAUUGCUGUACGUGAUGAUGAAGCAGAGUGUUUUCCAGACGAGGAGAUAGGAAUGACGCUGCCCACCUCUCUCACCGCUCUGCACCUUACUGGAUUCGAAAAUUUGAUAUUUCUGUCUUCAAUGGGUUUUCAAAACCUCACCUCUCUUCAAUCUUUGAGGAUCGAGAAUUGCCCGAAUCUCACAUCAUUUCCAGAGGUGGGCCUUCCAUCCUCACUUUUGGAAUUACACAUUAGAGAUUGUCUAAAGCUUAAAAAAGCGUGCAAAAGAGAUCAAGGAAAAGAGUGGCCCAAAAUUGCUCACAUCCCUCGCGUUGAGAUAGACGAUAAAUUCAUAUACGAUCCAGAAGCAGAGUAGAUUCUAUUAUUAAGGUCAGUUGAUUUGUAUUAUCCGCUAUAACAAGCUCCUCCUUUUUUUUUCAAAUAAUAAUUUUGCAGUCACUCAUAUGAUUCCGUUUUCACAAGUCAGAUUGUAUGUUGAGGCUAUUUGCCUUUUAAUUAUAACACUUAUUGGAGUAUAAUAUUUUGGAGCAAGCAUACUUGAAAUUUCUGUCUUCAAUAUUUUGAUGCUUUUUUAAUUUUUGAUCUAGUAAAAAUACAUAGCCUUCACCGGCAGGAUUCUAGUCUUGGCUUUCACCUCUCUAACUCAUCGUCCCCACUGGGAUUCCAGAAAUUGAAAUUUCUGUCUUCAAUGGGUUUUCAAAGCCUCGCCUCUCUUCGAUUUUUAUGGAUCGCUUCGAUUUUUGCACAAAUCUCACAUCAUUUCCCGAGGUCGAGGAAAAGAGCGGCCCAAACUUGCUCGCAUCCCUUGGGUUAUGAUAGAUGGAAAAUUCAUAUACGAUCCAGAGUCAGAGGUGUUGAUUCUCUUAUUAAGGUCAACUGAUUUCUAUUAUCCACUCUGACAAUCUCCUAUUAGUGUUUUUCCUUUUCUUUUUCAAAAUUUUGCAGUUCUGUAUAAUUGAAAAUGCCACUCACUUGUUUCCUUUUUCGCAGGUCAAAUAGUGCGUUGAGGCUAUUUGCUUUCUAUCGGUGUUUGUUAAGGUAAUUAGUGCUCCAUCAUAGGUAUGACUGGAUUUUUUUCACUUCCGUAAAUAUUGCAUUUCUAUCGGUGUUUGACUGGAUUUUUUUCACUUCCGAAAAUAUUGCAUUUUAGACUGGCAAAUUUAGCAGUAAUUUUAAUACAAUUUUGUUGGUGCCUUUUGUUCCAGAAGCUAGAAAAAUGUGUAGUUUUCAGAUAAGGAGGCUUGUCAGUUCUCUAAUAAGAAUCCAAUAAUUUGCUUUUGCACGUCCAUCUAAUUUGUGGAUCCUUGCAUCAGAAUUUGAUCAAUCCAAAAGGAAUUGCUUUUAGACAGAGGAAGAAUAGCAGUACCUAGCCUAUGUCAUAGUGUAUGGAACCGCAAACCUGAAACUAUUAGAUUGAGGUAAAAAAAUCAUUGACCCCCUCACAUGUUAACUUCUUCUAGUUACUUUCGUUGGAAAAAAAAACAUUUAAGGAAUUUGCAAUUUGUUGUUGGUUAUGGUAUCUGAUGUUCUUUUCUGUUUUAGUGUUUGUAGAAUCUACUGUAUUAUGUGUUGGCAGUUGCCGUAUCUGAGGUAACUUGCCUUUAUUUGACAAAGAUUUAGAGAAGCAUCUCAAAACACUUAGUAAACUUGACAAACUUCAAGAUGCACUUGCCCCCACGCCUUAUUCUCCACAACGCAAAACUUGUGAGUACACCUAUGCCUGCAAUUAUUGUGAAGUGUUUUCAAUUUUGAUGCAGAGAAAUGGUUUCUUGAUGCAAAAUAUUAAACUGUUAAGAUUUAUCCUGCAGGCUUGUUAGAUGCUGUAUGCUCGAAAAGCCAACAACAUCCAGAACUAGAACUCCAAGACCAGCUUUGCGUUAAUUCAGUCAACUGUAAUAAUAAUGCAAAUGACACUAUAUCAAGCUGGACUUAGAGACUAGUCAGAUCAAUCAUCCAUUUCAUCAACGGUUAAUGUCAUGAUGGUGGCUAUCAGAGGAAACAAAAGAUGUGUCGGAAUCUAUACGAACAUUGAGAAGCAUGAGAGGAGCUUUGAUUUUGAGUAGGGUCAAUGAACUCAUGUUGGUAAGUGGUAAUUAAAGAAAUUUGUAAGCUUAGUAGAGUUUCAGUAUUUUCUGUUUGGAGUAUAGUUGAUAAGUUGACUCUGUUUAAUAAGCCCGAUUAUAGUAGCUGACUGUAUUAACCUUUUUUUUUUUGGUCUACUGUUGUUUUUGGUUUCGAUUAUUUUUUCAACAUUGGGUUGAUCUGUUGAAGAACAAGCUUGGGUUCGAUUCUGCUUUAACUACAAGGAAGAGCCAGACUUGGAUGCAGGCGUUAAGAUUUUAAUGGGUAAGAACAAAUGAAUGCUUUAACCAUGUUUCUCACUAAUUAAAAUGCACGGAUUGAAGGCAUCUGGGUUGAUCCUGACAAUGUGAUGGAAAUACUUCUCUAUUUUGUUCCUGUGUUCACAUAAUGUUUGUGGGAUAUGCUUCGACGAAGACCAGCAAUGAUGAGCAGACACCUGGUAAUAGGGUUCCUCGAGCAGGUAUAUCUUGUAAGAGUAUGGUAUUCAGGGGAGCAGGAGCAGGAAUAUCCUGCUCAUCCGCGAGCACGUCAUCCACGAGGCCAAUCUCCUGUUGGAAGCAUAAAGCCAUUCCUGCUACAUUCCUGCUAAGGGUUGAGUCGAGGAGACCCGGUCAACGACAGUUGGCGAGGCGUGCUCUCCAGUCCGAGAAUCAAGGCAUGAAGGCCACGCAACCACCCACGACUACGGAAAUGGGGCAUCCACUUUCGAGAGGUGGGAGGAUAACGAGCGCGAAUGGAAGAAGGCCCGAGUUCAGAGAUGGCCUAUAAAAAAGUAGCCAACAAAGGUAAAAGGGUUAGAAUUUUUGACAUUGUAACAGAAAAAAAGAAAGCUCUAAAGAACUGAGACUAAAAAAGAAAAGCCAUAAGAUUUGUGGCUAGUGUUCCCAGAACCUUCAUAUCUAACUUGAGCGUCGGAGGGUUUACGCCGGGAAAACAACCGGCGUACUCUGACCUAGUUCUGUGUACGCAGGAACUUCUGGAGAAGAAGCCUUACGAGGAGAGAUCCUAAUCGAGGUGGAGUUGAUCGAGCAAAGAUCCUGGUCGUAACAAGAGAGCAACCAGAAUCUCGCAUCAACAUUUUGGCGCCAUCUGUGGGGACUUGAUCAAAAAGCUUCUGUUGAUAGCAAGAAGAGGAGUGAAGCAAGUGGAAAAGCAAUGGAGGCAAGAAGAAAUAGUGCACAAUGGGGUGAUAUGAGGCUUAACGAUUCCGUGACGCUGAGGGAGAUAGCCAGUGAAGCACGGGAAAAAGCCAUGUUUGACCGGAUGGAACGGAUGGAAAAGCAGAUGCAGACCCUGACAACCAUCCUACAUGAGCUGCGGAGUGAACGAAGGGGAACCCAGGAGGAAAGGGUGAGAGGUGGUGGAGUGGCACCAGGUCAUGAUAGUACGAGGAGAAGUCAAACCACCGAGAGAUUUGGUGGUGAGAGAGGUAACCUAUCUCUACGGGGAGAAAUUCAUAGAGAGGAAGAGCAAUCCCCGGCAAGACAGAUUUUUGACGAGGACGACGGGGUGGCGAAUGCAGAGGAAACAGAGUUGAGGUAACACUUGCAUGAUGUAGAGCAAGAGCGGGAUCAAGUUGCAGCACGUGACCUUGGUCGUGUAGUGCAGCUGGAGGAGGAAGUGCGCAGACUAGCGCAGAUAAUUGAUGACAUGUAAGGAAGGAGCAGAGCUCCUGGUUGGAGGAUAAUGCUGGACGGAGAAUCACCGCUCGCAGCAGAGAUCAUGAGGGCAGUUAUUCCAAGAGAUUUCCGCCUCCCAGACCUUAGAUAUUCGGGACGAACUGAUCCGCUGGUGCACAUAGAGCGCUUCAACGACAUAACCGGGGUACAAGGAUUAUCUCAAUCCCAAAGGUGCAGGGUGUUCCCACUAUCCCUUGAGGGACGUGCACGCAAGUGGUACAGGAAACUUCCUCGGUGGAGCAUUAAAACCUUCGAGCAGAUGUGACAGGAAUUUGUAGAGCAGUUUCGUGGGGCAAUAGCACCAGAAGAUGACAUGAUGGAGUUGAAAAGCAUGAAGCAGGGGGAACAAGAAACCCUUCGGGAAUUCAUCAAGAGGUUUCAUCGUGCUGUCCUCGAUUUGGGAGCCUUCAACCAUUCUCAGGCAUUAAGGGGAUUGAAAGAAGGGGUGAAGAUAGGAAGGCUGUGGCACAACUUGAGAAGCCCAGUUAUUCAGAUGUAUACAGCCGCAUACGAGCAGGCUAAGAGGGACAUUGAGAUUGAAGAAGAAAAGGCAGCACGGAUUAAGACAGACCAGCUAGAAGGGUUGGGAAAGAAAGAGAAGAAAGCAUUACCAGGGAAUGGGCCGAUCAGGAGGAAGGACCACCAGGCCUCAGGUAGUGGUGCAAGAGGUCGAGUAACCGCUUACCAGCCUCAUCAGAGACCACCACAGUAUUAGCACAGCAGAGCACAACCUCCUCGUUCCCCAGUUAGAGAGCUUUGGAGAAGGCAUGACUCGACAUAUGGUGGUCUUCAUCAACACUCCCACGGUAGUAGAGGGAGCAGACCAGAAGCGCUGCCACCGCCUCUAACUCAGAAUGGAACAAAUAGAGAAAGGGUAGUGCACAUGAUCGACCAGAACCAGGACUAUGGGCAGUAUACUUCCUUGAAGAUGUCCCUGGACGAGGUGUACGAGGCCAUAAAGGACCGGGGAUUGAUGUACCUCCCUGCCCCAAUAACAAAGCUACCCAGCAGGACGGAUAGGGGACGCUAUUGUAAGUUCCAUGGCACUUAUGGCCAUACCACUGCAGAAUGCAGAGAUCUCAAGACCCAAGUUGAAGAUUUGGUGAGAAAUCGGUACCUGGAUGAGUUUAUAGAUGAGACUUUCCCGAUGGUGGCCUCGACAUGUGAAGGGGAGCAGAGUGAUAGAAACUUUAGGCGCGAGCAGCCUGCAGUAAGGGUAAUAGCUGGGGGCCCAACAUUGGCCGGAGAUUUCAACAGAUCGAGGAAGAAUUAUGCUAGAUACGCCAUAACUAGUAAAGAGUUACUCUUCAACACCCCAGCAGCCAAAUGAGUAAGAGUCAGACAAGUGCCAAUCAUGUGGACGGAUGAAGAUGAAGAAGAGAUUCUAUACCCCCACGAGGAUGCUUUAGUCAUCAAGGCUACUGUUGCAAGUAAGAAGUUUGACCGGAUACUGGUUGAUACAGGGAGCUCAGUUGAUGUGUUAUUUAAGUCAACUCUGGAGGAGAUGGGAAUAGCAGGCCGGAAGUUGGAGUACACCAAUACCUCCUUGAAAGGGUUUGGAGGAGGAAAGCUGGUCCCUCUGGGCGUGGUCGAGCUGCCUAUCACGAUUGGGAGCUCCCCGACAAAAAGGACUAUGAUACUGGACUUUGUGGUGGUGGAUGAAGAAUGUCCUUACCAGAUGAUCUUAGGUCGGCCAUUUCUGAGGAUGAGCAAAGCGGUACUGUCCAACCAUUAUCUGGCUCUCAAGUACCGAGUGAAUGUGGUAGUUGGAGUGGUACGAGGAGACCAGAGAAUAGCACGAAGCUGCUACUCCUUGGCAGCAAGGGAAGCAAUGCAAAUAACAUCCCUUGAUACCCGAGUGGAAAACAUGAAUGGCAGACAAGAACCUGUAGAGGAGCUGGAGACAGUAAGCCUGGGACCAGAGAAUCCGGGAAAAACGAUCAGAAUCGAGUCGAGACUUAAGGAAGAGCAGAAGCAGGAGUUGGUGAAAUGCUUACAGGCUCAUGCAGAUGUGUUUGCUUGGACACAUGAAGACAUGCCAGAGAUUGAUCCUGAGGUAGCAUGUCAUAAGCUGGCAAUAAAGAAAGGUGCUCGGGCAGUAAGGCAGAAAAGGAGGUGCUUCAACCAGGAGAGGUAUGAGGCUAUAAAUGGCGAGGUGGAGAAGCUCUUGAUAGCAGGGUUCAUUUGCGAAGUCGAUUAUCCUGAGUGGAUAUCGAAUGUGGUGUUGGUAAAGAAGGCAAAUGGCAAGUGGAGGAUGUGUGUAGAUUUCACAGAUCUCAAUAAGGCGUGCCCGAAAGACAGCUUUCCUUUAUCAAAGAUCGACCAGCUAGUAGAUUCAACGGCUGGACACGGCCUGCUUAGCUUCAUGGACGCGUUUUCGGGAUACAACCAAAUUCCCAUGUAUGAGCAGGAUGAGGAGAGCACGGCUUUUAUUACUAACCAGGGUUUAUUUUGUUACAGGGUAAUGCCAUUUGGUCUUAAAAAUACUGGGGCCACGUACCAGAGGCUGGUGAAUAAAGUCUUUAAGCCAUUGAUUAGGAGAACCAUGGAGGUGUACGUGGACGACAUGAUAACCAAGUUGAACAUCCCGAAGGAACAUGUCAGAUACCUCGAGGAGACAUUCGGGCUUUUGAGGAAGUAUAAGAUGAAGCUCAACCCGGAAAAGUGUGCUUUUGGGGUCGAGUCAGGGAAAUUCCUUGGAUUCAUGGUGAGCCAUAGGGGGAUCGAAGCAAAUCCCGAGAAGAUCCACGCGAUCGUGUAAAUGAGGUCACCUCGUAGCCUGAAGGAGAUGCAGAGCCUCACGGGGAGGUUGGCGGCAUUGAGCCGAUUCAUAUCCAAGGCUACUGAUAAGUGUCAGCCAUUCUUUCAAGUGAUAAGGAGGGGAAAGAAAAUAGAAUGGACCCCAGAAUGUGAAGAAGCCUUCCAGAACUUGAAGCAGUACUUGCAGCAAGCACCUCUACUGUCCACACCGAGGGAUGGGGACAAGUUAUUUUUGUAUUUGGCGGUAUUAGAUCGGGCCGCAAGUUUUGUUCUGGUGAGAGAGGAAGAAGGGGUUCAGUAUCCGAUAUACUACACCAGCAAGGCUCUGCUCGACCCUGAGACCAGAUACCCACCGUUGGAGAAAUGGGCAUUUGCCCUUGUGGUUGCUGCUCAGAAGCUGAGGCCAUACUUUCAAGCAUUCCCAGUCUCGGUAAUAACAAACCAGCCAUUGCGUCAAACUCUGCACAAGCCAGAUGCUUCUGGUCGGCUCGUCAAGUGGACUAUAGAGCUGAGCGAGUUCGACAUAGACUACAAACCCCGAGCAGCGAUAAAGGCUCAGGCGAUGGCCGAUUUCAUAGCAGAAUUCACAGAGCCCGAAAUAUGUUUGGACCAGCGAGAUGUAGCUACAGACAGCAACGAAGCCCGAGUAUGGCAGAUGUCUGUAGAUGGAUCAUCCGGGGAGUAGGGAUCAGGAGCAGGAAUUGUUUUGGAAGGCCCAGAAGGGGAGGAGAUCUCUUAUGCUGUAAAGUUAGAAUUCGCAGCCACAAAUAACCAAGCAGAGUACGAAGCCUUGAUAGCAGGUUUGGAAUUGGCUAAGGCAGUGAAAGCGGAUAGAGUGAAGAUCAGAACUGAUUCCCAGCUGGUCGCAAAUCAUGUCAGUGAAAGAUUUCAACCGAGAGAGGAGAAGAUGGAGCAGUACCUGAAGAUAGUCAGGCAUAUGAUGGGGAAAUUUGAAGCGGUUUAGGUGAUACAAAUCCCCAGGGAGCAGAAUAGUCGAGCAGAUAUUUUGACGAGGAUGGCAGCGGUAGCAGACCCAAAAAUGCCAAAGUCGAUCCCUCUGGAGGUGAAGUCCAGCCCGAGCAUCGAGCAUAAUUUGGGGGUGCUGCGGAUAGAACAAAAAUGCUCGUGGAUGGACCCGAUAAUUUCAUACCUUAGAGACGGGGUAUUACCACCAGAGAAGCUGCGAGCUCGGAAGAUUAGAGCCCAGGCCUCGAGAUACACGAUGAUUGACGGGGUAUUAUAUCGGCGAGGAUAUACGCUACCUUUCCUUCGGUGUUUGGAUGAGGACGACGCGGACUACGUACUGAGAGAAGUACAUGAAGGAAUUUGCGAAAAUCACUAUGGUGGGAGGUCCCUGGCUCACAAGGUUCUAAGGCAGGGAUAUUUCUGGCCGACAAUGCACCAGGAUGCGCAAGAGAAGACCAGGAGCUGUGUAAGCUGCCAGAGUUUUGUGAGUUUCUCUAACCAACCACCAGAGAAGCUCACCUCUAUGGCCCCCCCCUGGCCAUUUGCUCAAUGGGGAAUUGAUCUGAUCGGCCCGUUGCCAAAGGGAUGAGGAGCAGCAACACAUGCAAUAGUUGCGAUAGACUACUUCACGAAGUGGAUAGAGGUAGAAGCCCUUAGUAGGAUCACAGAGAAGAAAACAACAGACUUUGUAUGGAGAAACCUGGUCUGUCGAUACGGGAUCCCUUAUGCCUUGGUAACGGAUAAUGGCAGGCAGUUUGAUAAUCACAGCUUCAGGGAUUUCUGCCAGAACCUCGAGAUAGAGUUGAAGUAUUGCUCGCCUGCUCACCCUCAAUCUAAUGGACAAGUAGAAGCAGCCAACAAGACCAUCAAGAGGCUUUUGAAAACCAGGCUUGGAGCAAAAAAGGGUGCAUGGGUUGAUGAGCUGUCAGGUGUCCUAUGGGUAUACAAGACAACCCACAAAACAGCAACUGGGGAGACACCGUUCGCCUUGGCUUUCGAACAUGAAGCGGUCGUACCAGCCGAGAUAGGAACGACCACGCACCGGACAGAUCAUUUCAAUGAGCAGGAGAACGACGAGCAGAUGUGUUUGAAUCUAGAUCUGCUAAUGGAAAAGAGGGAGCAAGCAGCCGAGCGAUCAACCAUUUGCCAGCAGAGGGUUGCUCGGUAUUAUAACCAGAAGGUGAAUGUACGGCAGUUCAAGGUCGGAGAUUGGGUGUUAAGAAGAGUGAAUCAGAAUACGAAAGACUCGGCUCAGGGAGUACUUGGACCAAAUUGGGAGGGGCCAUAUAGGGUCAAGCAGCUAGUUGGACCCGGAGCUUACAAGCUGGUUCGCUCGGAUGGCCACGAGGUGAAACGCCCAUGGAACGCAACACACCUCAGGAAAUAUUUCCAGUAAGAAUUGUCCAUGUUUUCAAGUUAUUUCUGUUCGUGUUUGUUGUUAUUUAUUUUAUGUCAAAACAAUUUCAUGUAAGUUGAAUCCUGCAAUUAAUGAAACGUCGAGGAAUUUCAUUCACUUGAAACUGUGAAAAAUCUACUAAGGCAUGCUAAGGCUCACUGAGUCUCAAAGCCUGUUUAUGGAAAGACCAGAAGCCAAGUGUGCCAGGAUCUGCUCGACCACGCGAAGGCCAGCAGAAUCCCAAAUCAUUGAAGAAUCUACCAAGGCAUGCAAAGGCUCGUCAAGUCUCAAAGCCUGUUUAUGGCGAGACCAGAAGCCAAGUGUGCCAGGAUCUGCUCAACCACGCGAAGGCGAGCAGAAUCCCAAUCAUUGAAGAAUCUACCAAGGCAUGCAAAGGCUCGUCAAGUCUCAAAGCCUGUUUAUGGCGAGACCAGAAGCCAAGUGUGCUAGGAUCUGCUCAACCACGCGAAGGCGAGCAGAAUCCCAAUCAUUGAAGAAUCUACUAAGGCAUGCUAAGGCUCACCGAGUCUCAAAGUCUGUUUAUGGCGAGACCAGAAGCCAAGUGUGCUAGGAUCUGCUCGACCACACGAAGGCGAGCAGAAUCCUAAAUCAUUGAAGAAUCUACCAAGGCAUGCAAAGGCUCGUCAAGUCUCAAAGCCUGUUUAUGGCGAGACCAGAAGCCAAGCAUGCCGGGAUCUGCUCGGCCAAGUAAAGGCCAGCAGACUCCCCAACAUCAAAAAAUUAUCCAAGGCAUGCAAAGGCUCGUCAAGUCUCAAAGCCUGUUUAUGGCGAUACCGGAAGCCAAGCAUGCCGGGAUCUGCUCGACCAAGUGAAGGCUAGCAGACUCCCCAACACUGGGAAAAUUAUCUAAGGCAUGAGAAAGCUCGUCAACUCUCAAGGCCUCCUCUGUGACGAGGUCAGAAGCCAAAUGGAUAAAUAAAUUAAAAUUCCAAUGCGAGGAAGCAAAUAAGAACAAUUUUAUUAAGCUCUUAAAAGUCUGCAAUUCUGUUACAUACAACGCUAAAAAAGCAAUUACAACGCAAGACAAGUUCAGGAGGACGGCGGAUCAGUAAACCGAGUAGCUUCGGUUGGCUGGUCCACUUCAGGGGUCGAGGGGGUGUCACCAGUUGCGUCCGGGGGGGUACUCGCCUCACCAACGUUAGCAGGGACUGCAUGAGGAGGAGAGUUUUCCUCCUCAACCACGAUUGGCUCCACCCCUUCGGCAUCCUCCUUUGCCGCCUCCUCGUCCAUGUGUUGAACAAUACUAGCCGCAAGGUCAUCCAUCUUCAGAUCAGGAUGCUGCUUCCCGAGGACGGCCAUGAUGCAACGAUAGGAAUGCCGAAGUCCCUGGUCGUACUGGUUGUCGGCUUCCUUCUCCAAGUUCUUGACCUGAACUCGGUGGGAAUCGCGGAGAGAUUCGAGCUGAGCCUCGUACAUAAUUUUCUGCCUUUGCAGAUCCUCCUUGACCUUAGUCAGCUCUUCCUCGAGAGUAACGGCCUAUGCUUGAGCAAGAGAUUCUUGCUCUAUCAGCUUCAGAUUCUCGAGAUUCAAGUCUCCCGCUUUCUUCUCGGCAGCAUCGGCUCUGGUCGUCGCCGAUUGAAUGUCCUCCUUCAUCUUCCGGUCGUAACGGCCAACCUUGGCCUUAUAGUAAGUGGUCAUGCAGCUGAGGUGGAAAGCGCUAUACUGCAUGGCCCCCACCAGCUCACCUAGGGUGCAGCCAUCAAAGUCCUCCAGGUCCUUCUUGCUCACGAGUUUAAAUAGCUCAUUGAGAUAGGGGACCAAGUGUUCUGCUCGGUGGUCAGAUAAACGAGAUCUAGGCCCGACAGGAGGAGAAGAGAAAGCAGGAUCAGUGGCAGCUCCACUAGUCUCUCUGACUUUGGCAGGAGGAGGAGGAGGUAGAGUCUGCAAGGGAGCAACCUGUUGCACGAUGUUCACCUGCUUUGCAGUAGGAGCAUCUUUAUUCUGGUCCUGCUUGGUCGUUGGAGGUCGAGAACGUUUCCUAGUCAGAGCCCCAAUCACAGCAUCCUCCAUCUUAUGGCCGGGAGGCACCAAACAAGACUCGAGCAGGUUAUAAGUAGUUAUCAGCUCUCGGCUCGAGCAGGAAUUGGCUAGUACAGCCUCGACCCGUUUGAGCUGGUCAGGUUUGAGCGGGAAGUAAACACCCCAAGAACCUGCAACACAAAUAGACACUUGGUUAGAGACAAACCAGUAUAGCGAGAACAAUUAUGGAUACAAGACAUCUAAAGCGAGCAGGCAACCUGAGAUCACGAAACGGGGUGGGACGCAAGAAUCCUUCCCGUCAAUUUGUGCAACUUGACCCCAGGAACCCCCAGCAAAAAAGAAUUUUUUCUUCCAAUUCCCACCACCACCAGUAAGAAGAUCGGUUAUGGGUUUCCUGGUCUUGGUACUAGAUUGGAAGUAGUACCAGCCGGCAUCUUUGGGGCUGCUCUUUAGCUGGUACAGGUGCUUCACCUCAUCAACUGUGGGCUUGCUUUGGCAACAUCUGUCCCACAAUAUGAACAGACCAGAGAGUACUUUCCACCCGUUGGGGUUCAGCUGACCAGGAGCUAGAUUUAGCCCGUUAAGCAUCCGGGCAAAGUAGGGUUGCAAGGGACACCUCAGCCCAUACUUAAAGCUCUCUAGAAACAGGGUAACGUAUCCCCUAGGAGGCCGGCUAGGGGUAUCCUUCUUUCCUGGGAUCUUAAGAGGUAUUUCACCAGGAAUACUAUACUUAAGCCGGAGGUCAGUGAGCUCGUCAAACGUGGUCGUGCACGUCAUGUAAUCAAUAGCGUAAUCCCGCGAUAGGGCUCUACCUCCUACUGUACUCUGCCCUUCUGGUCGCGAUGUUCAUAAUGGGGACACCUCACCAGAAUCACCUCUUCGAUCCUCACUCAGGGUGUUUUCCGAGCCAGAAAACCCCUCCUCACCGCUAUUUCUGCUCGAGGAGGUUGUUUGGGGGGACAUCCUCCUAGCGCUAGUACCAACACUAGGUCUAAUGGGUUCUAAGGGGAUCCCGGGGUCAAAAGCAGGAUCGGUGAGCAGACUAGGCAGGAAGUCCAACUCAUUGUCAUCAACCUCAAUGACCUUCUCUUUACCUUUCGACAUUCCCUAAGCUAUAACUAGAACACCACCACCAACUACUACCCAAGCAAAGCAAAGAGAAAAGAAAUUAUCUACAGCUAUCCGAGACUGAGGAGAUAGAAGUAAUACCUGAAAUAGUGGUUCAGUCGGAGAAGGACAGGGAUGGAGGCCUUUAUGCCGGAACUUCUUUGCCAGGGAGACAGGGACAGAGACGGGGUAAAUGACGAAUUUUCCUUUGGAGAGGUUUUAGGUUUUCCUAAUGGAGAAUAAACUCUUGGGUUGCCAGCAUUUAACAGCACCAAAUCCCGAGGGUCUCGUAACCGUUGGUUUGAAAUUCAAAUAGAGAGGUAGAUUUCUGUCACAUCACCUCGUCCGCAAUUAAAUGCGACACAACUCUUGGCAGCCUUUUUCCUAUCCCGCGCAAGCAAGAGCUGUCAAGUUUCUACUAUCGGCUUACUACGUUACCCAACACCAGAAACUGGGGGAUCGGUGUUUGUGGGAUAUGCUUCGACGAAGACCAGCAAUGAUGAGCAGACAUCUGGUAAUAGGGUUCCUCGAGCAGGUAUAUCUUGUAAGAGUCUAGUAUCCGGGGGAGCAGGAGCAGGAAUAUCCUGCUCAUCCGCGAGCACGUCAUCCACGAGGCCAAUCUCCUGUUGGAAGCAUAAAGUCAUUCAUGCUACAUUCCUGCUAAGGGUUGAGUCGAGGAGACCCGGUCAACGACAGUUGGCGAGAUGUGCUCUCCAGUCCGAGAAUCAAGGCACGAAGGCCACGCAACCACCCACGACUACGGAAAUGGGGCAUCCACUUUCGAGAGGUGGGAGGAUAACAAGCGCGAAUGGAGGGAAGGCCCGAGUUUAGAGGUGGCCUAUAAAAAGGUAGCCAACGAAGGUAAAAGGGUUAGAAUUUUUGACAUUGUAACAGAAAAAAAGAAAGCUCUAAAGAACUGAGACUAAAAAAGAAAAGCCAUAAGAUUUGUGGUUAGCGUUCCCAGAACCUUCAUAUCUGACUAGAGCGUCGGAGGGUUUACGCCGGGAAAAGAACCGGCAUACUCUGACCUGCUUCUGUAUACGCAGGAACUUCUGGAGAAGAAGCCUUACAAGGAGAGAUCCUGAUCGAGGUGGAGUUGAUCGAGCAGAGAUCCUGGUCGUAACAAGAGAGCAACCAGAAUCUCACAUCAACACAUAAUAUAAUAUAUAUAUAUAUAUAUAGAAAGCUGAAUUUAUUUAUUUACGCGCAUGUGCUAGUGCCCACUGGCAUCCACUUGAUUUGUAUCGGUUAAAUGUAUCAUACAAUACAAUAUUAGCUUGACUGUAGAAAAGAGGAGAACGAGUUGGUGUUGGUCUGAACUCUUAUCUUUGAAUCUCACGUGACUCCACUACUUUUUACUUGUUCUGUAGUCCAUUGUCGGCAGCUCAUACAAGGUCUUUUAGCUUUUUAAAAAGUUUUAGCUUUUUGGAUAAAUUACUGAUAAUUGUAAUCUAUAAAUAAUGAAAGGAAUUAAUUAAAUAUUUGGUAAAUUUUAUUUUUUAAAGUGUUAUGAGUUUUAAAAACGGUUGUAUGUAUAUAAAUUUAUUUACACAUAUAUUUAUAAAUAUGACUAUAUAAUAAUAUUUUAUGUGUACAUAUAAUAAUUGAUAACUAAAAUAAAUAUUUUUAUUUUAUUAAUGGUUUUUUCGUCUCAAUGUAGUUGGUAAUAAUAAUCUCUUGAGAUGUAACGAUUUUAUUUCCUAACUGAAUAAGGAAAAUUUUAGAUUUUUAUAAUAAAUGUUAAGAUAUAUUUAGAAUUACAUUAAGUAUGAAAUAAUCCUCAAAAUUAGAUUUUGAAAAGCAAUUCUUUUCUUGCCUUUAAAAAUAUGUCAUAUGAUGAGAUGAUUUUACUAAAAGUGAUUUUUUUUUAAAAAAUUACUAAACAUCAAAAUUAACUCUUAACUUUUUAAAAUCAUUUCUAAUCUUCUCAUCCUAAGUUCUCUAUUAUUUUGUACAAAAUCCAAGGUUUUGACUUUAAUAAAAUGCCCACUCAAAAAGAAAUUAUUUUCUAAUUAAGAUUUGUUGUUAAUGUAUAACUCGAAGUAAUAUUAGAUAUUUGUAAUUUUAUUUCAAAAAAUUUAUUCAAAUGAUAUGGCAAGCAAUGAACAAUAGUUGAUAGCAAUUUUUUUUUCUUUAACAAUGUUCAAAUCAAUCAGUUGCAUUAUCUCACCAUUUUUAUGAUGCCAUGUUAUUUUAAACGAUUUUUUUUUUAUAUAAAACAUACGACGUGUUAACAUCAUUUGCAUAACUUGACCUUUUUUUUUUUCCCUACAAAUAGUAAGUCAAAUUUACUCACCCUAUUUCUACCUAAAAUCUACCUAAAACUCAUGCAUCACUGCAAAACAAAUCCAAAGAUUGCGGUGCGUUUUUCUUGGUCAGAAAUCAAUAAUUAGGUCAAGUACUACUACUAAGCGUGCACAAUUAAUUCUAAAAUACGGUGAUCAAAAUCAUACUUUACGCAAGAGGAUCAGGGCUAAACUUCAAUUAGGCAUUAUUCAUCCAAAAAUCAUUGACUCGGCAUUCUUUGCAAGUUGUAGCAUGGGACAGCUAAGAUAAUUAGCAAAUGAUAUGGACCAUAUGCACCAAUACAUUUGUGACAUGUGAAUCUUGGCAUUAAAGGAAAGGCAAUGUGUCAAAAUUUAAUAGAGCCCAACUCUUCAUUGAAUGAUUAUCAGAUCCAAUACGCAUCCUUUGAUUGGAUUAUUUUAAGUCAAUUAUUGGUGGAUUGGGGCCCACUUGACUCUACCAAAUCGGGCUCGACCAUAUCACCUAUUAACGGCCACCUGUCCUUAUCAUAAAUAGCAAAUGUCACUUGUUUUAUUUUCUAUUUUACCAAAGUAAAGUCACUACGAACGCAAAAGAAAGUGACCUCAAUUUUGGGGGUCAUGAACUUUGGAUUAUUAUGGACACAAGAGACAAGCGCAAUGUUUCUCAUUUAUCACUGGAUAAGAUUUAAGUUAUCAACCCAAUAUUAAUAAAUUCUGCUUGAAAAGUAAAGUUUGAAGCUUCAUUUUGCGAAUAUUCAAUGGUUAACAUUUAAGUAAUUAACCUGAUAUUAAUCCAAUUAAACUUUUUAUGUAAUCCAAGUCAAAAAUAUAUUGAUAAACCUAAACUAAUCUAAUUGGACAUAUUAUUUCAACUUGAAAAGGUGAAUUUAUCAUUUUUCAAUUAAUUUUGAAUCAAGCUAUGUAAAAUAUAAGCUUAUUAAAGACAUAUUUGAAAAUUUCAAAUUGAAUUAUUUGACAAUUACAUUUCAACUAAGUUGUACUGCUAAUUAACUUCCUCAACUUAAAAUGUAUUUUUCUCAAUUAAUUCGUAACAAAGAAUGUUAGAUGUUUUGUUCGAAUGAUAACAUUCAACAUCCUUAUUCUUUAUGAUUAUUGCAUAAAAACAUAUUUUAUCCAUUUACGUCACAUAUGUUCCUAAAUUGUAUAAGAAAAUCACCAAAUUUACUCUUGUAAGUUACUAUAUCAAUGAACAUGAAACUAACUAAUCAUUAAAGUCUCGGAAUGACAUCAUGAGGGGGAUUCCGUUACAUUUAUUGAUAGGAUUAGAUAUAUGUCUUCCCAAAUAUUAGUAGGAGUAAUUAAACAGAUGCAGCUAUUAAAAAUAUGGAAUUACUUAUCUCGUCAAUAACUAACGAUAUUUUUUAUCUAUGCUCGAUAGGCGUCUGAGCUAUAUUAUAAAUUGUAAUAUUUGUAGAUUGUAACAAUUAUAAAAAAAAAAAAAAAAAGCUCCCUAAGACUAAACGACAACAGGACUGUUUUGAAAUAGAUAGAUAAAGUAUGCCCUUAUUUGAGAAAAGGUAAAACACUAGGGAUCUAAAUGUUAUUAUAAUCCCAUGCACAAAAAUGCUAGAAAAAACUAAUAACAACUAACCGAAAAUCCCAGGCGUCAUAUUCCUUUUUACCGCGUUUUAAAAUGCACAACAAUGAUAUUCUCACAAAAGUGGGUACAAAGGUUUGUACAACCAGGGUCUCUUUGUAAAUUAUUUCAAAGUUUUGUGUUAUUUUUUAAAUUUAUGAUUUUUAUUAAUUUUGAUUCAUUGGAGCAUUUCUCCUUCCAUCUCUUCUACAUCUAUUUUUAAAGUUUUUUAAAAUUUUGACUAUAUCUUUAUAGAGUUCUAAAUGAUUAUCUUUUUUCAUAAAAAUCUAUACUUAAAUUAAUCCUUGAAUUUAUAAUCAUUUAUCUUCUUUGAGUCAUAGACCAAAUUUUUUCUUCUAACAUAUCUAUGUAUACUCCUAAGCUAUCUUCAUGGCUUAGAUACAUUCUAUCAAAGCUUUCACAUAUAAAUUGUGAUUUGAGAUCUGCAUCUUGAAUCAACAUCUCUAUAUUAUCCAUUGUUUUACGCUCGAGGGUAGUUAAAAUUGAUUCUAUUAAUGCUAUCGUGUUUCUCCUUCAAAAGAAUCAAAUAUUUCUGGAUUAUUAAUUUCUUUUAUUUCUUCAUACAAGCAUUCGUUUGCCGUUAAUCUUGUUUUAAUCAAGGAAGCUGUAUAAGCAACUUGAUAUUCUUGACAAAAGUCUAAAUGAUCUAUUGCAUCUAGAAAUUUAUUAAUAGAUCUUUCCAUUUUUAAGAAAUUGAGUUACUCUUAUCACUUCCAAUCUUUUAACAUCUCAGAAAACAAACAAGGCCCAGCAUGCUUCCGUUUGUAGCUCAAAUAAAAGAAGAGUUCAGAUCACUAACCAAUGUACUAUCUCUCGGAAGUCUGAGAUAGACUCACUAAUUGCCUCUAACCAUAGAGAGGUCCAUGGUCAGCACCACCAUAGCUCCACACAUCAUACAAGAUCACUUCAACGACUGUUCCACAUGGCCUAAUGCAACACACAGCAGACUGGCCUAAUAGGAUAUGUCUAAGUGAUUUUCUUGCAGUUGUCUCUGGAAGAGUGCUUAGUAAUAGAAAAUCUUCUUCGUUUAGUACAAGUAUUGGUAUGUAAGGUUCUUGAUUAAUUUUCAAAAGAUGUAUAAGUGUUAGAGUGCAAUUUAUGCACUAGUUUUGCAUUAUUUACUUCCCUUAAUAUCAAUGUUUUGCACUUAAUAAUAGUGAUUUACUUGUGUUUUACUUUUGUAGGUCCAAUUCUAUUGAUUGAUGAUAAAAUUGAGCUAUAAGAUGAUGUUUAAGGAUGAUUGUUCUCUUGGAGAAAUUAUGAGCGUCAGAAGAACUUUGUUGAUAAGGCGUGGGCGCGUGCUGUCAAUUGCGGACCUGCAGUUUUUAGUUUAACGUGUUUUGUAUUUUUGGUUAUUUUUGUAAUUACGAAUUUAAUAUUUCAGAUAUUAAGAUUUUAUUUUAAAUAGAAUUCUAAAAGAGAAGAGAGAGAGAGUAUUUAAGGGAGGAAUCUAUUGUGAAAAAGGGGGAUUUUGGAUUGGAGAAAGAAAGAAACCCUAGAUCUAAUUUUUCUCUUCUCUCUAUGAAGAACUAAACUUAUUUUUCUAGUUGAAGGUUAACGAAGCUUUGAUUCAUCACUACUGUGAGAUCUUUCUUAUGCUUUAAUUGUUUUAUUACUUUUUGGAUAUUUGUUUAUUCUCUGAAUUUUUUUCAUGAUUAUGUUUGUUAAUUAGGUAAUUGGCCACUAUUUAAUUAUCAACUUAAUCUAUUGUCAAUUAAAGGAUUCAUCGUAUGAAGAAUUUAAUAUUUGUGACAAAUAACAUAGCAGAGAGUUGUGUUGUGAGAAUAAACAAUCUAAUUUAAAUGAAUCAUCAUAUGUGUUGAUUAGGAUUUGGGUCUCUCUGGUUUUUCAGGCUGUCAAUGAAUUAAAUCCUAUGAUCGUAUCUAGGGUUGUCCAUUGAUUAGGGAAAUAACCAACGGUCGUACCUUGGUUAUCGACUAGUAAAGGAGAGAUUGGCUAUUAGAGGGUCUCAAUAGCUAUAACCGGUCUAUUCAUAAGUAAUAAUAAUCUAUAUUUGAAUCAAUGAUCAGUAGUAGAAUCAAGCUGAGUUAAUUCCUUCAACCAGAGCUUUCUCCAAUUUGAAUUACAACUUUAAUUUGCAUUCUUGUUAUUUUGAUUUGAUUUUUAUUAUUGUCAACAAUUCCCCCAUUUUACGUUUUACGUUUCAAAAGGAUUUAAAUAAUUACCGAUCUCUGUGGACACGACCCUGCUCAAUCACUAUACACAAUUUAUUUAGAGUAGGAAUUUAUUUUUGUUCGCUUCGACACCACUGCUGCCUCGCCAACUAUUCCUUCUACAUCCGCACCACCUUUGAGCAUUCAGUUAGAGAAAAUAGAGCACAAGCUGAACAAGAUGGAGCAGAAUUUGGCCGCAUACUUCGAGAGUGUGGGUUUUACCCCACCAUUUCCGCCAAGCCCAUAGACGUUAUGUGGAUCAAAGCUCACAAUUCAGGGAAGUUUCUUUUUGCCCUUAAUCUUUUAUCCUUACGCUUUAAUUUUUAUGUGAGCUUUAAUUAUCUUACAUUGGGGACAAUGUAAGUUCUUGGUGUGGGGGAGGGAUUUUUGCAUUAUUGAUGUCUGGAAGUAUUAUUUUCACUCUACUCAUCUAUUUUCAUUCUACUCGUCCUUAAAUGAUUUUGGAGUUAGUAUGCUUCAUAUAUUAUUAUUUUUCUUUUCUUUUCUUUCUCACUACUUUUUUCCCAUCUAUCUCAAAUUAUUUACAUCUAUUUUUAUUCUAUCAUACUCUUUCAUCACUCACAUUUUAUCUUUCACUUUUCAUAUUACUACAUACAUCUUUCUCACUUCUUAUCAUUUUUACCUUUCCUUCACUCAUACCUUCUUCUCAUUCUACACCACUAUUGAUGGUUGAUUCAUUUGAAGAGUGUACAUGAUUUGAUGGCAAAUUUACCAACUUUGUGAGGAUUUGAGCCUAUGAGCAACCACUUUGCUCUAAUUAUUUUUAUUAUGUGAAUAUCAAUCUUAGUUUGUUUAUUCUAGAACUUGCUUUGUUAUGCAUGUUGAAGCCACAUUACGGGAUUUUUUGCAUUAAAAUGAUAAGGGCAAACCAUUUACCAUUUUUCUAUUCUCGCAUUUUCUUUUUUUUUUCUCUACCCGAAGACCUUGAUUUACUAUCUUUGUUUGAGCCUUAACCAUUACCCAUCUAAUUCUCUCCGUCUACUUAACCAUUUUUCUUCUUUUUUAGCCUCAAUUUAAGGAGAUUUUUGGACUCAUUGUGUGGAUAUAUUUUGUAUAUAUUUUGUUGCUUUUUCUACCUUGUAUUAAAGUUUCUCAAUUAGAUCAACAAGCAUUAUGCUUGAAUUAAAUUGUGCAAGGUUCAUUUCUUUUGUUUGAUUCAAAAAAAAAAAAGAAAGAAAAAGAAAAGGAAAAAGAAAAAAAAAGAAAAAAAAAGAAAAAUCGAAAAAAAAAGAAAAAGAAGAAAAAAAAAUGUUUACAUUCUUGGUGACUUGAGUAGAAAUAAGCGUUUCGAUAUCAUAAAGUUCGUUCAAUGAGUUCAUUCUUCUCAUUUUGAUCUCUUUUUCUUUCAUAAACCUUUCUUUUUCAUUUAACCCAUUUAACCCCGUUACAACCUUUUAAGACCCUUAGAUUUUUGUAUUUAAUUCAUGUUUUGUGGAUUGAAAUGUGAUAUAUAAGCAAGCUUAUGGUAAUAGCAUUCUUUGAUUUGAUUUGAGUGAAUAAAUGACACCCUAAACACUUUGAGUGCAUGGAGUGAAGUCAAUGAGAGGGCUAUUAAAUCUUGUUGCACUUGAAUUUUGAAUGGAUCUUCUUGGUGGUUGAAUGUUCUUAUUCUAUCUUAUGAGAUUCUAUGCUUUAAAAUCCUUGUCUCUCGAAUGUUGAUCGACUUAAUUUCUUGAGGUAUACUUGCUUAAAAUUGUUUUUGGAUGAGUUGAGAUGAGAAUUGAGUGGAGAUUUGGGAUUAGUCUUGAGUUAUAUGCUUGAGGACAAGCAUCAUCUUGGUGUGGGGGAAUUUGUUAGAGUGCAAUUUAAGCACUAGUUUUGCAUUGUUUACUUCCCUUAAUAUCGAUGUUUUGCACUUAAUAAUAGUGAUUUACUUGUGUUUUACUUUUGUAGGUGCAAUUCUAUUGAUUGGUGAUAAAUUAAGCUACAAGAUGAUAUUUAAUGAUGAUUGUUCUCUUGGAGAAAUUAUGAGCGUCAGAAGAACUUUGUUGAUAAGGUGUGGGCGCGUGCUGUCAACUACGGACCUGCAGUUUUUAGUUUAACGUGUUUUGUAUUUUUGGUUAUUUUUGUAAUUACGAAUUUAAUAUUUCAGAUAUUAGUAUUUUAUUUUAAAUAGAACUCUAAAAGAGAAGAGAGAGAGAGUAUUUAAGGGAGGAAUCUAUUGUGAAAAAGGGGGAUUUUAGAUUGGAGAAAAAGAAAGAAACCCUAGAUCUAAAUUUUUCUCUUCUCUCUAUGAAGAACUAAACCUAUUUUUCUGGUUGAAGGUUAAUGAAGCUUUGAUUCAUCACUACUGUGAGAUCUUUCUUGUGCUUUAAUUGUUUUAUUACUUUUUGGGUAUUUGUUUAUUCUCUGAAUUAUUUUCAUGAUUAUGUUUGUUAAUGAGGUAAUUGGCCACUAUUUAAUUAUCAACUUAAUCUAUUGUCAAUUAAGGGAUUCAUCGUAUGAAGAUUUUAAUGUUUGUGACAAAUAACAUAGCAGUGAGUUGUGUUAUGAGAAUAAAUAAUCUAAUUUAAAUGAAUCAUCAUAUGUGUUGAUUAGGAUUUGGGUCUCUCUGGUUUUUCAUGUAUAAGAUAUCUAGAAGAUGAUAAUUUCACUCAAAAGAGUUUUAUUUAUUUCAUUAUUGAAAUUGUUUACAGAGGAAGGUUACAGAGAAUACAGAGGUAAUUGAAGGUUAGACAUAUGAUAUCUUUCCUUUCUUACAUGCUUUCAUUUAUAUAUCUCUCUAGAGAUAAGAUUAUCUCUUUUACAUAACACAUGUUCGAUCCUUGUGGUGGAAUCUCGAUUUCCUUUUGAUAAGGUGACCCCUUCUUCAUCAUUGAAGCCAGUAGUUGUCUUCUUUUCAUGUUGCCAGACAACCUUUAUCUUGUUCUGGUGAGCUUUUUCUUUUUUGGAAUCUCUCUUUUUGAAUUAUUGAUACUUUUUGGAUAACACCUUUUAUCUUUUUCAGUAGUCCCCGUCACAUGCCAAUUAUCAUAUCUUCAUCUAUAGACAUGUCUUCCCCACUAGAAUCUCCUUUUUUUUUUAAUCCUUCGUAGUAGUAGCCACAUGAUGACUGAUGCUUUAGCACCUUAUAUAUCUCGUGGUGUGUCAGCAAGGUGGAUUCCACGAGAUUUUCGAAUAUGCCCUUUUUCUUUUUUAAUAUGGUAUGUCUGGCUAAAAUAUUUUCUUUUCUACUCAUAGAAAAGAUUAUAUGCUCUUUUGUGGCUUCAUGGAGCCAUAUUUUCUCCUUGUUUAUCCUCUCAAGAGAUUCAUAGAGGACUUUCAUUUCUAUGGCCCUUUUGUUGGUGAGAGCUUUUGGCUCGAAUAAUUCAGGAUCAUAAUCAUUGUAGACUUGAUGUAAAUCAAUGGUUGGACUAACUUUUCUACUGCUAAUUCCAACUUGAAUCAAGUGCUGUGCUGGAUACCACUUGUUACCAUAGUAUUCAGGGCAAGCAGUGAGGAUCUUGACAAAAAUCACUUCUUUUGUUUUAGACAUGAUUUUGAGAUCAUUAAUAGCCUCUGCAACUUUUGUGGGAAGCUCUUUUAUUUCUCUGCAAUCAUCACUUACAUAAACAAGGUUAAGAAAACCAUAUUCAAACAUGUCUUUUAUUAGUUUUAGAUUAGCUCCUGGCACAACGUUUAUCAUUGGAUAUAACCCUAAAUGAUCUAGUAUAAUAGUCUGGCUAGGACGAAUCCCAUAGGCUAUUUUACCAAUUCUUUUAUAAUCAUAAGCGUAGUCGCUUCCUAUUGGUAUUUUAACCAUAGGGACAGAUUGUCUGCUUUUAUCAUAUUGGGGUCUUAGGCUUACUGAAGAUCCCUGAGAUUCUUUUUUCUUUGUACAUUGAUCUUUAAGAUCAUUGAUUGUGAGAUAUCUCUCUGAAUGUGUGACCAUUGAUCUUUAAAAUACCAAUAGGAAGAGUAGUCGCUUCCUAUUGGUAUUUUAACCAUAGGGACAGACUGUCCGCUUUUAUCAUAUUGGGGUCUUAGGCUUACUGAAGAUCCCUGAGAUUCGUCUUUCUUUGUACAUUGAUCUUUAAGAUCAUUGAUUGUGAGAUAUCUCUCUGGAUGUGUGACCUUUAAGCUCUGCGAAGAACUCGAGGCAUUUUGACCCUCAAUUUGAUCUUUAAAAUGGACAUUUUUUUAGCAUAUUGCUAAUAUAUUGUUAUGAAGUUUGGAGUUCUGGAUGAUCUUGCAAACUUUUGUUUGGGCAAAGUUUGCUCAAUUCUUCAUGGGCAUCAUCUAUCAUGGCAAGCCCAUCAUAAAUCAUACUAUUGCCUUUGAGAAGUUAUUCUUGACCUUCAGAGCACAUUAUUAUGCCCUUAAUUAUUUUGGAAAUGCUCUGCUCCAUUGUAUUCUUGGCAAAGAUUAGAUCCUUUAAUAUAUUCAAUUUCAAAAUCAUAUUCAGCAAAAAACUGCUGCCAUCUAAUUAAUGUUUUCUAUUGAGGAAGAUUAGGCAAUUUAUUGAAUAUAAAUCCUUUGACUUGAGUGUUAUCGGAUCUUACCUUAAAUUUCUUUGGUAACAAAAAGAAAGUAAAUUUAGCUAUUCCUUUUUUAAUAGCUAAUAAUUCAUUUUCAUUACUAUGAUAAUUCUUUUCUAUGGGUUUGAAGGUCCCGCUAGAAUAUCUACAAAUUUUUUCUUGAUAUGUUUUUAAGACUGCUCGCCAGUGAUUAUCUGAAGCAGUAGUUUCAAGAAUUAAAUUAUCACUAGAGGUAGGGAAUCCUAACCUUAAGUAAAAAGCCAAAAAAAUUGACUUAUUUUAUUAAGUCAAUUUUUGAAAAUAUAAAUAAUGCAAAAUAUAAGAAUAUCAUCUACAUGAUCUAUCUUAUUAUUUGAAAAUAUAAGAAUAUCAUCUACAUAAAUAAUGCAAAAUUCAUGAAAUUUUUUUAAGAUGCUAAAUAUCUUUUUAUUUAUUAUAGAAGUAAUUAAUGUAUCUUUAUGAGGUAAAAAGUAUCCAUCGAAUUUGGUAUAUUUAUUUAAUUCUUUGUAGUUAAUGACCAUAUGAGCUUUUCCUCGUUUAAUUUCAGCAUGAUUUCUAACUGAUUAGUAUUAAAAAUUGUUUAAUUAUCAAGCGAUAAUAUGUUAUUUUAUGCUUAUGUUAUAAUUUAUAUUUGUGUUUAUGUAAUAUAUUAUGAAUUAUGAAUUAUGUUUUAAAUAUAUUUAAUUUUGUGUAUUUUUAUGUGUUUAUUAGGAAAAUUAUUAAUUUCACGUACUUUGAGGCUCCAAACAGAUAAACGGAGGUCAAAUUUGGAUUCCGGAGGUCCGAAAACCUUAAGAUCAGUCAAGAUCGGCUUAAAAUUGGGCUUGUGUAAAAAAAGUUGACUUUUCCUGUUGACCGAGCACUGAUUGGAUGAUGAAAUGAGCUUACAAUAGAUAUGAGUGCAUGGGAUAACUGGCAAUCUUGACUAAAUCUCAACCGUUCAUGAUUCAAUGGCCAUGAUUGUGCCACGUGGCAAUGGUUGGUGAAGCAAGUUGGAGGAUCCGAAUCUUUGUAUUCGGGUCGACCCGAUCCACCCAUUAACCCGCCAAAUCUCAACCGUUCUUUGGGCAAAUCGGACGAGUCAAAUGAUGCCAUGUGUGAUGUUGACUUUUGAAGUUUGACCAGCCAUUGGAUCUUGAUCUAAGGGUUGUGAGGAGCACAUGCAUGAAGCCUAUGAUGGACCGCAAAGCACUGGAUUAUGAAUUUAUUUUUCUAUAAAUAGGGCCUCAUUUUUAUGUUUUAAUCAUCUCUCUACAACUCUCUUCUUCUCAAAUUCUCUCCAUCUCCUUGUAAUCUUGAUUUCCAUAUGUGUUUUUAAUAUUUUGUAUAAUUAUUUUCAUUAAUAAAAUUAGUUUUAUUUCCAAUUUUAGUUGUUUUUAUUUCUUUUAAUUAUAAGUAAUUCAAUUUUACUACUUCUUUUUAUUUUAAUUAUGCUUAACUAAAUAAUAUUAGUUAGGGGAAGGUGAAACUCUUAAGAAAUAAAUAUGAUUUAAUCAAAUUCUAUGUUUAAUUUUAUAAAUUAAAUUAUUUUCUAUUUAAUUUUAUACAUGUUUUAUAUUUUGAAAAUUUAAUUUAUUGUAGACAAACAAAUGAAUUUGGCACAAUAAAUUCUUAAGAUCUUAAUAUAAGGCAUGGUGAAAUGGUAUUUUGACUUAUUGUAGACAAAUUAAAUUUUGGCACAAUAAAUACUUAAUCCAUCAUAAAAUUAAAGGGAAAAUAAUAAUAAUUUGUAUAAUUAAUCUUUUGAGUAAUAAAUCUAAAACAAAUUGGCAAAAAGAAUUUAUUAAGUUUUAUUUAUUUCUAAGAGUGGAUCCAUAACCCUAACUAGUUCAAUUCCAUAGUUUCAUUUAAAUUAAGUUGUUUAUAUUCAAGUUUUAAUUUCAAUUUUUAGAUAAAAUAAAAUAAACUAAUUAAAUCUUUUCUCUGUGGAUCGACCUCGGACUCACCGAGUUAUAAUACAACAAGACACUCUUAUACUUGGGAGUUAAAAUUUACUUUUAAGUUGUGUCAAGUUUUUGGCGCCGUUGCCGGGGAAAAGUUUUUUAUUUGGUUUGUUUUUCCGUUUUUUAUUUUUCUCUUAUAUGUAAAACUUCGUUUGCCCCCUUUUCCUUUUCUUAAAUUCUCCUUAGUCCCCAUGUCUUUCAUAUUUCUCGUUUCACCCCAACAAUUUCCUUUUCUAGCCCAAUCUUCUGGUAAUUACGUUCGGACCCCAACAUCUUUCAACUGUUUCACUUUCAUCCCAAAUUACUAAUUCUAAACUUCUAAAAAUUACAUUUUGACCAUAAAAUUAAAAAUAAUUUGCAAUAGAAUCCCUAGACGAAAUUCCUCAACAUAAUCAAGACUUGGACAUAUUUGGACAUACUUUGGACAUAUUUGGACAUAUUUGGACUUAUUUUGGACCAAACUAACUUUAACUACUAACUCUAAUUACUAACUCUUAACUUACUAACUGCUAACUGCUAACUGCUAACUUUUAUUUAAUUUCAGUUAUUUAAUUUUCUGCAUUUAUUUUAUUUCGUAUUUAUUUAUUUGUUUUUGCUUUAUUGGUGGGUUUAACCACCAAACUAACUACUAACUCUUAACUUUUAUUUUCAGUUAUUUAAUUUUCAGUAUUUAUUUAAUUUUGUAUUUUUUAUUUUUUUUAAUUGGUGGGUUCAACCACCAUUUUUUUUUAUUUUGCAUUUAUUUAUUUAUUUAUUUUUUACUUUGUUGGUGGGUUCAACCAUCAAAAUUGUUAUUUAAUUUUCUUUUGUAUACUUAUAUUAUUUAUUUAUUUAUUUUUUUAUUUUAUUUUGUUAUCAAUUUGUGUAAAUAUUAUCUUUAUAACAUAACCAUUGCAUGAGACGUUGGUCUCGAUCUUCAAGUGGCAGGUUAAUUCGUAGAUCUCAAUCUCCACCACCAAUCAUGGAUGAGAAUGAAGGCGAAAACGUUUUGGGCGAACUUAAUCCUCAAAUUGAUCAGGGAGACAACCAAUCUCAACAUGGGCAUGAUCAGAAUCAACCAAGGACUCUGAGAGACUACAUGAAUCCAACCAGAACCGGAGCACCGUCGUGUAUAGUAUUUCCUCCAGAAGCAUCUCGAUUCAACUUUAAACCAGGUAUUAUCCAACUUUUACCAACAUUUCAUGGUUUAGAAUCUGAGAAUCCGUACUUGCAUCUAAGAGAUUUUGAGGAAGUUUGUAAUACAUACACGGACCAAAAUUGUAGCAUGAACAUAAUUAGAUUAAAGCUUUUUCCUUUUUCAUUAAAAGAUAAAGCUAAAACUUGGCUACAAAACCUUAGAUCUGGAUCAGUAAGAACUUGGAAUAACAUGCAAGAACAGUUUUUUGAAAAAAUUCUUUCCACCUCAUAGAACAAAUUCUUUUAAAAGGCAAAUCACUUCUUUCACUCAAAAAAAUGGAGAAACAUUAUACCAAUGUUGGGAUAGGUUUACAGAGUUGCUUAACAUAUGCCCACAUCAUGGUUUUGAAACUUGGCGAUUGGUCACUUAUUUCUACGAGGGCUUAAUACCCCAAAGUAGACAGGUUGUUGAAAUGAUGUGUAAUGGUGAAUUUAGGGAUAAAAAUCCUGAAGAUGCACUAGAUUACCUUGACCAAUUAGCUGAAAAUGCACAACAUUGGGAUACUGUUGGAACUUUUGAAUUGACAAAUAAGCAACAAUCAUCUCCAUCUAGUGGAGGAAUCCAUAACCUUAGGGAAGAUCAUGAUUUACAAGCAAAAUUUGCAUCCCUAGUUAGGAAAGUUGAAGCUUUGGAGCAUAAAAAGAGUGAUCAAGUAAAAUCUGUUCAAGAAAUUGCAUGUAACAUAUGUAAUUCGAAUGAUCAUUUCACUCAAGAGUGUCCCACUUUGCCUGCACUUAAAGAAUGUCUAAAUGAUCAAGCUAAUGUCAUUAACACUUUCAAUAAACCAAACCCAUAUUCACAGACUUAUAAUCCUGGUUGGAGAAAUCAUCCGAAUUUCAGUUGGAGGAAUAAUAAUAAUGCACAAUCUUCACAAGCACCACCUCCACAAAAUUUUCAAAAUCCUCAGCCUUAUGCACCAUAUGUUCCACCACCCUGGAAAAAUCUGGAAGACACAAUGCAUUCAUUCAUCAGAAAGCAAGAUGUUAUUAACAAUCAAAAUGCACAAAAUUUUUCUGAUUUGAAAGAUACUCUUGCUAAAAUUGCUUCUGCACUCACCAUUCAAGAAAAAGGAAAAUUUCCAGCCCAACCACAACCAAAUCCUAAAAUUCAACAAAAUCCACCCACAGACCAAGUCAAGUCAGUUAUAACUCUUCGUAGUGGUAAGGUUGUUGAUAGACCUAUGCCUGAACCUUAUGAAAAUGAUGAAAAUUCAAAGGGUAAGGAAGGACUAAAUGAACUUACACCUAGUGAAGAAAUAACUAGUGUUCCACCUGAACCACCAUUUCCGCAUGCAUUGAAUAAACCAAAGAAAUCAAACCACUCUUCUGAAAUUUAUGAAAUCUUUAAGCAAGUGAAAGUUAACAUUCCUCUAUUAGAUGCAAUCAAGCAGGUUCCUUUAUAUGCCAAAUUUUUAAAGGACUUGUGCACUGUUAAGAGGAAAUUGAAGGUAAGAAAGAGUGCUUUCAUGGCCGAACAGGUAAGUACAAUUCUGUCUACUAAUAAUAAGUUGAAAUAUAAAGAUCCUGGUUGUCCUACCAUUUCUUGUAUUAUUGGUAACCACAGAAUUGAGCAUGCUUUACUAGAUCUUGGUGCUAGUGUUAAUUUGCUUCCAUAUUCAGUUUAUCUUCAACUUAAUCUUGGUGAGUUAAAAUCAACUUCAACUACACUUUUGCUUGUCGAUAGAUCAGUUAAAGUACCAAAAGGAAUAGUGGAAGAUGUUUUAGUACAAGUUGAUAAAUUUAUUUAUCCUGUGGAUUUUAUUGUCUUGGAAACUGAACCUGUUGUGAAUAAUUACAAACCAAUUCCUGUAAUUUUAGGUCGACCAUUUUUAGCAACUGCUAAUGCUUUGAUUAAUUGUAGGAAUGGUUUAAUGAAUUUAUCCUUUGGGAAUAUGACUUUGGAAUUGAAUGUUUUCAACAUGUGCAGGCAACCUAAUGAAGAAAAUGAGAAUGAAGAUGAUACUGAUGAACAAAAGGAAUUGUUUGAAUCUUGUAUCGAGGAAAAUAUUCAAAAAGGGGAUUUUUCUGAACUUUCAAAUGUUUGUUUAGUUAAUUCAAUUGAGUCAAAUAAGCAACUUGAACUUGAUAUUUCUAAUAUAAAUUCGUUGCUUGAUUCUGUGCAGACUUCACAAAAUUAUGAUGACGAGCCAAAAUUUGAGGAGCUUGGAAGUAUUGAAAAGACAGAACAACAAGAAGCACCUAAAAUGGAAUUGAAACCUUUGCCUGAAGGAUUGAAAUAUGCUUUUCUUGGAGAAGAACAAACUUAUCCUGUUGUGAUUUCUUCUACUUUAACAAGCGACCAAGAAGGUAAGUUACUUACUGUUCUUAAAAAGCAUAAAAAUGCAAUAGGAUGGACUUUAAAUGACAUUAAAGGCAUUAAUCCCUUAAUCUGCACACAUAGAAUUAAUUUGGAAGAAAAUGCUAAAAUAUGUCAACAACCUCAAAGAAGAUUAAACCCACACAUGAAAGAGGUAGUCAAAACAGAAGUCCUUAAAUUACUUGAUGUGGGAAUUAUCUACCCUGUUUCUGAUAGUAAGUGGGUAAGUCCUACACAAGUAGUGCCUAAAAAAUCUGAAAUCACUGUUGUUAAAAAUGAAAAAGGUGAAUUAAUUCCAACACGAAUUACAUCUAGUUGACGCAUGUGCAUUGAUUAUAGAAAAUUAAAUGAAGCCACUAGAAAAGAUCAUUUUCCAUUACCAUUCCUUGACCAAAUCUUAGAAAGAGUAGCAGGACAUCCCUACUACUGUUUUUUAGAUGGAUAUUCAGGUUAUUAUCAAAUUCCUAUAGCACUUGAGGACCAAGAAAAGACCACAUUCACAUGUCCUUUUGGAACAUUUGCAUUUAAAAGAAUGCCAUUCGGGCUUUGUAAUGCUCCUGCAACAUUUCAAAGAUGUAUGUUAAGCAUUUUUUGUGAUAUGGUUGAACAUUGUUUAGAGGUCUUUAUGGAUGAUUUGACUGUGUUUGGGAAUUCUUUUGAUGAUUGCCUUGAUAAUUUGGAGAAAGUUUUAAAAAGAUGUGUUGAAAAAGAACUCGUGUUGAAUUGGGAAAAAUGUCACUACAUGGUUACUUCUGGAAUUGUUUUGGGUCAUGUUGUUUCUAUUAAAGGAAUUGAAGUUGACAAAGCAAAAAUCGAAGUCAUAUCUAAAUUGCCACAACCAAAAACAGUUAGAGAUGUGCGAUCCUUUUUAGGACAUGCAGGAUUUUAUAGGAGGUUUAUAAAAAACUUUAGUGCCAUAUCUAAACCACUUUGUAACCUCUUAUUAAAAGAUGCACCGUUUGAAUGGAAUGAUGAUUGCCAAAAAUCUUUUGAAAAAAUAAUUUGUCUUUUAACAUCUGCACCUAUUAUGCAAUCUCCUGAUUGGUCUUUGCCAUUUGAAUUAAUGUGUGAUGCAAGUGAUUUUGCUGUUGGUGCUGUUUUAGGACAAAGAAGGGAUGGUAAGCCUUUUGUGAUUUAUUAUGCGAGUAAGACUUUAGAUAGUGCUCAAAUGAAUUAUUCUACAACUGAAAAAGAAUUACUUGCUGUGGUAUUUGCAUUAAACAAAUUCCGUUCAUAUUUGCUUGGCUCCAAAUCUGUUGUGUUUACUGACCACGCUGCUGUGAGAUAUUUGAUGAGUAAACAGGAUGCCAAACCGAGGAUAAUUCGUUGGAUUUUGUUACUACAAGAAUUUGACCUUACCAUCAAAGAUAAAAAGGGUGCUGAAAAUGUUGUUGCGGAUCAUCUAUCAAGACUCACAUCCGAAUUCUGCAAUGAUAUAACACCCAUAAAUGAUUCUUUCCCUGAUGAAUUUUUAUUUUCUGUUACUUCAAUGCCAUGGUAUGCUAACAUUGUUAAUUUCCUUGUUACAGGUAAAAUGCCUUUGCAAUGGAAUGCUCAAGAGAAGAAGAAAUUUUUUGUUGAAGUAAAGAAAUUUUAUUGGGAUGACCCUUAUUUGUUCAAAUAUUGCCCAGAUCAAAUUUUUCGGCGAUGUAUUCCUCAUAAUGAGGUAAGUAGUGUCAUUAAUUUUUGUCAUUCUGAAGCAUGUGGUGGUCAUUUUUCUUCAAGAAAAACUAUUGCUAAAAUUUUACAGUGUGGAUUUUAUUGGCCUACCAUGUUUAAAGACACAUAUGAAUUCUGCAAAAGUUGUGAAAAAUGUCAAAAAUUGGGAUCAAUUACAAAAAGAAACAUGAUGCCCUUAAAUCCCAUACUUGAAAUUGAAAUAUUUGACUGUUGGGGAAUUGAUUUCAUGGGUCCAUUUCCAUCAUCUUUUGGAUUUGUGUAUAUAUUAGUUGCAGUUGAUUAUGUCUCAAAAUGGAUUGAAGCAAUUUCUUGUCGAAAUAAUGACAGUAAAACUGUGAUUAAAUUUUUAAGAGAAAACAUUUUAAGUCGAUUUGGAAUCCCUCGAGCCAUUAUCAGUGAUGGAGGUAAGCAUUUUUGUAAUAAGUCAUUUGAGUCUUUAAUGAAGAAAUAUGGAAUUACACAUAAAAUUGCUACCCCUUAUCAUCCUCAAACAAAUGGUCAAGUUGAAUUAGCAAAUAGGGAGAUAAAACAAAUUUUGGAAAAAACGGUUAACCCAAACCGAAAAGAUUGGUCUCUUAGACUUAAUGAUGCACUUUGGGCUUACCGCACUGCAUUUAAAACAUCAUUAGGAAUGUCACCCUAUCGGUUAAUUUAUGGUAAACCUUGUCAUUUACCUGUUGAACUUGAACAUAAAUCACUUUGGGCUAUUAAAGCUUUUAAUUCAAAUUUGGAUGAUGCUGGUAAUGUGCGAAAAUUGCAAUUGAAUGAACUUGAGGAAUUAAGGAAUGAUGCAUAUGAAAAUUCAAGAAUUAUUAAGGCAAGAACAAAAGAAGAUUAAACCCACACAUGAAAGAGGUAGUCAAAACAGAAGUCCUUAAAUUACUUGAUGUGGGAAUUAUCUACCCUAUUUCUGAUAGUAAGUGGGUAAGUCCUACACAAGUAGUGCCUAAAAAAUCUGAAAUCACUGUUGUUAAAAAUGAAAAAGGUGAAUUAAUUCCAACACGAAUUACAUCUAGUUGACGCAUGUGCAUUGAUUAUAGAAAAUUAAAUGAAGCCACUAGAAAAGAUCAUUUUCCAUUACCAUUCCUUGACCAAAUCUUAGAAAGAGUAGCAGGACAUCCCUACUACUGUUUUUUAGAUGGAUAUUCAGGUUAUUAUCAAAUUCCUAUAGCACUUGAGGACCAAGAAAAGACCACAUUCACAUGUCCUUUUGGAACAUUUGCAUUUAAAAGAAUGCCAUUCGGGCUUUGUAAUGCUCCUGCAACAUUUCAAAGAUGUAUGUUAAGCAUUUUUUGUGAUAUGGUUGAACAUUGUUUAGAGGUCUUUAUGGAUGAUUUGACUGUGUUUGGGAAUUCUUUUGAUGAUUGCCUUGAUAAUUUGGAGAAAGUUUUAAAAAGAUGUGUUGAAAAAGAACUCGUGUUGAAUUGGGAAAAAUGUCACUACAUGGUUACUUCUGGAAUUGUUUUGGGUCAUGUUGUUUCUAUUAAAGGAAUUGAAGUUGACAAAGCAAAAAUCGAAGUCAUAUCUAAAUUGCCACAACCAAAAACGGUUAGAGAUGUGCGAUCCUUUUUAGGACAUGCAGGAUUUUAUAGGAGGUUUAUAAAAAACUUUAGUGCCAUAUCUAAACCACUUUGUAACCUCUUAUUAAAAGAUGCACCGUUUGAAUGGAAUGAUGAUUGCCAAAAAUCUUUUGAAAAAAUAAUUUGUCUUUUAACAUCUGCACCUAUUAUGCAAUCUCCUGAUUGGUCUUUGCCAUUUGAAUUAAUGUGUGAUGCAAGUGAUUUUGCUGUUGGUGCUGUUUUAGGACAAAGAAGGGAUGGUAAGCCUUUUGUGAUUUAUUAUGCGAGUAAGACUUUAGAUAGUGCUCAAAUGAAUUAUUCUACAACUGAAAAAGAAUUACUUGCUGUGGUAUUUGCAUUAAACAAAUUCCGUUCAUAUUUGCUUGGCUCCAAAUCUGUUGUGUUUACUGACCACGCUGCUGUGAGAUAUUUGAUGAGUAAACAGGAUGCCAAACCGAGGAUAAUUCGUUGGAUUUUGUUACUACAAGAAUUUGACCUUACCAUCAAAGAUAAAAAGGGUGCUGAAAAUGUUGUUGCGGAUCAUCUAUCAAGACUCACAUCCGAAUUCUGCAAUGAUAUAACACCCAUAAAUGAUUCUUUCCCUGAUGAAUUUUUAUUUUCUGUUACUUCAAUGCCAUGGUAUGCUAACAUUGUUAAUUUCCUUGUUACAGGUAAAAUGCCUUUGCAAUGGAAUGCUCAAGAGAAGAAGAAAUUUUUUGUUGAAGUAAAGAAAUUUUAUUGGGAUGACCCUUAUUUGUUCAAAUAUUGCCCAGAUCAAAUUUUUCGGCGAUGUAUUCCUCAUAAUGAGGUAAGUAGUGUCAUUAAUUUUUGUCAUUCUGAAGCAUGUGGUGGUCAUUUUUCUUCAAGAAAAACUAUUGCUAAAAUUUUACAGUGUGGAUUUUAUUGGCCUACCAUGUUUAAAGACACAUAUGAAUUCUGCAAAAGUUGUGAAAAAUGUCAAAAAUUGGGAUCAAUUACAAAAAGAAACAUGAUGCCCUUAAAUCCCAUACUUGAAAUUGAAAUAUUUGACUGUUGGGGAAUUGAUUUCAUGGGUCCAUUUCCAUCAUCUUUUGGAUUUGUGUAUAUAUUAGUUGCAGUUGAUUAUGUCUCAAAAUGGAUUGAAGCAAUUUCUUGUCGAAAUAAUGACAGUAAAACUGUGAUUAAAUUUUUAAGAGAAAACAUUUUAAGUCGAUUUGGAAUCCCUCGAGCCAUUAUCAGUGAUGGAGGUAAGCAUUUUUGUAAUAAGUCAUUUGAGUCUUUAAUGAAGAAAUAUGGAAUUACACAUAAAAUUGCUACCCCUUAUCAUCCUCAAACAAAUGGUCAAGUUGAAUUAGCAAAUAGGGAGAUAAAACAAAUUUUGGAAAAAACGGUUAACCCAAACCGAAAAGAUUGGUCUCUUAGACUUAAUGAUGCACUUUGGGCUUACCGCACUGCAUUUAAAACAUCAUUAGGAAUGUCACCCUAUCGGUUAAUUUAUGGUAAACCUUGUCAUUUACCUGUUGAACUUGAACAUAAAUCACUUUGGGCUAUUAAAGCUUUUAAUUCAAAUUUGGAUGAUGCUGGUAAUGUGCGAAAAUUGCAAUUGAAUGAACUUGAGGAAUUAAGGAAUGAUGCAUAUGAAAAUUCAAGAAUUAUUAAGGCAAGAACAAAAGCAUUUCAUGAUAAAAGAAUUUUUCGAAAAACAUUUGAGAUUGGUCAAAAAGUGUUGCUUUAUAAUUCUCGUCUUCAUUUAUUUCCAGGAAAGUUAAAGUCAAAAUAGAGUGGCCCAUUUGUUGUAAAAAAUGUAUAUUCAUAUGGGGCCAUAGAAAUUGAGAAUCCAAAUAACGGUGUCACAUUUAAAGUUAAUGGUCAAAGAUUAAAACCAUAUCUGGAACAUCACCCACGUGACGAGGACACCGAAAUUAAUUUGGAUGACCCACCAGUUCUUGAUUAAGUCUUUAAUGAUUUUUUUUUUUUUUACUAUUAUUUUACCGUUUCAUUGUUUGAUUUUUUUUCUUUAGAUUGAUGCACUGUACAUAGUUUUUUUUUAACAUUGUUUUUCUUGUGUAAGCGUGUUUGUUUGACAGUUGUACAUUCUCUCAUCAAUUUUCAUUUUACAUCAUGAGCACCUCAAUGAGAAAAUACCUAUUCGCACAUCUUAAAAGAUUUCGGCGUAUAAAAUUUCACUUAAGAGGCCUAAUACAAAGCUGUAAAUCACAUCCACUUUGGGAUCUGCAACCACCAGAAUUCGUGUCCUAUGUUGAGGAUCUAGAAGGACAACUCAGAACAGUAGAGAGUGGCAUAUAUGAAUUUCAAAUAGAGCUUGAGGUUAACUCAAUGAGAGGACGAAUGUAAGUUCAUUUUCCUUUUAUAUUGUGUGCUUUUUUUUUGCUCGCUUUCACGCUUGAUUUGAUUUUGCAGAUUUGAUUUUGGUGUGUUUUGAUUUAUUUUCCCGUAUAAAUGGCGGAUAACGGUACUCCGUGACUUCUUAAGUCGGUAUCUUCAGUUUCCCACAAUAACUGAAACCCCAAAAUCAAACAUGGAAGAAAUACAACAUAAACUCCAUAAGCAUUUUCCCUCUCUCCCUCAGAAUGCCCUCAGGAAAAUUUACAAAGCUCGUUGUGAACGACUGCGUUUGUUAAUGAUCAAUGGCAUUCUUUCUGACAUUCGUUGGUUAAUUGAAGCAAAGGUCUGAUUAGCAGGUGAGUUUUCUAGUCAAUUUGUUUCUUACAUGCCUGGUUUUGGUAAAAGUACGUUUGCUAAGAAAAGGAGAGCUAAACGACUUGGCUCAAAAUGUCAUAACUGUGUAAGACUUGGUUGCAAACGACCGGAUUGUAAAUCUUUAGGAAUGGUUUCUGAUACUCGUGAAGAUAAAAUUAAAUUCGUUAAAGAUGGCAUGAGUAAAGAAUCGUUGGAUGAUAUCUUACGAUCUCUUGAGACGCAUCGAAGCGGAAUUGUGCAAUGUGAGAUUUACAAUUUGUGGAUACUAUUCCAAAAACAAAGUGCACAGUUAAGUCUUGGGAAUCUGACUCAAAAAGACCCUGUUUGCCAGUUUAUAAGAAAACUGGAUGGGAAGCCGAUCCUCGACCCAUAGAGGGCGUUCAAGCCGUUACUGGACGUAAAACCAGAGGAAGAUGUGAGCCACAAUCACAACUACUAGUAAAUAUCCUUUCACUUCACUGUUAUUUUACUUUACUGUUAUUUUAUCAUUUGAAUUAUUGCAUUUAGCGAUGUGAUUUUGUAUUUAUUUGGUUUCUUUUACUGUUUGCUUUUUCUAAUCAUUACUUUUUUUUUUACUAUUUGUUUUUGAAUUAUUGAGCCACGAGCUUUCCUCGUCAUUUGACAAAUAUGCCAACCCAUUUACAGCUGUUUCUCUUUAUUUAUGUCACCAAGAUCUUUAAAUAUGAGCUCGUUUUUCAAACACUCACAACUUGUUUUUGAAAAAUUAGUCCAAUGGCAGCAUCUUCAAGUAAACAAUUCAAAAAUAUUUGUGUGCUUUCUGGGUUUCACUAUGGAAAGUACAAAGAGUUCGUUCAGGUAGCUGUAGAUCUUGGUCGUGUCAUAGCAGAGAGGAAACUGCAUCUUGUAUAUGGAGGAGGUGAACGAGGGUUAUCAAGACUUGUCUCAGAAGCUGUUUUUACCAGAGGAAGCCAAGUACUCGGCAUUAUCCCAAAACCCAUGAAACCGCUAGUGUGCAUGUCUGGCCCACCAAUUGGAGAAGAAUUAGUGGUAUCAAGUAUGCAAGAGAGAAUAUCUGAAAUGAUGAAUCAUGCUGAUGCUUUUAUUUUCUUGCCAGGAGAUCUUGCAACUUUUGAGGCACUAAUUACAUUUGCAUCUUGGGCCCACUUGAACAUUCAUCAAAAGCCCAUCGGUUUGUUAAAUGUUAAUAAUUUUUAUGACGGCUUGCUAACUUUUAUUAAUCAUGCAAUAAAGAAUCAUUUUGUUCCACAUUCUGUAAAAAAACUCUUUAUCUCUGCUUCUACUGCUAAUGAGUUACUUGAUCUUUUACAAGCUUAUACACCAGAGCCAGAUCCACAGACUGUUGCACUGAAUUGGUCGACUAAUGAUGGUAACGGUAACAGUAGCAGUAAUAAGAAGUGCGAUUUAGAUUUAACUCUCCGUUUGUAAAUAUUUGCUGUUGUAGUGUUCAUGUGAUGUCUUCUACACUCUUUCUAUUUCCUUUUAAAACAUUGAGGACAAUGUCUUUUUCAGGUUGGGGGGAGGGAAUAGUUGAUAAUUGUGGAAUGUCUUAGUCCUGGUUAUGUGUUUACAAAAAAAAAAAAAAAAAAAACAAUAACAAAAUUUUUUUUUUCUGUAAAGACUAACUUAGGACAAAUUUGAGUCGAAGAUGGCAGGAUAUAGAGAAUGUAGUCUCUCUAGAAACGCAUCUUCUUAAUCUUAAGGGUGUUGUUAAAAAAAAAAAAAAAUUGACUUUUUCUUCAUCUUUGUUAUCUACUUUUAAGCUUCUGCAUCAAGUUAAGGUGAGAUCUCCUAUUCUUCUUCUUUUAUUAUUCUCUUUUAUUUUUAUUUAUUAUUAUUAUUAUUUUUUUGCAUAUCUGUAAAAUUAUAAAAUGUUAGGAUAAUGUUUAGAUUAGGUUGUGGGGUGGGGAUAAUUGACGUAUGUUUUAAAUAUGUAUGUUGUUUUUUUCUCUUUUCUCUUUUCUUUUCUUUUCUUUGCCAAAAAAAAAAAAAAAUUGUUUUUUGUCUAGGAUGGCCGUGUAAAGAGUCACGACUUUUGAGACGCAUCCUAAUAGUCUUGUUGUAUUAUAUUUUGAUUUUGAGAUUCAUGGUAAGUUGUUUUUGUUCCCUUUUCUUUGAAUUACUCAAAUUUGUGAACUCUCCACUUGGUUAUUAAGUUAUUUAAUUGUUUACUCAUUUAACAGGUAUUAUUGAAUCAUUCUUCACACACACAUUAUGACACAUACUAGUGGGUUGUAAGUUAAAAUUUUACAGCAUUUAGUUCUUUUGAUUUAUUAGGAAAAGUAUCUAAGGUAGUAGAAAGUGUAUAGUUCCAAAAAAAAAAAAAAAAGUAGAAAAAAAAUUGUUUUUAAUUUUUCUAUAUCUAGAACCCGAGUAAUUAAGUCCGUAGGGGUGUUUCAACACCUAGUGCCCUAAGGUCAACUGGUCUGGGAGUCACUGGCCUAAAGCUCACUACAUGGGUAAUAGAUAUAUUGUUUGUUUAUUAGAAACCCGAGUAAUUAAGUCCGUAGGGGUGCUUUAACACCUAGUGCCCUAAGGGCAACUGGUCUGGGAGUCACUGACCCAAAGCUCGCUACACGGGUUAGAAAUGUAAUAUAUAAAAAAAAAAUGUGUGAAUAAUCUAUUGCCUAAAGAUAUAAUUUCUAAUGAAUUUUAGAACGAAAAUGUUGUUUUUCUUUUAAUGAAGCCCCAUAAGUAUUGUGUUAAUUACUUGAGCACAAAAGAAGGUUUGAUGAUAUUCUGGAUAAUGAGUGAACAUCAAUGUGGUAAAGGAAUUUGGGAGAGUUCAUUUAUUUGGUAAUUUAGAGGAUAGAUGAACAACUAUUAACUUGCAUGUGAAUUUUAUAAAUCUUAAUAUAACGCUUUAAUUGCUAGAGGGCUAGCAAUAAGCUGGUUGGGGGGUGUGAUUAGUAUUAAAAAUUGUUUAAUUAUCAAGCGAUAAUAUGUUAUUUUAUGCUUAUGUUAUAAUUUAUAUUUGUGUUUAUGUAAUAUAUUAUGAAUUAUUAAUUAUGUUUUAAAUAUAUUUAAUUUUGUGUAUUUUUAUGUGUUUAUUAGGAAAAUUAUUAAUUUCACGUACUUCGAGGCUCCAAACAGAUAAACGGAGGUCAAAUUUGGAUUCCGGAGGUCCGAAAACCUUAAGAUCAGUCAAGAUCGGCUUAAAAUUGGGCUUGUGUAAAAAAAGUUGACUUUUCCUGUUGACCGAGCACUGAUUGGAUGAUGAAAUGAGCUUACAAUAGAUAUGAGUGCAUGGGAUAACUGGCAAUCUUGACUAAAUCUCAACCGUUCAUGAUUCAAUGGCCAUGAUUGUGCCACGUGGCAAUGGUUGGUGAAGCAAGUUGGAGGAUCCGAAUCUUUGUAUUCGGGUCGACCCGAUCCACCCAUUAACCCGCCAAAUCUCAACCGUUCUUUGGGCAAAUCGGACGAGUCAAAUGAUGCCAUGUGUGAUGUUGACUUUUGAAGUUUGACCAGCCAUUGGAUCUUGAUCUAAGGGUUGUGAGGAGCACAUGCAUGAAGCCUAUGAUGGACCGCAAAGCACUGGAUUAUGAAUUUAUUUUUCUAUAAAUAGGGCCUCAUUUUUAUGUUUUAAUCAUCUCUCUACAACUCUCUUCUUCUCAAAUUCUCUCCAUCUCCUUGUAAUCUUGAUUUCCAGGUGUGUUUUUAAUAUUUUGUAUAAUUAUUUUCAUUAAUAAAAUUAGUUUUAUUUCCAAUUUUAGUUGUUUUUAUUUCUUUUAAUUAUAAGUAAUUCAAUUUUACUACUUCUUUUUAUUUUAAUUAUGCUUAACUAAAUAAUAUUAGUUAGGGGAAGGUGAAACUCUUAAGAAAUAAAUAUGAUUUAAUCAAAUUCUAUGUUUAAUUUUAUAAAUUAAUUUAUUUUCUAUUUAAUUUUAUACAUGUUUUAUAUUUUGAAAAUUUGAUUUAUUGUAGACAAACAAAUGAAUUUGGCACAAUAAAUUCUUAAGAUCUUAAUAUAAGGCAUGGUGAAAUGGUAUUUUGACUUAUUGUAGACAAAUUAAAUUUUGGCACAAUAAAUACUUAAUCCAUCAUAAAAUUAAAGGGAAAAUAAUAAUAAUUUGUAUAAUUAAUCUUUUGAGUAAUAAAUCUAAAACAAAUUGGCAAAAAGAAUUUAUUAAGUUUUAUUUAUUUCUAAGAGUGGAUCCAUAACCCUAACUAGUUCAAUUCCAUAGUUUCAUUUAAAUUAAGUUGUUUAUAUUCAAGUUUUAAUUUCAAUUUUUAGAUAAAAUAAAAUAAACUAAUUAAAUCUUUUCUCUGUGGAUCGACCUCGGACUCACCGAGUUAUAAUACAACAAGACACUCUUAUACUUGGGAGUUAAAAUUUACUUUUAAGUUGUGUCACUAACUAUAAAGGCUGGGUUACUUUGAGGACUUUUAGAUUCUCCAAAAUUUUUAUCAAGUUUUUCUAUUUUUUUUUUCAUAAUCUGAUAUAAUUUGAUUGAUUUUUAUAUUGUAUUCACCACGCUGGCUGCUUCGAAAAUGUAAUUUUCGAGUUGUUUACCUAAUAAGAUUAUAAAUUCUUGGUGUGGUGAUGGAAUGAUUACAUGGUGUUGUAAGAGUAAUUCUUUCGUUAGUCAUUAUAUAAAUGAACUGACAAAGGAAAUUGACUUCUAAAAGUAUAUAUGCUCCUAUAUGAUUAUAAGACCAUAAUAUAUGGAUACUUAAAAUGUAAUCUUCGAUUUGGAUUAAAGUUUUUAUCCUACAUGUUCCUAAAAUGAUUUGUUCACCAUUUAUUCCUUGUCCUGUUAAGGGUUUAUAAUCUUUCGAAUAUGAUUUUGGAUAAAUCCUUAAAUUAGGUAAGCUAACUCCUGAACCAGUGUCUAUUAAAGCAUGAAACCAUUCUGGCUUAUGCUUAUAAUAUGGUUUAAUCACUUUUAUAUAAACUAUAAAAAGAUUAGACAUAUCUUGAUAUGGUUUGCUUAAUUCCUUCAACUGUUAAGCUUAUUUUUCUAUCUCCUAUAGAAUAAGGAGUAAAAUUCUCAAGAAAGUUCAUCCCUAAUAAUAAAGGACUUAUUUAUGUUUCAUAAUCUGGUUCUAUGAAAAAAGAAAAGAUGAAUUCUAUCCCUUUUAUUCUUAAUAGUAUUUCACUAUAUUGACUUAAUGUCUUUCUUUCUCCAUUAAAUCCUACAUAAGUAUGAGGCUCAAUUAAAAUUUUUCUUUCUAAAUAUUUAAUAAUUUUAGAAUCUACAUAAGAUUUUGCAGCUCCUGUAUCAAGGAUAGCAAAAGUCUCGUGCCAUGAUUUUCCAUUAUUAUAUUCAAUCUUAAUUUUUAGAUUUUGAUUAUCCAGUAUUGCUAAAUUUACUGGACUAUUUGUCCUUUCUCGAAAAUGAGCUCUUAUCAUGACUUGAAUUCCUCCGAUAUGAACAUAUCCAAUUUUAAGUCUAUCACUAGAUUUUAUCUCAUUUAUCUUAUCUUUUAUAUCAGUUUUUAAUAAUAAUGGUAUAUUUGUAUUUCCUCUAGCAUACCUAAUUUCAAUAGGUUCUUCUCUUACAGUAGCACUAAGAUACAUUAUAUUUUUUCUUUUAAUCAUGUUAGCAAUGCCUUGUGCUAACUUAUUAACCGAAGUCAUAGAUGAUUCCAAUCCUUUUUUAUUAUUCUUGAGAUAUUGCUUUUUAUCAAAGAUUAAUUCUCUAUUAAAAGAACCUUGUUCUUCUAACUCUUCAUCUUGAUAUAAAUCUUUAUUUUCUAAUUCUUCUAUACUCAUUCUGAAUCAGAUUCUAAAUCAGAACUUCUCAAAGUUUCAUUAGAAAGAUAAUAUAUGCUAUCAUUUUCACUAAUAUCUUUGCUAUCGGUGAUUAAUUCUAAAUCAUUGAAAUCUUCAAAUAUUUUUAUAUUUGCUUUCUUCGUUUUAGGACAUUCAUUUGCAUAAUGUUCUUCUUCAUUACAUAACUAGCACUUGCAUUUUUUAGGUGCAUUGGUUUUGGAUCUUCUUUUAAAUUUAUUUUUCUUGUAGAAUUUCUUUUUAUAUUUAUUUUUCUUGUAAUAUUUCCUGUUGGCUUUAAAGAAUUUCUUCUUUUUGAAUUUUUUUUCUUGUGUUUAUAGAUUUUAUCUGAACAUCCAAAUCUUGGCGGAUCUUCUAAUUUAGAACAACAUAAUUCUCGAUUUUGCCUUUUCAUAAGUCUUCUAUCUCUUAUUUCAGAACACUAUUCAUUUAUUCUAUUUUGAGCAAAUCUAAUCCUAUUUCGUAAUGUAUAAGUUUCUGUAGUAUCUUUGUAUUCUUUGUUAUAUUCCAACAUAAUCCUUCUACCCCAUGGGUCUGGUAUCUUUACAAAAUAUAGAUCAUGGUAAUAGCAUAUGUUAUCCUCAUCUUUAUCAAAUUCACAUUUAUAAUAUAAUUCUUCGAAGCUACAUGUAUAUUCUUCUAAAUAACAUAUAUUACAUAUUUCAAGCCUUGUUAGCUUCAUUAAAUUUUCUAUCUGUUUUCUUUUUAUUUCUUGUUGAAAAUCAGUUUCCCAAUCUUCUCCCAAGAAUUUUUUUCUUAUUUCAUUUUCGAAUCUAUUUAAAACCUGAUCAACACUUUCGUUUCGAUUAUUAUUUUCUCCAUACAAUAUUCUAUUUUUAUGAUUAUCAUUUAAUCCCAUAAACCAAUGAGAAACAAUUCCUAUAAACGAAAUUUUAAGGAAUUCUAUACUAUUAUCCCUAUCAAUUUUGUGAAAUGCAAAAGCCAUUUUCAUAGAUUUAACCCAAGCGGUAAUCGUUUUAUCUCUAUCUUUGAUACAGUCUAAACCUAACCAUACACCAUCAUGGUUGAUUGGUCUUUCUCUAUAUUCUCCUGGAGUUUUAUGAUCUUUUUUAGGUUUGUUAAUCCUAAAAUAUUGACCUUGUGCUCUUUCCUGAGUUGGUAUUUCUUCCCUAACAUAGGAAGCUCUAUUACUAGUUUCUCCUUGUUAAAAACCGUUUAACUUUGGUUCAUUCAUUUUUAGAUGUUCUAUUCUAUUUUCAAUAUCCUGCAAAUUAAUGACUAUAUCAUCUUCUUCUUCGGAUUCAGAUUCUUUAUCAGAUAUCUCUUGAUUAGGUAAUUCUAUGUUUUCACUUAGCAUUCUUAGACUUAUUAAUUUUUUGUCUUUGUUUAUUUUGUUAAAUAUCGGUUUAGAUGUUGUUAUCAUUUCUUUAUCUUUAAGUUCAUUAUAGUAAAUUAUGGUAUCUUGUAAAAUUUUAUUUUGUUUAUUGAUCUUCUGUACUUCAAUCCUUUUGUAAUUUUCCAUUUAUGCUUAUAGCGAAUUUAUUACCAAUUUUUUCAUCGAUUUUUUCAAUUUUUUGUAGUUGAUUUCAAUCUUGUUGAAUUUAUUUUCAAUUGAACUUUUGUUCACAAUAUUAAAGAUUUCUUGUUUUAAUCUAUCUUGAUCUUCAAUAUUAAAGUCUUUUAUUAAUAGCUUAACAAAAUCAAAUUCUUCACUCAUUCGCUAUCCUAUCAUUUUGACUUGUCUUAUAUUUUCGGCAUCAAAGCUUUUAAUCUCAAGUAUCUUAUUUACACUUUCUAUAUCAUCUAUGGUUAAAUUAGGGUUUCCUAAUUUAUUUAAUAAAUAUAAUGAGAUCCAAUUUAAUUGAUUAUUUCCCCACAUAUCAGAAUCAUUUACUAAAUCAAAUGGUUGAAAUCUUCCAUAAGUAAAUCCUCUAUGCCUAUAGCUAGAAGGUGGUAAUAUGUUGGUUUCAAUAUUUCUAUAUACUUCUCUCCUGAUCCUAAAGAGAAGAAUAGGAUCAAUAUUUAAAUUUCUAAUUUUUAUUAUGAUGAGUUCUCCAAUUUUAAAUUCAUGAACUCUAACUAAAUAAAAUUGUAUUAAUUGUUUAUCAUCCAAUAUAUUAACUUCUGAAUAAUAAUAUUGUUUAUGUUUUGUUAUAUUAUCUUUAACUCCACACUUGUUUAAAAUUCAACACACAGAUGUGCCUCUUUCUUACUAUACUGGAAUCCUCGGUAAACUUUUUGUUUGCGCAAUUUAUGUGAGCAAAUUGUGUCUUCUUUUUCAUAUGUAAAUGUUUUUGAUAUCUUGAUGUGAAGGUAGAAAAUUGCAUGUUUUGAGUUUUUGCAUAUUUGAUGGAAACACAGAACUGUACCUGAAUCUUUCAGAACCCCCUUUUCUUUGAAGUUUGAACACUUUUCUUGAAUGUAUCAACUUUAUUUAUGGGAUAUGUUGCCAAAUUGGCAAAUCUAUUCGUUAUAAAACUUUCCUUUGACAGUUUAAUCUAAGCAGAUGUUAAUUAUGCAAAUAGAGUGUGCCUAAGAUUAGUUUCAUAGAUUUGUCUCCUUCUGUACAGUAAAAACUUUGAGCAUUUUCGCCAUAUUCUGAUCAAUACACUCCAACUAGUUAGUUCUUGAGGCGUUUUAUGGUUUCGUGGAGUGAGGCAAGAUGUAUACGUUUGCAAAUUGGCAAUGUCUUUUGCUUGAUGGGUUGAGAGUUGUGAGUGUCAACAGGAAACAAGACCUCUGUUUUAUGAACUCCAAAAAGUUAUUCUGUUAAAAAGAUCGAGACAGAGGCCAUACUAUAUUUAUUAUUGCUAUAAAAGUGUGAAAAAAUAUUCUUUGUUUAAUAUUCUAAACGAUUGAGCCAUUUAGUUAUGAUACUCUGCUGUAUUGGGGCUAAUAAUCUAAGUCGGUUCAAAGUGGUAAAUUUAUAAAUUGAUAGGUAUGCCUGGUAUGACCGCUUACGUUGGAUUUUAUGAGGUCUGCUCUCCUAAGCAAGGAGAGUGUGUCUUCAUAUCCGCAGCAUCUGGUGCAGUUGGACAGCUUGUGGGGCAGUUUGCAAAGUUAUUGGAUUGCUAUGUCGUCGGAAGUGCUGGAAGCAAAGACAAGGUAUGUAAUCUGUGUGAAGUACUUGAUUGUUUCCAUGUUACUUUCAAACAUUUAAAUUAAAAAGGAAAUUUUCAUAAUCUUGCCUUUUCUAUGAUUUUCAAAACCAAGGUUGAUCUACUGAAGAACAAGUUUGGGUUCGACGAGGCAUUUAACUAUAAAGAAGAAGCUGAUUUGAAUGCAGCAUUGAAAAGGUUAGCAUCAAUAAAUGCCUUAGCUUGAUGCAGCUUGAUGAAGUAUGAUACACAUUUCUGACCAAUAUACUGCGUUCCCUGAUCUCUUACUUGAAAUAUCUUGGUUUGAGAAUCUCAUGCCAAUGCCUUUAACAUUUUGGCAGGUACUUUCCUGAAGGAAUUGAUAUAUAUUUUGAAAACGUUGGUGGAAAAUUGCUUGACGCAGUGCUACCCAACAUGAAAAUCCGUGGUCGAAUUGAUGCAUGCGGUAUGAUCUCACAGUACAAUCUUGACAAGCCUGAAGGUGUGCACAACUUGAUGUAUCUUGUUUCGAAACGGCUUCGAAUGGAAGGAUUCAUUGUUCUCGAUCACUAUCACCUCUAUCCAAAGUUUCUGGAAAUGAUCAUUCCUCACAUCAAAGAAGGGAAGCUUGUAUACGUCGAAGACAUGGCUGAAGGUCUUGAGAGUGCUCCGGCAGCUCUCAUCGGUCUAUUCUCUGGCCAGAAUAUUGGGAAACAAGUGGUUGCUGUUGCUCCUUAAUGAAGAACAAGUUAGUGUUGUCUGUCCUUUUACCCUUUGACACAAAACUUCAAUGUUAAAGAGAGAAUGCUGUUCAUAUAUACUGCUUUAUAAAAUAAUCAAGUGAGUGCAAGUUUCAUGAUAUUUGCUGAAUAAAAUAUUGGAAAUUAAGCAGCUAGCCUAGCUCCUUCUUGUAGUUGCAGUUUGAAUGAUGCUGCUGCACAACUGCUGCCGAAAAAAUCCUUAAUAGAUGAUUAGCAAGGUUUCAAAAAUAAAAAUAAAUGUUUGUGCAAUGUGUCGAAUAUGACAGCCACAAAGAAAGAGCACACAAAUUGAUUGGUUUUAUGUCUUCUCUAGGAGAAAGCUACAAUACAAGAAAUUGUACUGAUGGAGCCAUGGACCAAAUUUCUUAUUUAAACUUUUAAUUUUUUUAUUAAAUUACUUAUGUUAUUAUGGUUUAUAAUUUUAGAAAUUCUUUAGAAAUUAAUACAGAACUAGUAGCAAGUUGAGAAAUCUAUUGAAUGGUCAAGAUAUGAUCAUGUUUAUUGAAUUAAAUUGACAAUCAUCAUUUUGAUAAAUUAUUGUCAGGAUGUUUGAUUCAUGACACGUGUAAGCAACUAAAUGUGCUAAAAAAAAGUUAAUGAGUUGGGCGUGUUUGAGUUAAUGAGUUGGGCUUGUUUGAUAUUCAUUUGUUGUAAUUCUUUUAAUAAUUAUUGGGGAAAAAAAGUUAUAAUAAAAAAAAUUAUAAUUAUAAAAUAAAAAUUAAUAAUAUAUAAUAAAUAAGAUUUUAAAUAAUAAUUUUAAUAAAAUAAUAAAUAUAUUAUAAAUUUUUUAUGAUUAAUUUUUAAAUUACAACAAUAAAUAUUUAACAAACACCUUAAUACCACAACUAACACCACAACUUUUGAAUUAUGAUAGUACAAUCUAAAUGCCACAGGCCUUAAAAAAUAAAAUUACAGUCAAGUUUUAAAACUGUUAAUGAUAUUCACAAAGACUCUGGAACAAUAUUACAGAAGGUGCUCGUCGUGUAAGCAACACAUGGGACCCAACCAAUAAAUGUUUCUGAUCCUCAACUUUCCUCAUCACUGUCCCUGGAAACAAUUCUGAUUUUCUUGUCUGAUUAAACAACUGAGAAACAAUGGCGGCCGACCAAGAAGCUGGGAGCAAUAAGCGGGUGAUUCUAAGCAACUAUGUGACAGGUUUUCCAAAAGAAUCAGACAUGAAGAUAACAAGUUGAUCAAUAAAGCUGAAGGUAGCAGAGGGUGUUUGGGAGAAAUACGUCGACGAGACCAGGCAUGGUGAGCAGAUAUCUGAUGGCAGAGUUCUGCGAACCGGUGUGUUCCGUAAAAGCCUGGUGCGCGGGGGAACAGGAGCAGAAGUAUCCUGCUCGUCCACGAGCACGUCAUCCGCGAGGCCAAUUUCCUGUAAGAGGCAUAAGGUCAUUCCGGCUAGAGGUCGAGAGGCGAGGAGACCCGGUCGACGGCAGUUGGCAAGACAUGCUCCCCAGCCCGAGAAUCUAGGCACGACAGCCACGCUUUCCCCAGAACCGUGGCGUAACACGCAAGAUCUCACAGAACCACGACAGCCACGCUUUCCCCAGAACCGUGGCGUAACACGCAAGAUCUCACAGAACCACGACAGCCACGCUUUCCCCAGAACCGUGGCGUAACACGCAAGAUCCCACGUUUGCCCAUAACGCAGCAGUCAGAGUCCCAUACCGUCUCGAAAAAAGCGGAAAACUGGGAUUCAGGGGAAGCCUAUAAAAAGGUAGCCAACGAAGGUAAAAGGGUUAGCAUUUUUGAGAUUAGAAAAGAAAUGAAAAAAGAAGAGAAAACCACGAAAAAGCCAUAAGAUAUGUGGCAAGCGUUCCCCGAACCUUCAUAUCUGACUUGAGCGUCGGAGGGUUUGCGCCGGGAAAACAACCGGCGUACUCUGACUUGUCUGUGUGCGCAGGAACCUCUGGAGAAGAAGCCUCACGUGGAGACCUCCUGGUCGUGAAGAAGUUGAUCGGGCAGAGAUCCUGGUCGUAGAACGAGGAGAACCGGAAUCCCGCAUCAACAUUUUGGCGCCGUCUGUGGGGACCGGAGCAAAAAGCUUCUGUUGAUAGCAAGAAGAGGGGUGAAGCAAGUGAAAAACAAUGGAGACAGGAGGAAGUAGUGCACAAGGGGGUGAUAGGAAGCUUAACGAUUCCGUGACGCUGAGGGAGAUAGUCAGUGAAGCACGGGAAAAAGUCAUGUUCGACCGGAUGGAACGGAUGGAAAAGCAGAUGGAGACCUUGACAACCAUCCUGCAUGAGCUGCGGAGCGAGCGAAGUAUAAUCCAAGAGGGAAGGGUGAGAGGCGGUGGAGUGGCACCAGGUCCCGAUAGUGCGGGGAGAAGUCAAACCACCGGGAGAUUUGGUGGUGAGAGAGGUAACGUACCUCUGCGGGGAGAAUUUCAUAGAGAAAGAGAGCAGUCCCCGGCAAGACAGACUGGCGACGAGGACGACGGGGUGGUGAAUGCAGAGGAAACAGAGUUGAGGCAACACUUGCAUGAUGUAGAGCAAGAGCGGGAUCAAGUUGCAGCACGUGACCCUGGUUGUGCAGUGCAGCUGGAGGAGGAAGUGCGCAGACUAGCACAGAUAAUCGACGACAUGCAAGGAAGGAACAGAGCCCCUGGUUGGAGGAUAAUGCUGGACGGAGAAUCACCGCUCGCAGCAGAGAUCAUGAGGGCAGUUAUUCCGAGAGAUUUCCGCCUCCCAGACCUCAGAUACUCGGGAAGAACUGAUCCGUUGGUGCACAUAGAGCGCUUCAACGACAUAACUGGGGUACAAGGAUUAUCUCAAUCCCAAAGGUGCAGAGUGUUCCCACUAUCCCUUGAGGGACGUGCACGAGAAUGGUACAGGAAACUUCCUCGGGGCAGCAUUAAAACCUUCGAGCAGAUGUGCCAGGAAUUCGCGGAGCAGUUUAGUGGGGCAAUGGCGCCGGAAGAUGACAUGAUGGAGCUGAAAAGCAUGAAACAGGGGGAGCAAGAAACCCUUCGGGAAUUCAUCAAGAGGUUUCAUCGGGCUGUCCUUGACUUGGGAGCCUUCAACCACCCUCAGGCGUUAAGGGGAUUGAAAGAAGGGGUGAAGAUAGGAAGGCUGUGGUACAAUUUGAGAAGCCCAGCUAUUCAAACGUAUGCAGCCGCAUACGAACAGGCUAAGAGAGACAUCGAGAUUGAAGAGGAGAAGGCUGCACGGAUUAAGACAGACCAGUUAGAAGGGUUGGGGAGGAAAGAGAAGAAAGCAUUACCGGGGAAUGGGCCGAUCAGGAGGAGGGACCACCAGGCCUCCGGUAGUGGAGCAGGAGGUCGGGUAGCCGCUUACCAGCCUCAUCAAAGGCCACCACAGUAUCAGCGCAGCAGGGCGCAACCUCCUCGUUCCCCAGCUAGGGAGCCUUGGAGAAGGCAUGAGUCGGCAUCUGGUGGUCUCCAACAACACCCCCACGGUAUCAGAGCGAGCAGACCAGAAGUACUUCCACCGCCCCCAACUCAGAGCGGGGCAAACAGAGAAAGAGCAGUGCACCUGAUCGACCAGAACCCGGACUAUGGGCGGUACACUUCCUUGAAGAUGUCCCUGGAUGAGGUGUACGAGGCCAUAAAGGAUCGAGGGCUGCUGCACCUCCCUACACCAAUAACAAAGCUACCCAACAGGAGGGAUAGAGGACGUUAUUGUAAGUUCCAUGGCACCCAUGGCCAUACCACAGCAGAGUGUAGAGAUCUCAAGACCCAAGUCGAAGAUUUGGUGAGAAAUCGGUACCUGGACGAGUUUAUGGAUGGGACUUUCCCGAUGGGGGCCACAACAGGUGAAGGGGAGCAGAGUGGCGGAAACGUUAGGCGCGAGCAGCCCGCAGUAAGGGUGAUAGCUGGGGGCCCGACAUUGGCCGGAGAUUCCAACAGAUCGAGAAAAAAUUAUGCUAGGUACGCCAUGACCAGUAAAGAGGUACUCCUCAACACCCCAGCAGCCAAACGAGCAAGGGUCAGGCAAGUGCCAAUCAUGUGGACGGAUGAGGAUGAGGAAGGGAUUCUAUACCCCCACGAGGAUGCUUUAGUCAUCAAGGCUACUGUCGCUAGCAAGAAGUUUGACCGGAUACUGAUUGAUACAGGGAGCUCAGUUGAUGUGUUAUUUAAGUCAACCCUGGAAGAGAUGGGAAUAGCCGACCGGAAGUUGGAAUACACCAAUACCUCCUUGAAGGGGUUCGGAGGAGGGAAGCUGGUCCCUCUGGGCGUGGUCGAGCUGCCUAUCACAAUUGGGAGCUCUCCGACAGAAAGAACAAUGAUACUGGACUUUGUCGUAGUGGAUGAGGAAGGUCCUUACCAGAUGAUCCUAGGUCGGCCAUUUUUAAGGAUGAGCAAAGCGGUGUUGUCCAACCAUUAUCUGGCUCUGAAGUACCGGGUGAACGGGGUAGUAGGAGUGGUACGAGGAGACCAGAGGAUCGCAAGAAGCUGCUACUCCUCGGCAGCAAGGGAAGCAAUGCAGAUAACAUCCCUCGAUACCCGAGUGGAAAACAAGAAGGGCAGACAAGAACCUGUAGAGGAUCUGGAAACAGUAAGCCUGGGACCAGAGAACCCGGGAAAGACGAUCAGAAUCGGGUCGAGACUUAAGGGAGAGCAAAAGCAGGAGUUGGUGAAAUGCUUACAGGCUCAUGCUGAUGUGUUUGCUUGGACACAUGAAGACAUGCCAGGAAUUGACCCUGAGGUAGCAUGUCAUAAGCUGGCAAUAAAGAAAAGUGCUCGGGCAGUAAGGCAGAAGAGGAGGUGCUUCAACCAGGAGAGGUAUGAGGCUAUAAAUGGCGAGGUGGAGAAGCUCUUGAGAGCAGGGUUCAUUCGGGAAGUCAGUUACCCUGAGUGGAUAUCGAAUGUGGUGUUGGUAAAGAAGGCAAACGGCAAGUGGAGGAUGUGUGUGGAUUUCACAGACCUCAAUAAGGCGUGCCCAAAAGACAGCUUCCCUUUACCAAAGAUCGAUCAGCUAGUAGAUUCAACGGCUGGACAUGGUCUGCUUAGCUUCAUGGACGCGUUCUCGGGAUACAACCAGAUCCCCAUGUACGAGCAGGAUGAGGAGAGCACGGCUUUCAUCACUAACCAAGGUUUGUUCUGUUACAGGGUAAUGCCAUUCGGUCUCAAAAAUGCCGGGGCCACCUAUCAAAGGCUGGUGAACAAAGUCUUUAAGCCGUUGAUUGGGAAAACCAUGGAGGUGUACGUGGAUGACAUGAUCACCAAGUCCAAAAUCCCGGAGGAACAUGUCAGACACCUCGAGGAGACAUUCGAGCUUUUGAGGAAGUAUAAGAUGAAGCUCAACCCGGAGAAGUGUGCUUUUGGGGUCGAGUCAGGGAAAUUCCUUGGAUUCAUGGUGAGCCAUAGGGGGAUUGAAGCACAUCCCGAGAAAAUCCAGGCGAUUGUGCAAAUGACGUCUCCCCAUAACCUGAAGGAGAUGCAAAGCCUCACGGGGAGGUUGGCGGCGUUGAGCAGAUUCAUAUCCAAGGCUACAGAUAAGUGUAAGCCAUUCUUUCAAGUGAUGAGGAGGGGAAAGAAAACAGAAUGGACCUCAGAAUGCGAGGAAGCCUUCCGGAACUUGAAGCAAUACUUGCAGCAAGCUCCGCUGCUGUCCACACCGAGGGAUGGGGACAAGUUAUAUCUGUAUUUGGCGGUAUCGGAUCGGGCCGUCAGUUCUGUUCUGGUGAGAGAGGAAGAAGGAGUUCAGUAUCCGAUAUAUUACACCAGCAAGGCCCUGCUCGACGCUGAGACCAGAUACCCACCGUUGGAGAAAUGGGCACUUGCCCUUGUGGUUGCUGCUCGGAAGUUGAGGCCAUAUUUUCAAGCAUUCCCGGUCUUGGUAAUAACAAACCAGCCAUUGCGUCAAACUCUGCACAAGCCAGAUGCCUCUGGUCGGCUCGUCAAGUGGGCUGUAGAGCUGAGCGAGUUCGACAUAGACUAUAAACCCCGCGCAGCGAUAAAAGCCCAGGCAAUGGCCGAUUUCGUAGCUGAAUUCACAGAGCCCGAAGUAUGCUUAGAUCAACAAGAUGCAGAUAUAGGCAAUGACGAAACUCAAGUAUGGCAGAUGUCUGUGGAUGGGUCAUCAGGGGAGCGGGGUUCAGGAGCAGGGAUUGUCUUGGAAGGCCCAGAGGGGGAGGAGAUCUCUUAUACUGUAAAAUUGGAAUUUGCAGCCACGAAUAACCAGGCAGAGUAUGAAGCCUUGAUAGCAGGUCUGGAAUUGGCUAAGGCCGUGAAAGCAGACAGAGUUAAGAUCAGAACUGAUUCCCAGCUGGUUGCGAAUCAUGUCAGUGAAAGAUUCCAACCAAGAGAGGAGAAGAUGGGGCAGUACCUGAAGAUAGUCAGGCAGAUGAUGGGGAAGUUCGAAGCAGUGGAGGUGAUACAAAUCCCCAGGGAGCAGAAUAGUCGAGCAGACAUUUUGGCUAGGAUGGCAGCAGUAGCCGACCCAAAAAUGCCAAAGUCGGUCCCUCUGGAGGUGAAGUCCAGCCCAAGUAUCGAUCAGAAUUUGGGGGUGUUGCAGAUAGAACAAAAAUGCUCGUGGAGGGACCCGAUAAUUUCAUACCUUAGAGACGGGGUAUUACCACCAGAUAAGAUGCGAGCUCGCAAGCUUAGAGCCCAGGCCUCGAGAUACACGAUGAUUGAUGGGGUACUGUAUCGGCGAGGAUAUACACUACCGUUCCUUCAGUGUUUGGAUGAGGACGACGCGGAUUACGUACUGAGAGAAGUACACGAAGGAAUUUGCGGAAAUCAUUCUGGCGGGAGGUCCCUGGCCCAUAAGGUUCUAAGGCAGGGAUAUUUCUGGCCGACAAUGCACCAGGAUGCGCAAGAGAAGACCAGGAGUUGUGUAAGCUGCCAGAGUUUUGUAAAUUUCUCUAACCAACCACCAGAGAAGCUCACCUCCAUGACCUCCCCCUGGCCAUUUGCUCAAUGGGGAAUUGAUCUGAUCGGCCCAUUGCCAAAGGCACGGGGAGCAGCAACAUAUGCAAUAGUUGCUAUAGAUUACUUCACGAAGUGGAUAGAGGUAAAAGCCCUUAGCAGGAUCACAGAGAAGAAAACAACAGACUUCGUAUGGAGAAACCUGGUCUGUCGAUACGGGAUCCCUUAUGCCUUGGUAACGGAUAAUGGCAGGCAGUUCGAUAAUCACAGCUUCAGGGAUUUCUGCCAGAACCUCGGGAUAGAGCUGAAGUAUUGCUCGCCUGCUCACCCUCAAUCGAAUGGACAAGUAGAAGCAGCCAACAAGACCAUCAAGAGGCUUUUGAAAACCAGGCUUGGAGCAAAAAAGGGUGCGUGGGUUGACGAGCUGGCAGGUGUGCUAUGGGCAUCCAGAACAACAAAACCGCAACUGGGGAGACACCGUUCGCUUUGGCUUUCGGACAUGAAGCGGUCGUGCCGGCUGAGAUAGGAACGACCACACACCGGACAAAUCAUUUCAAUGAGCAGGAGAACGACGAGCAGAUAUGUUUGAAUCUUGAUCUGCUAACGGAAAGGAGGGAGCAAGCAGCCGAGCGAUCAGUCAUUUACCAAUAGAGGGUUGCUCGGUAUUAUAACCAGAAGGUGAACAUACGGCAAUUCAGGGUCGGAGACUGGGUACUGAGAAGAGUGAAUCAGAGCACCAAAGAUUCGACUCAAGGAGUGCUGGGACCGAAUUGGGAAGGGCCAUAUAGAGUCAAGCAGAUAGCGGGACCCGGAGCUUACAGGCUGGUUCGCACGGACGGCCACGAGGUGAAACGCCCAUGGAACGCAGCACACCUCCGAAAAUACUUCCAGUAAGACUUGUUCACAUGUGAAAACUAUUUUUGCUCAUGUUCAUUACCGUUUAUCUUUCACGCUUAUUGUCCAAACAAUUUCAUGUAAGUCGAAUCCUGCCAUUAAUGGAACGUCGAGGAAUUUCUUUCACUUGAAACCGAGAAAAUUUCCCAAGGCAUGCAAAGGCUCACCAAGUCUCAAAGCCUGUCUUAUGGUGAGACAGAAGCCAAGCAUGCCAGGAUCUGCUCGGCCACGAGAAGGCAAGCAGAAUCCCAAUCCUCGAAGAAUCCAAGGCACGCAAAGGCUCACUAAGUCUCAAAGCCUGUCUUAUGGCGAGACAGAAGCCAAGCAUGCCAGGAUCUGCUCGGCCACGAGAAGGCAAGCAGAAUCCCAAUCCUCGAAGAAUCCAAGGCAUGCAAAGGCUCACCAAGUCUCAAAGCCUGUCUUAUGGCGAGACAGAAGCCAAGCAUGCCAGGAUCUGCUCGGCCACGAGAAGGCAAGCAGAAUCCCAAUCCUCGAAGAAUCCAAGGCACGCAAAGGCUCACCAAGUCUCAAAGCCUGUCUUAUGGCGAGACAGAAGCCAAGCAUGCCAGGAUCUGCUCGGCCACGAGAAGGCAAGCAGAAUCCCAAUCCUCGAAGAAUCCAAGGCAUGCAAAGGCUCACCAAGUCUCAAAGCCUGUCUUAUGGCGAGGCAGAAGCCAAGCAUGCCAGGAUCUGCUCGGCCACGAGAAGGCAAGCAGAAUCCCAAUCCUCGAAGAAUCCAAGGCAUGCAAAGGCUCGACAAAGUCUCAAAGCCUGUUUUAUGGCGAGACAGAAGCCAAGCAUGCCAGGAUCUGCUCGACCACUAGAAGGCGAGCAGACUCCAAAGCAUUCGAAGAAAUGCCCAAGGCAUGCAAAGGCUCGACAAAGUCUCAAAGCCUGUUUUAUGGCAAGGCAGAAGCCAAGCAUACCAGGAUCUGCUCGACCACGAGAAGGCGAGCAGACUCCAAAGCAUUCGAAGAAAUGCCCAAGGCAUGCAAAGGCUCGACAAAGUUUCAAAGCCUGUUUUAUGGCGAGACAGAAGCCAAGCAUGCCAGGAUCUGCUCGACCACGAGAAGGCGAGCAGACUCCAAAGCAUUCGAAGAAAUGCCCAAGGCAUGCAAAGGCUCGACAAAGUCUCAAAGCCUGUUUUAUGGCGAGACAGAAGCCAAGCAUGCCAGGAUCUGCUCGACCACUAGAAGGCGAGCAGACUCCAAAGCAUUCGAAGAAAUGCCCAAGGCAUGCAAAGGCUCGACAAAGUCUCAAAGCCUAUUUUAUGGCGAGGCAGAAGCCAAGCAUGCCAGGAUCUGCUCGACCACUAGAAGGCGAGCAGACUCCAAAGCAUUCGAAGAAAUGCCCAAGGCAUGCAAAGGCUCGACAAAGUCUCAAAGCCUGUUUUAUGGCGAGACAGAAGCCAAGCAUGCCAGGAUCUGCUCGACCACUAGAAGGCGAGCAGACUCCAAAGCAUUCGAAGAAAUGCCCAAGGCAUGCAAAGGCUCGACAAAGUCUCAAAGCCUGUUUUAUGGCGAGGCAGAAGCCAAGCAUGCCAGGAUCUGCUCGACCACUAGAAGGCGAGCAGACUCCAAAGCAUUCGAAGAAAUGCCUAAGGCAUGCAAAGACUCACCAAGUCUCAAAGCCUGUUUUAUGGCGAGACAGAAGCCAAGCGUGCUAGGAUCUGCUCGACCGCGCGAAGGUGAGUCGAAUCCCAGGCAUUGAAGAAUCUCCAAAGGCAUGUGGCAAAACCAUGAGCCAAGCCGGAACCUGCUCGUCUAGACAGAGACAAGCAGAUUCUCAACCGAAAAUUAAUUCAUAAUUACAACACAAGAAAGUAAUCAAAAACCAUUUUUAUUAAUUUGUUAAUAAUUAACAGAGGGGAUAAUCUUUAUGAACAUUGUUCAUUACAAUACAAGAAAUAUAUCAGGAAGAUGGUGGACCAGUAAGCCCGGCAGCAUCGGUUGGCUGGACCUCCUCAGGUGCAGGAGGGGUAUCACCAGUUGCGUCCGGGGGGGUGCUCGCCUCGCCAACAUCAGCAGGGACUGCAUGAGCAGGAGAGUCUUCCUCCUCAAUCACGAUCGGCUCUACCCCAUCGGCAUCUUCCUUGGCCGCCUCCUCGUCCAUAUGUUGAGCAACACCAGCUGCAAGGUCAUCCAUCUUCAGAUCAGGGUGUUGCUUCCCGAGGACGGCCAUGAUGCAACGAUAGGAAUGCCGAAGUCCCUGGUCGUACUGGUUGUCAGCCUCCCUCUCUAAGUUCUCGACCUGAGCUCGGUGGGAGUCGCGGAGAGAUUCGAGCUGAGCCUCAUACAUAGCCUUCUGCCUUUGCAGAUCCUCCUUGACCGUGGUAAGCUCCUCCUCGAGGGAAAUGGCUUUUGCUUGAGCAAGUGAUUCUUGCUCUAUUAGCUUCAGAUUCUCGAGAUUCAGGUCCUUCUUGCUCACGAGUUUAGUUAACUCAUUGAGGUAGGGGACCAGGUGUUCUGCUCGGCUGUCAGGUAAGCGAGAUCGAGGCCCGACAGGAGGAAAAGAGGAAGCAGGAUCUGUGGCUGCUCCACUAGCUUCCCCGACUUUUACAGGAGCAGGAGGUAAAAUCUUCAAGGGUGGGACCUGCUGCAUGAUGUUGGCCCGCUUUGCAGCAGGGGCAUCCUUACUCUGGUCCCUCUUCGUGGUUGGAGGUCGGGAACGUUUUCGGGUCAGAGCCCCAAUCACAGCGUCCUCCAUCCUAUGGCCAGGAAGUAUCAAGCGAGACUCGAGCAAGUUGUAUGUAGUUAGCAGUUCUCGGCUCGAGCAGGAAUUGGCUAGUACAGCCUCGACCCGUUUGAGCUGGUCAGGUUCAAGCGGGAAGUGGACACCCCAAGAAACUACAACACAAACAGACACUUGGUUAGAGACAAGCCAAUAAAGCAAGAACAAUUAUGGAUGCAAGACAUCUAGAGUGAGCAGGCAACCUGGGACCGUGAAACGGGGUGGGACGUGACAAUCCUUCCCGCCUAUUUGUGCAACUUGACCCCAAGGACCCCCAGCAAAAAAGAAUUUCCUCUUCCAAGCCCCACCACCACCGGUUGGAAGAUCGGUUAUGGGUUUCCGGCUCUUGGUGCUAGAUUGGAAGUAGUACCAGCCGGCAUCUUUGGGGCUGCUCUUUAGCUGGUACAAGUGCUUCACCUCAUCAACCGUGGGCUCGCUUUGGCAACAUUUGUCCCACAAUAUGAACAGACCAGAGAGCACUCUCCACCCAUUGGGAUUCAGCUGACCAGGAGCUAGAUUUAGCCCGUUAAGUAUCUGGGCAAAGUAGGGUUGCAAGGGACACCUCAGCCCGUACUUAAAGCUCUCUAGAAACAGGGUAACGUAUCCCCUAGGAGGCCGGCUGGGAGCAUCCUUCUUUCCUGGGACCUUGAGAGGUAUCUCACCAGGAAUGCUAUACCUAAGCCGGAGGUCAUUGAGCUCGUCAAACAAGGUCGUGCACGUCAUGUAAUCAAUGGCAUAAUCGCGCGACAAGGCUCUGCCUCCUACUGUACCCCGUUCCUCUGGUCGUGAUGUUCCAGAUGGAGACACCUCACCAGAGUCACCUUCCCCAUUCUCACUUAAGGUGUCCUCAGAGCCAGAAGGUCUCUCUUCACCAUUGCUUCCACUCGUGGAGGUUGUUUGGGGGGACAUCCUCCUAGCACUAGUCCCGACACUAAACCUAAUGGGUUCUAAGGGGAUCCCGGGGUCAAAAGCAGAAUCAGUGAGCAGACCAGGCAGGAAACUUAGUUCGUCGUCAUCAAUCUCAACGACUUUCUCCUUACCUUUCGACAUUCCCUAAGCCCUAACCACAACACCACCAACUACUACCCAAACAGAAGAGAAGAGAAAUUAUCUACAACUAUCCGAGACCAAGGAGAUAGAAGAAAUACCUGAAGUAAUGGUUCAGUCGGUGAAAGUCAGAGAUGGAGGCCUUUUAUGCCGGAACUUCUUUGCCGGAGAAACAGAGACGGAGACGGAGUGAAUGAUGAAUAUGCCGUUCGAGAGGAUUUGGUUUUCCUAAUGAGGACGGACUCUUGGGUUGCCAGCAUUUAACGGCGCCGAAUCCCGAGGGUCUCAUAACCGUCGGUUUGAAAUUCAAAUGGAGGGGGGGAUUUCUGCCACGUCACCUCGUCCGCAAUUAAAUGCGACAUGACUCUUGGCAGCCUUUUCCAAUCCCACGCGGGCGAGUACUAACGAGUUUCUACUGCUGGUCCACUACAUUACCCAACACCAGAAACUGGGGGACCGGUGUUUGGGAGAAAUACGUCGACGAGACCAGGCAUGGUGAGCAGAUAUCUGAUGGCAGAGUUCUGCGAACCGGUGUGUUCCGUAAAAGCCUGGUGCGCGGGGGAACAGGAGCAGAAGUAUCCUGCUCGUCCACGAGCACGUCAUCCGCGAGGCCAAUUUCCUGUAAGAGGCAUAAGGUCAUUCCGGCUAGAGGUCGAGAGGCGAGGAGACCCGGUCGACGGCAGUUGGCAAGACAUGCUCCCCAGCCCGAGAAUCUAGGCACGACAGCCACGCUUUCCCCAGAACCGUGGCGUAACACGCAAGAUCUCACAGAACCACGACAGCCACGCUUUCCCCAGAACCGUGGCGUAACACGCAAGAUCUCACAGAACCACGACAGCCACGCUUUCCCCAGAACCGUGGCGUAACACGCAAGAUUCCACAUUUGCCCAUAACGCAGCAGUCAGAGUCCCAUACCGUCUCGAAAAAAGUGGAAAACUGGGAUUCAGGGGAAGCCUAUAAAAAGGUAGCCAACGAAGGUAAAAGGGUUAGCAUUUUUGAGAUUAGAAAAGAAAUGAAAAAAGAAGAGAAAACCACGAAAAAGCCAUAAGAUCUGUGGCAAGCGUUCCCCGAACCUUCAUAUCUGACUUGAGCGUCGGAGGGUUUGCGCCGGGAAAACAACCGGCGUACUCUGACUUGUCUGUGUGCGCAGGAACCUCUGGAGAAGAAGCCUCACUUGGAGACCUCCUGGUCGUGAAGAAGUUGAUCGGGCAGAGAUCCUGGUCGUAGAACGAGGAGAACCGGAAUCCCGCAUCAACAGAGGGUUCAAAAGACACGGUGCUUUUGAAGAAUCUUUAUCUUUAUUGUGAUCCUUACAUGCGAGAGCGUAUGAGCAAGCUUGAUAGACCUUCUUUUGUUGAUUCAUUCCAUUCUGGUGAGGUUAGUUCAUCACGACCUCAACUUAGAUUUUGGGAUGGUUUACGAUUCACUCUCAGUUUAUGCAGAAAAACAAUCUAGUUUUAAUUUGGCAGGGUUUUUCCUUCUCUCUCCUUUUCUUCCUUUUCUUCAUUGGUUUCUUCCUCUUUUAUAGCCGCUAUCCCACGUUUUCGUUCAUCCUUCAUCCCCAUUUUUCGGGUAGUGGCAGCCCCUCAUGGGACUCCAACUGCUACAUUAUGGGUAAAUGUGGGACACCGUAUCUCCCUCAAUGGUUUUAGAAAAAGCGCAACUGUCGUGAUUUCGUGAGAUUGUGUUCCCGUUCUUUGGGGAAUGGAUAUCUGCUCGGUAUAUGUCUCUGGUCGGCCUAUAUUUAUAGAAGGCUCAUUAUCAGUAUUCUACUUAUACCAUUCAGCUGAGGUGAUCUACCUCGAAAUGAGAAUGAUAACAUGACUGACCUGAUGCUCUUAUUUACUUAACAGUAAAUUUUCUAUGACCCUACAGGUGACUAAUUAAUGAGAACUUGACAAUGACAAAAGAAAGUGUAUGAGCUUUGCAGGCUGGCAUGCCAAUAUUGACUGUGUGGCACCAUCCACCAUCUGCAAUUGAAUAUCAUUAUUGUUUAAUCAAUGUGGUGGAGUCCACUGGAACCACACCACAUGGUCAGUCUUAUCUCUAUUCCUCAAUUUUCAGUAUUCCAUACAUCAAACCAAUUUCAUGUUUGUUAGCAAUUAUAAUUUCAUUGUUGGUGACGAUUCUGAUUCCUUUUGUUGAGAAUCAAAUAAAACGGCAUUGAAUGAAGCUUUCAAAGACAGAAUCUGCACUUGUCAAAGGGGUAAUCUGCACUUGUCAAAGACAAGAUCCGCGCCGAACGGAUUGACACAUUUCCUUCCGUAUUCACAUAUGUAAUCUUUGAAAAAAUGUAGCCUCUGCAUCUAUAAAUAACUCUCAAUGUAUAAUGCUUUAUUUAAGAAAUGAAAACACGUUUCUUCAUGGUAUCAGAGCCAUGAAUACGCUCAAGUUUCUUCAAGUUCCGCUGCUCUGUUUGUAACAAAAAUAGAGGAAACCAAAUUCCUCCCACAACCAUUUUUCCCACCAUUUUCUUUCUUAAACCCAUUCCUACCAUUACAGAUAUCCAUGCCGAUCAAGAAACAAGCCACCCAUACGUAAAAAACUUGAGUUUACAAAUUUAUCAACAAUCCCAUCAAUUUUCUGAGAGUGUGUUCCUAAAAAACCAAGAACACCAUCAAAUUUCUCAGUUUUCAGUGAGGAAACUGUAAAAAUUUCGCAUUUAAACACAUUCCCACGCGCUCCCACGCGCCACCCGAAGCCACGGCCAGUCAACCACGCGCCUCUGUCAUCAUUCACGCGCUCUCACGCGCUCCAGAGGUUGAAGAAGACGCCAGCCGACAUGUCGUUCUUAUCUCAGAAGUUCAGCAGUCACAAAACGACGUGUCGUUUUUUGUUAUAUUAAAAUCGACAUGUCGUUUUGUAAAUUAGAGAUAAAACGACGUGAUGCUUAGUCUCCAGAAGUGCAGCAGGAUUAAAACGACAUGUCGUUUAUAUUCCACCAUAAUCGACAUGUCGGUUUGGCAAGCAGUGGCCAAACGACCUGGCGUUUUGUUACCUAAAAAGGUUAUUUUUUUUCUUCUUCCAAUCUAGAUGGAAAAAAAAAAAACAAACAAAAAAAAGAAAAAAAAGAAAAAAAAGAAAAAAAAGAGAAAAAAAAAAAAACAAAAAAAAAUGGAGAAAACUCCAACUGAAUCUAGUCCUGUUGUCAUUCAAUCUGUUCAAUCUGAUGGAGUAUUUAAUGCUGGAAUUAUCCUCACUGAGACAAACUACGAUGUUUGGUCUCAAAUAAUGGAGAUGCAUCUUGUAGAAAGAGAAAAACUCUCAUAUAUUCGUAGCAGCACAAAGCCAUUUGAGGAAUCUUCAAAGGAAUAUGAGAAAUGGUAUAGUGAGAACCAAAAAGUAAAAAGAUGGUUACUCAUAUCCAUGUCUCCGGAGAUCAUGAAGCGAUAUUUACGAAUUCCUACAGCCUACGAAAUCUGGGAUGCAUUAUCAAAAGCCUUCUAUGAUGGAAGCGAUGAAUUACAAGUUUUCACUCUAAACCAGAAGGCAUUCUCUACCAAGCAAAAUGGACAACCACUCUCUAAAUUCUAUGGAGAAUUGGUCGAAAUAUUUCGAGAACUUGAUCACCGAGAUAAAGUGGUCAUGAAGGAUCCAGAAGAUAUUGUAAUAUACAGAAGGUCUGUUGAAAGAUUGAGAGUGCACAUUUUUCUUGCUGGGCUAGAUGAAGAAUUUGACCAAGUUCGUGGAGAAAUUCUACGAAAAGACAUUAUCCCAGACUUAGAAGAAUGUUAUUCUUUGAUCCGAAGAGAAGAUAUACGGCAAAGCAAACUAAACAAGAAGGUCGACUCAGAAACGUUUGCAAUGAUAGCACGACAGCAGCCUCAAAGGAAGUUUGUUGACAAGUCAUCACUCCAUUGCACUCAUUGUAGAAAGAAGGGUCAUACGAAAGAACAAUGUUUUGAAAUCAUUGGAUAUCCUGACUGGUGGGAUACUCGAAAGAAGAACACCAAGCAUGGAUCAAAAACUGCAGUAGCUGAAUCCACAUCCACUACAGAUCUUAGAAAAGAAUCUUCAGUGCAAAUCGCAACCUCUGUCAGUCCAGGUAAGGCCCUUAAAACUCUUACACCUGUUAUUAAUAGUACAUGGAUAAUUGAUUCUGGGGCAACUGAUCAUAUGACUUUUGAUUCUCGACAAGUUUCUCAAUUGAAACCAUCUUCACAAAAAUAUAUUUCCACUGCAAAUGGAACCACAACCUCAGUUAUUGGGGAAUGAUCUUUACGACUCACAAAUGAAUUAAAUUUAGACGCUGUGUUAAUUGUUCCAUCUUUAGAUUAUAAUCUUUUAUCUGUGUCUCAAUUAACCACUUACUUAUCAUGUGUUGUAAUUUUUUGGCCUGAUCAUUGUGUGUUUAAGGACAUCCAAACGAAGCAAACGAUUGGUUAUGGUAUUAGACGAGGCAGCUUGUACUACUUGGAGAUGUCAUCAACAAACACUGGAAAGCUAAGCCCCGCACUAGUUGCAGAUAGUUCCAUAAAAAAAGGGAAAUCAGAAAUUUGGUUAUGGCAUAGACGUUUAGGGCAUGUGUCAUUUAGUUACUUAAAAAAAUUAUUUCCUAGUUUGUUUCUGAAAUUUGAUGUUUGUAACUUUAAAUGUGAUGUUUGUGAACUUUCAAAAAGCCAUCGAACUACUUUUCCAUUGUCCUUAAAUAAAAAUCCAGUUCCUUUUAUGGUAGUACAUUCUGAUGUAUGGGGGCCAUCUAAAGUUUCUACAAUUGGAGGUGCUCGUUGGUUUGUUACAUUUAUUGAUGAUUGUAGCAGAAUGACAUGGAUUUUUCUGAUGAAAUCGAAAGACGAAGUAAACUCUUUAUUUCAAAGAUUUCAUAAGAUGGUGACAACUCAAUUUCAGACACAAAUUCGAGUUCUACAUACUGAUAAUGGAGGUGAGUAUAUGAGCACAGCAAUUCAACAGUUUCUGAAAUCACAAGGAUCUGUCCAUCAAACCACUUGUGUGGGGACACCCCAACAAAAUGGCGUUGCUGAACGAAAGAACAGACAUUUACUAGAAGUUGUUCGAGCAUCACUAAUCCAAGCCCACAUGCCAUUAUCUUAUUGGGGAGAAGCAUUGACAUCCGCAGCAUACUUGAUCAAUCGAACACCUUCAAGCUCCCUUGGAUUCCAGACUCCUUUCCAAGUUCUGAAUGAUGCAAUUAUGUCACCAAAUGUGCCGAAUCUGCCCCCACAUGUGUUUGGCUGUGUUGCCUUCGUUCAUUUGCCGCAACAAGACAAAUUAUCUCCUCGAGCACUACGUUGUGUGUUUGUAGGGUAUGCCUUACAUCAAAAGGGAUACCGAUGCUAUCAUCCACCAUCAAGAAAAAUAUACAUCACCAUGGAUGUCGUUUUUCAUGAAGAUAUCAUGUACUACUUGUCAGAGUCUGAAUUUCAGGGGGAGUAUAAUGAAGAGGAAAUUCAUACUCUUACAUAUCUUCCACCUGAAGAAAGUCAAUCUUCCAUUGAGAUAGUAAACCUUCAAGAUACUGGAAAAGCAAAUGGUGAUGAUUCGCAAGCUGAGAUAUGUGAAAACACAUUUGGGGAGCACAAUACUCAGACACAACUGCAAUCGAGAAUGAGUCACAUGAAGAAAUACCUAACCAAUCGUCUGCAGAGGAUGUUCCUACCACAAGUCCAAUCAGAAGAAUUCUUCCCCAGCGUCAAAAUAGAGGUAUCCCUAAACCCACAUAUGAGCCUGACUUCUCUAGUAGAGUCAAAUACCCUAUGAGUCAUUUUGUGUCUAACCAUCGCUUGUCAGAAUCAAAUCAGUCAUUUGUGAAUCAAUUAUCUGCUGUAUCUAUUCCUAACAGUGUGCAGGAAGCUUUAAAAGAUCCAAAGUGGAAAGCGGCUAUGAAUGAUGAAAUGAGAUCUCUUCAGAAAAAUCAAACAUGGGAACUAGUUGAUCUUCCACCAGGAAAGAAACCAAUGGGUUGUCGAUGGAUCUACACUAUAAAAUACAAAGCAGAUGGCUCUAUUGAACGAUACAAAGCAAGACUCGUAGCUAAGGGUUACACCCAAACCUACGGGAUUGAUUAUACUGAUACGUUUGCACCGGUAGCAAAAAUUAAUACUAUUCGUAUCUUAUUAUCAUUAGCAGUCAACUUGGAUUGGCCAGUGCAACAGUUCGAUGUAAAGAAUGCUUUCCUCCAUGGAGACCUGUCUGAAGAAAUUUAUAUGGAUCUGCCACCAGGAUGCAGUGGACCAGAACGACUCAAUCAGAAAGUAUGCAAAUUGAAGAAAUCAUUGUAUGGGUUGAAGCAAUCCCCAAGAGCAUGGUUCGGGAAAUUCACGAAGGCUAUGGUUCGUUUUGGGUAUAACCAAAGCAAUUCAGAUCAUACCUUAUUCAUUAAAAAACGACAAGGUAAAAUCACUGCCCUUAUUGUCUAUGUGGAUGAUAUGGUAGUUACAGGCAACGACGAGGAAGAAACAAAGGCUCUUCAGAAGUACUUGUCAAGAGAGUUUGAGAUGAAGGAUUUAGGUGCCUUAAAAUACUUUCUUGGAAUUGAGGUUUCUCGAUCUAAGGGAGGAAUCUUUCUGUCUCAAAGGAAAUAUGCCUUAGAUCUAUUGCACGAAACGGGAAUGACAGCUUGUCAGCCUAUUGACACCCCAAUAGAAGAAGGACUGAAGUUUUGUAUUACUUCAGACCAAGUUCCAGUAGACAAAGGAAGAUAUCAAAGGCUGAUUGGAAGAUUGAUGUACUUGUCCCACACAAGGCCAGAUCUUGCUUAUGCAUUGAGUGUUGUAAGCCAGUUUAUGCAUAAUCUCGGAGAACAACACAUGAAAGCAGUAAUGCGGAUCCUGAGGUACCUGAAGACAAAUCUAGGAAAAGGAAUCUUAUUUUCCAAAAAUGAAGAUUACAGCAACAUAGAAGUUUAUACUGAUGCAGAUUGGGCCGGGUCAGUUAGUGAUAGACGCUCUACUUCAGGAUACUUUACCUUUGUGGGAGGAAACCUUGUCACAUGGAGAAGCAAGAAACAACAUGUCGUUGCCCGUUCGAGCGCUGAAGCAGAAUAUCGAGGCAUGGCCCUUGGGAUAUGUGAAGGGCUAUGGAUAAGUUUUAUCUUAAACGAUUUGGGCUAUCCAUCACAACAACCAAUACAACUAUACUGUGACAACAAAGCUGCACGAGAUAUUGCUCAUAACCCAGUUCAACACGAUCGAACAAAACAUGUGGAGGUAGAUAGAUUUUUCAUCAAGGAGAAAUUAGAUGAAAAAAUCUUAGAAUUGCCGAAAAUUCGAUCAGAAGAUCAACUUGCAGAUAUUUUAACGAAGGCCAUUUCAAGCAGGGCAUUUACAAAAUUCCUAGACAAGUUGGGUAUGCAAGACAUCUAUGCACCAGCUUGAGGGGGAGUGUUGAGAAUCAAAUAAAACGGCAUUGAAUGAAGCUUUCAAAGACAGAAUCUGCACUUGUCAAAGGGGUAAUCUGCACUUGUCAAAGACAAGAUCCGCGCCGAACGGAUUGACACAUUUCCUUCCGUAUUCACAUAUGUAAUCUUUGAAAAAAUGUAGCUUCUGCAUCUAUAAAUAACUCUCAAUGUAUAAUGCUUUAUUUAAGAAAUGAAAACACGUUUCUUCACCUUUCUUUCUCACAAAACGGAACCAUGGUUGCUAUUGGAGAGAUCUUACUCAACGCCUUCUUUCAGGUGUUGUUUGAUAGGUUGGCUUCUUGUAAUUUUCUCAGCUUUGUGCGUCAACUCCAAGGCGGGGUUGAUUUGGAACUCAAAAAGUGGGAGAAAAAGCUGAAGAUGAUUCAGGCUGUGCUCUACGAUGCAGAGGAGAAGCAACUGAUCGACGAGGCUGUGAAGACGUGGCUGGACGAACUCCAAGACUUGGCUUAUGACGCUGAGGACAUUCUUGAUGAGUUUGCUACUCAAGCUUUGGAAAGCGAGUUGAUGGAGCAAAAUCAGGAUAGCUCUGGCCAGCUUCUUAGUUUCAUCCCAGCUAGUUUGAGUCCGAAUGCUAUUAUGUUCAAUUAUAGCAUGGGGUCCAAGAUUAAAGAUAUUACUAGCCGGUUGGAGCACCUCGGCCAAGAAAGAAUUGAACUUGGUCUGCAACGGAUUACUGGAGGGGCAUCAUCAUCUACUGCUGCCGCACACCAGAGGCCACCCAGUUCGAGUGUCCCAACAGAACGUGAAGUAUUUGGAAGAGAAGAAGAUAAGGCCAAAAUUCUUGAUAUGGUUUUGGCCGAUACCCCAAGUGAUCAUGCCAAAUUUGUUGUAAUACCCAUUGUUGGCAUGGGCGGAAUAGGAAAAACAACUCUUGCUCGGGAGGUCUACAAUGACAAGGCGUUGAAGAUUCCAAGUUUGAUGUAAAAGCAUGGGUUUGUGUCUCUGAUGUCUUUGAUGUUUUGGUCAUCUCAAAGGCACUUCUGGAGUCAAUCACCCGCAGGCCUUGUGUUCUAAGCAAUUUAAAUGAAGUGCAGGUUGAGCUGAAAAUAGUUGUGGAUAAAAAAAGAUUUCUACUGGUCUUAGAUGAUGUUUGGAACGAGGACUACAGCUUGUGGGUAGACUUAAAAGCUCCUUUCAUGGCUGCUGCACCAAACGGUAAAAUGAUCAUCACCACACGCAAUUCAAAUGUUGCAUCAAUAAUGGGACCAAUUGAACAUUACAAUCUCAAGAGUCUGUUAGAUGAUGAUUGCUGGUCCAUUUUCAUACAACAUGCACUUGAAUCUAGAGAUCUUAACGCAAAUCAAAUUUCAGAAUCAUUCCGCAAGAAAGUUGUUGGCAAGUGUGGGGGCUUGCCCCUGGCAGCAAAAACACUAGGGGGCCUUCUGCGUACUACGAGGCAUGAUGCAUGGGACGAUAUAUUAGAUAGCAAAAUAUGGGAUUUACCUCAACAAAGUGGCGUUCUCCCUGUGUUAAGAUUGAGUUACCACCAUCUUCCGUCUCAUUUGAAAAGAUGUUUCGCUUAUUGUGCAAUCUUUCCAAAAGAUUAUGAAUUCAAUGAGAAGGAGCUGACUUUCUUAUGGAUGGCUGGAGGAAUUAUUCGACAGUCAAGAAAGAAUGAGCAGCUGGAAGAUUUGGGCGGCAAGUGCUUUCAUGAUCUAGUGUCAAGGUCAAUUUUUCCACAAACCAGCUCGGGUAGUUCUAAAUUUGUAAUGCAUGACCUUAUCCAUGAUCUUGCUGAACUGGUUUCUAGAGAAACCAUUUUCAGAUUAGAGGAGGCCAACUUGUCAUCAAGAAGAUUUGAAAGGAUCCGCCAUGCUUCCUAUACCCGUGGUUGGUAUGAUGGUAAAAAUAAGUUCAAGGUUUUCAAUGAAAUUGAACAUCUACGAACAUUCCUACCAUUACACGAAAGACGAGGAUAUUACAUACCUCGAACGGUUCUAUCUGAUUUGCUGCCAAAGUUCAGAAGGUUGAGAACGCUAUCUUUACAAGGAUACUGUAUUGGUGAGUUACCAAUGUCAUUUGAAGAUCUGAGACUUUUAAGGCUCCUCAACCUUGCUGACACUGACAUAAGAAGUUUACCUGAGUCAACAUGCACAUUGUUGAACUUGGAAAUUUUGAUAUUAAGAAAUUGUUCCCGUUUGAUAAAGCUUCCGCCCAAAAUGAGGAAUUUGAUCAAUUUACGCCAUCUCGAUAUAAGAGGUGCGAAGUUGCUGAAGGAGAUGCCGUUCGGAAUGAAGGAGUUGAAGAAUCUUUUACAAGUUUGGAAGAUUUAAAAUGUUUAAACUUUCUUUGUGAUGAACUCUGCAUGAGUGGAUUAGAGAAUGUGAAUAAUCCACAGAAUGCAAGAGAAGCCACAGUAUGCGAGAAGCACAAUCUUGAAGCAUUGACUCUAGAUUGGGGGUCUCAAUUUGACAAUUCUCGAGAUGGAGUAGUAGAAGAGCAUGUACUGGAAAUUCUACAGCCCCAUAAAUGUAUAAAAAAGGUGGCAAUCAGGAACUAUGGUGGUGCAAGAUUUCCGCAUUGGAUCGGAGAUCCUUCGUUCUCCAAGAUGAAGGUCCUUAAAUUGGAGAACUGUCACAAUUGUGUAUCGUUGCCGUCGCUUGGCCUGUUGAGUUCACUUAAGCACCUUGCUGUUAAAGGGCUGAAGAAACUAAAAAGCAUAGAGUCUGAGGUUUAUGGGGAGGGUUUCUCAAUGCCUUUUCCAUCACUGGAGAUUCUAAGUUGCGAGAAUUUGCCAGAAUGGGAGCAUUGGGAUACCGAGAUCAAAGGAAAUGUGCCUGUUGAUAUAUUUCCUCGUCUCCAAGAACUUUCCAUUGCAGAAUGUCCCAAACUCUCUGGACAACUGCCUGAGCUCCUGCCUUCCUUGGAGACACUUGUUGUUAGUAAAUGUAAAAAGUUGGUAGUUCCAUUGUCUUGCUAUCCGAUGCUCUGCAGAUUAGAAGUUGAUGAGUGCAAAGAACUAGUCUGCCGGACUCCGAUUGAUGUUAAGUUGAUAAAGUCCAUGACUAUUUCAAAUAGUUCAUUAGACCUGAAUGGAUGUAAGGGGAUGCUAUACGAUGGUCCAGCUGGCUCUUCACUGCCAAAGCCCAUGACUACUACAAAUGUUUUGGAGUUUGGAAAAUUAUUGAAGCCUGGAUUUCAGAUAUUCGAAACUUUGGUAAUUGGCAAUUCUGAACAGCUCAAGUCAUGGAGGCAGCAUGGGGAUUUUCCUAAAAAAUACAUGGUCACUGACCAUAGGUUUAAGAAACCAGUACCAGGGCUGAAUAUGCUCGCUUCCCCUGAAGAGGUAAAAAUUGAAGAAAGCUGCGUAAGUCUUGUUUUGUUUCCAGAGAUCAAUUUUUUUCCCAGAAAUCUACGCUCUCUUCUAAUUAAAAACAGCACAACUUUAAAAUCCUUACCCGAGGAAAUGAUGGCAACAAUUCACAACUCGAAAGGUUGUAUAUCAGAGAUCGCGACUGUCUAACAUUCAUCGCAAGACGGAGGCUACCGGCAUCUCUUAAAAGGCUUGAGAUAGAAAAUUGUGAGAAAUUGCAACGUCUGUUCGAUGAUGAAGAGGAUGCUUCUUCUUCUUCUCCUGCAUCCUCGUCGUCCCCAGUGAUGCUGCAACACCUGAGUAUAGAGAACUGCCCAGAGCUCACCAGUUUAUCAUCGGGUGUCCAAUUCCUUGAGGCGCUUGAAUUCCUCGAGAUACGGGAUUGCCCAAAGCUGGAGUCAAUACCGGAUGGCCUGCCCAAUCUUAAAUGUUUACAGAGCAUUUAUAUAUGGAAAUGUCCAAGUCUUGUUCCUUCCCAGAAAGAGGGCUUCCCAACACGAUUUCAAGGGUUGGCAUUGGCGAAUGUGACAAGCUCGAAGCCUUGCCCAAUGAUUUGCACAAAAUCAACUCUCUUCGAUAUUUAAGCAUACAGCUGUGUCGAAAUCUUGUAUCGUUUCCAGAAGAAGGUUUUCCUACCAGUCUAACAUCACUUAGAAUUGGAGAUUUCAAAAUGUAUAAGACCCUCGUCCAGUGGGGGUUGCACAGGCUUACCUCUCUUAGACGCCUCUAUAUCGUUGAUUGUGAUGACGAAGCAGAGUGUUUUCCAGACGAGGAGAUAGGAAUGACGCUGCCCACCUCUCUCACUGAUCUGUACUUAUCGGGAUUCCAAAAAUUGAUAUCCCUGUCUUCGACGGGUUUUCAGAGCCUCAACUCUCUUCAAUAUUUGUUGAUCGCGGGUUGCCCAAAUCUCACAUCAUUUCCAGAGGUGGGCCUUCCAUCCUCACUUUUGGGAUUAUUCAUUUUCAAAUGUCCAAAGCUUAAAAGAGCGUGCAAAAGAGAUCAAGGAAAAGAGUGGCCCAAAAUUGCUCACAUCCCUUGCGUUGAGAUAGACGAAAAAUUCAUAUACGAUCCCGAAUCAGAGGAGUAGAUUUCUGUUAUCCAUUAAAAACGAUCUCCUAUUAGUUUUAUUUUUUAAAUAAUAAUUUUGCAGUUCUGUUUUCUGUAUAAUUAUAAAUCCUCUGCCGUUAAUUAUUGACAAUGUCACUCACGUGAUUCCGUCUUCACUAAUCAGACUGUAUGUUGAGGCUAUUUGCUUUUUAAUCAAAGAUUAAAUUAUAACAUUUAUCUUAAAAUUGAAUAUCAUAGACAGAUAGACGAUUUUUAAAUCCAAAGUUUUUUGAUCCACUUCAAUUAGCAUUUAUUUUUUCCCCCAAAACAGGCAAGCCGAGAGUUUCAAUCAAGAAUUGGAGGAUGUGAAUGGGAUUUUUGUGAAAACAUAAUGGAUGAACGAACAUUUCAUCUGUGAUCUCAAAGUCAACAGAAUUUUAUUUACUCAUUGACUUUUCAACUCCUGUGGUUAUUUAUGGGUGAAAGAUAAGGGCAAUUACAAGAAAUUUGCAAACUUUGUCAACUUCUUUUAAUUGUACCAAUUUGUCGUUUAUGUUUUAGUUUUAUUUUUUCAGUUUUGUUUAUUGCUUAGAUGGUAGAUAUAUCGACAUUUUAGAUUUCAGAUAUUUGUCACCAGUUUCAUUCCCUUUUUUUUCGUUUUUUUAAGCUAGUUUGACUAAUUUUAACCAGAAUUAGAGCAGAAUAUUUUGGAGCGAGCAUACUUGAAAUGAUGCUUUUUAAUUUUGAUCUAGUAAAAAUACAUAGCCCUCACCGGCAGAAUUCUAGUCCCUACCGGGAUUCAAGAAAUUGAAAUUUCUGUCUUCAACGGGUUUUCGAAGCCUGACCUCUCUUCGAUUUUUGUGGAUCGGGAAUUAUAAAUUUACAGUUGUCAGAAGCUUGAAAAAGUGCGCAAAAGAGAUCGAGGAAAAGAAUAUUUCUCUGUUUAGUGAAGGAUGAAUGCUUGGAGUGGAGUAUUUGGUAACAUUUCUGUUUAGUUAAGGAUUUUGAAAUUAAUGAUGGUAAGAUGUGUACUUAUUCUUUCUUCCAGACAACCUUGCCUUCUUUCUUCGGUAGCAUAUCUAAUGAAUAUUUCUCUGUUUAGUUAAGGAUGAAUGCUUGCAGUGGAGUAUUUGGUAACAUUUCUGCCGUAGAUGAAUCCUUGAAGAAAUGCCUGCACUUCCUGAGACCAAAUACAGGUCUGAUUCAAAACAACACCUGUCCCAGAAAAUAUGAUACAAGGCAAAGCCAUGUUCUGAUAAUGUUUCCUUAAGUACAAAGUUGCAAGGAAACUUGAUUCAUUAACUACAAAUUUUUAUUUUUAGGACCUUGCAUCUGAAAGGUUCAGUGUAAUUUUUUUUUUUCAAUUUAUUGCUCAGAUCUCAGACGAGUAUAUGGUUUAGAUUACAAAACACUUACGAUUAAUUUCAUUUUUUUUUAUUUCAGGGAGAAGAAGUGGUCAGUUUCAAUCCAGAAUUGGAAUAUGGCAAUUUGGUGCAAGCACAAAUACCUGGUCACUUCGUCAGUGAACCUGAACUUUACUGAACUUUACACAGUUUUUUCAACUCAGUGAUUUUUGGAACGCAUAUUGGUGUAAGGAAAUCAAACGAAAUUUAUGCAUAGUCAAAUUCUGAUAUUUGCUAUAUUUUAUACAUUCUAAAGUUUCUCCAGUUUGUUCUCAGAUUACCAUCACUUUUUGCCUUCACCAAAAAAAAAUAUAUAUAUAUUUGAGUGGCUUUCCGGUGGAUAUUUAAUCGGAGGCAUGACUGGAUUUUUUUUCACUUCUGUAGAUCUUGCAUUUUAAACUGGCAAAUUUAACUUUAAUUUCAAUACGACUUUGUUGGUGCCUUCUGUUCCAGGAGCUAGAAAGAUGUGUAGUUUUCAGAUAAAGGGGCUUGUGAAUUCUCUAGUAAGAAUCCAAUAAUUUGCUUUUGCACGUUCAUUUUAUUUGUAGAUCCUUGCAUCUGAAUUUGAUCAAUCCAAAAGGAACUGCUUUUAGAGGGAAGAAGAAUAGCAGUACCUAUUCGAUGACAUAGUGUAUGGACCCUCACAUGUUAACUUUCAUGAAAAACACAUUUAAGAAAUUUGCAACUUUUUGGUUAGUUAUGUAUCCAAUGUUGUUUUCUGUUUUAGCAUUUGUAGAAUCUACUGUAUUAUAUUUUGGCAGCUACAGUAUCUGAGGUAUCUUUUGCAUUUAACUUGCUUUAUAUGUUUUGUCUGUGACUUAAGAACACCAAUAUUUGCCAGAGAUUUAGAGAAGCAUAUCAAGAUGCUUGGCUAACUUGACAAACUUCAAGAUCCUUCAUUCUUCACAAUGCAAAACUUGUGAGUACACUUAUGCCCGCAAUUAUUGUGAAAUGCUUGCAAUUUUGAUGCAGCGAAAUGGUUUGUUGAUGCAAAGGUUUGAACUUUUAAGGUUUACCCUGCAGGGUAGUUGGAUGCUGUAUACUCGAAAAGCCACCAACAUCAAGAACUAUACCUCCAAGACUGGGUUUGCAUUAAUUCAAUCAGCUGAAAUAAUGAUGCAAAGGACACUAUCAGCUGGACUUAGAGACCAGUCAGAUCAAUUAUCCAUUUUAUCAACAGUUAAUGUCAUCAUGGUGGCUAUUAGAGGAAACAGAGGAUGUGUCGGAAUCAAUAUGAACAGUGAGAAGAAUGAGAGGAGCUUUGAUUAUAAAUUGGCUCAAUGAACUCAUGCUGGUAAGUGGUAAUUAAAGAAAUUUGUGCGCUUAGCAGAGUUUCAAUAUUUUCUGUUUGGGAUAUAGUUGAUAAGUUGAUACUCUGAUUAAUAAGCCUGAUUAUAGUAGCUGACUGUAUUAACCAGGUUCUUUUCUUUCUUUUUUUUUUGGUGGUUUGCUGUUGUUUUGAUUAUGCUGUAACUACAAGGAAGAGCCGGACUUGGAUGCAGGCGUUCAGCUUUUAAUGGUUAAGAACAAAUGUAUGCUUUAACCAUGUUUCUCACUUAUUACAAUGUACGCAUUGAAGGCAUCUGAGCUGAUCCUGAAAAUGUCAUGGAAAUACUUCUCUGUUUACAUAAAACAGGACAAAUAGAGAUCUCUGAUCAUGCCUGAGAAUUCGUUGCAUUGAAAUUUCUACCAUUGCCAAAAAUAGAAUAAACUAGGGAUACAUUAGCGUAAGACUCAAUUUUGAGAAGGAAGUUUGUACUUGCAGCCUAAAAAAUCAUGUCUUUGUUGUAUACUUGUAUGUUUCUUUGGGAAAUGAAAGAUUCUGUGUUCUUUUAUUUCAAGUUUGCUGAAAUCACAUUUGUUUUCUUAGAUGCUUUCCAGAAGGUAACAGCAUCAAUUUCAAAAAUGCUGGGGUAAUAUGCAUCACGCAGUGCUACUCAACAUGAGAAAUCCUGGCUGCAUUAACUGUAUGUUGAGUGAUCGCACAGUACAACCUUGAGAAGCUUGUAAGGAGUAGACAACUAGAUGCGAGUAGUUUCAAUAUGGAUUCGCAUCAAAUGAUUUCUUGCCACUGAUUACCAUAACUUCUAUCCCAAAAUUCUGGGAACUGGUCAUACCAGCUAUGAAGUAUUGUAUACGUUGAAGAGCUCAAGGCCUUGCAAAAGCUCCGUCAGCCUUUGUAUUGGCAAACAGAUGGUUGUAGUUGCUUCUGAAUGAUAUGAUUAAUAGAUUCUGUAAAAAUGAAUUGUGCUAUACGCUUUCAGAGUUCUGUUAAGAUGUCUUGGUAGUUUUUGAUGCUUGUUUGAUUUAUAUUGCAUUCAGCUAUAAAUCAAAGGUUCAGAACACGAGUAUGUUGCUGAUUUCCAAAUAGAAAAAUUGCCUUGUGAUGUUAGUGUCCAUUGUUUUCACAGGAGAUCAGGUUCCUUGUUAUUGAAUCAAGAAGGCAAACGCAUCCAUGUCUGAGUUCAAUUGUGUCCCUUCUAUUUUCUAUUACUGACUCAUUUAUUUUGAUUUCUUCAUUGUGAUUGAAUUGGUUUUUUAUUCCAAAUUAGUCAAAACCUCAUAGAGUUAUUAAGUUCCGUUAGCAUUCAGAACUACGUACCAAAUGAUUAACAGGAUUAAAUUACAAUAAAGAAUUAAGUUCUUUAUUGUAAUUGAAUUUGCUUUCUCAUGUUUAGAGAUAUUAUGUUCUGGUUAGGGGUGAUUUCUUGAAGAGUCAAUCCAUUUGUGUUUAUACAUUUUUCUAUUGCCUUGAUUUCUGUUUUCUGGGGAGUUUAUACAGAUUCUUAUUUUAUGCUUCACAUGCCACAUGAAAGAUCAAAGCCUUCUGUCUGAACAUAAUAUACGUAGAAAGUUAAAUUUAUUUAUUUAUAAGCAUGUCCCAGUGCCCAGUGGCAUCCUCUUAACUUGUGAUAGUCAAAUGUAUUAUACGAUACAAUAUCAGCUUGACUUUAGCAUAGAGGAGAAUAGGGUUGGUGUUGGACUGAAUUCUGAUCCUUGAAUAAAUAUAACAGCUGCCUGAACCAGCUUAUUUGACUCCACAACUUUAUACUUGUUUUAUAGUCUAUGCCUACCUCCAUCGUCGGCAGCUUACAGUCUCUUUUAGCAUUUUAAAAAGUUUCAUGAUAUUCCAUAGUUCGCAUGGACUGCUACAAUUUAGAGAAACAUAAUUACGGCAUAUUUAAUUACCACGCGAGGAGUCUUCUUUUUUGCGCACCAAUAAUUCUUUGUACUUAAUUAGAAGAUGAGAAAUCCUUUAGCCGAACCACGAACUCACCUAUUAGUGGGGUUUUUUCCGCUUGCAUUCAGUCGCUCAAGUGAAAAUUGCGUGCAAUUUUUUCCUCAACUAAAAUUGGAAUAGAUAUUUUGUUAUUGCUGGCACAAAUUUUCCUUUAAGUCAAAUUGGAAUAGAUGUUUGUGAGAUGCCUAGACCUGAGAUUUUGUUAUGAUUAUAUGCAUUAAAGCUUUCGGUAGACCCUUGAAAUCUUAUGAUCAAUGUAUUAGAAAUUUAGAAUUGGGGUUUAUAAGAGCUAGUUUGACCAUGUUAUAACUUUUAAAAUUAUUGUUGCUAAUUGUGUUAUAGAAAUAAUUAAUCAGUUGUAAAAAUAAUUAGUUAAACAUUUGGUAAAUUUUAUUUUUAAAAGUGUUAGGAGUUUUAAAAGCAGACGUACGUACUUAGUAAAUCUCACUUUUAAAAUAUUAUAAGAAUGCAAAAGGUUUAAAUAUAUAUAAAUCUAUACAAUUUAUUUACACAUGCAUUUAUAGAUACAUGUAUAUAUAAUAAUUGAUAACUAAAAUAAAGAUUUUUAUUUUAUUAAUUUUUUUUGUUAUCUAAAAAAAGGUAAUAAUAAUAUCUUUAAUGACGUAUUUAUUAAUCAGUAAUCGGAAUGGACUGGAAUCAAAAUGGAGGAAUGGAAAUCGGAAUAAAUUGUUUACUUUAACUAUCAAUAUUGGAAUCGCAAUGAACUGUAUUAUCACUUAUAUAUUUAUUUUAUCUGAGAAUCAGAAUGGAUUGAUUUAAAUUACUAGACAGACCUUAUUAUUAUUAUUAUUAUUAUUAUUAUUAUUAUCAUCAUUAUUAAAUAAGGUAAAAAGGAAUUUUCAAUUUUUACUGAAGUAAAAAUAUCAAUUCACUUCUCAUUUUCAGCCCUAGGGAAUGAGACUCCCAUUCCACAUUCUAGAAUUUAUAGAGUCCACUCAAAUUUUCAUUCCCAUUCCCCCUCCUUGUUUUGCAAGUAAACAAGUUAAUAAUCCUAUUCUCUCAUUUCUACUCCCAUUCUCAUUCUCAAGUACUAACACAUCAAGGUAUUCGGUUCGGUUUUUGCCCAAUAGAACUGAAAUUAUUCGGUUUGGUUUGAUUUGGUUUAAUAUAAAAAGCCAAAGGGUUUAUAUUUUUAUGAACCAAAUGGUUUGUAUUUGAUUCAAUUCUAAAACUGAACCGAAAGCACAAACCAAUCGGUUCACGUAAUUUUAAUUAUUUUUAGAAAAAGAAAAACCAAAACUAAAUCGUAGAAUGUGAAUCCCUAAAAUCUAAAUCCCUAAUUCUCCUAACUAACUAAAACUAAUCACAGAACAACACAACCACAACAACCUAGCAAGCGCAGCGGUAGCCCCUCGAACCACGCUCACUCUCAAGUAUAGCAUGACAAUAGGGCUCUCUCAUGCAAUGAUAGGUAAUUUCUUAGUUUAGAAGGGAAAGUAAGAGAAACAGAGGAAGAAUAUAAGUUGAUUAAAAGGGAAAAGUCAAUUCUUAUUCCAAAAACUUGCUUAGUGCAAGUUCAAUAGGGUCUCUUAAAUAGACCUAUACAUAUAAUAAAAACUAGAAAAGACGAAAAUCACUUGAAAAUAAAAAGCAUGAUCACUUAAAUGGUAAACAUACAUAACCGCCAUGAGCUACAUGCAACCUAAGUCAAAUAAUCAACUGAAGAAACUUGAUCCCCAUGCAUAUUGAGCACAUACCAUUCCCCACCCUUUAGAAACACCUUGUUGGUGCGGUUAAAGUGAGGGUGAGCCUUUGAGAAUCACCAACAGUUCCAACGAGUGUCCUCAAUUGCUGCUCCUAUCCCUAUAACCAGUAUUGAGUUGUACGAAUGGCACAUGAUCUUCAAUCAUGAAUAGUUGCAGCUUUUAACAACAGUGUGAUACAAACUAAUAAAAAUAAUAAAAAUUAUUUAUUUUAUUUUAUUGUAUUAGUUAAUUUUGAACUAGUCAAAACUAGUUGCCCUUAUUUUGUGGAACUACAUGUAAUUAGUGGAGCAUUAUGUGAGAACAUGCUUAGUGUUACUAAUUUUUAGGUUGUAAUCCUAAAUAAACUUUUAUUAUAUAAAGCUUAAUGUUACUCAAUAAAAAGGAUCAUGAGUUUAUUAUUUUGGCAACAUAAAAGUUGUAAUUGGGAGUUUAUUGGUUUCUCGAAUAACCAAUACUUAUUUGGAGGUUUGGAUUUCCUUGAAUUAACUCCAUUUGUCAUCUAAUUUUUCUAUUUCAUUUGAUUUCUCCUUAUAAACUUUAGUGUUCGUAUCACAGUGGCCAAGAAUAAGUUUCUCGUCACAAUAAUAACACAACCCUUUUCCACGAUGAGCAUGUGCUUCUUAGUUAGAUAGUUGCUGGAUAUGAGGGGAAGCGAUGUCAUCGGCUAUUUAAUCAACCUUAGGAGGUGGACCUAAGACUCUAACAAAGCUAUUUGGGGUUGGUUGCUAUAUCACCAAAAUAGAGGGUGGUAGAGAAAAGUGACUAGUGCAUUGAGAAAGUGAAUUUCGCUCCUCAAUCAGUCUUGUCACACCAAUGGUGUUAGCCAAGGUAAAGGGCUAUUUAAUCUUGACAUCUAGUUGUAUCUCAUCCUGAAGACCUACAAUAAAACAACCAAUUAAAAAACAUUCGAGUAAGCCAUCAACCUAAUAUAAAAGCUUUUCAAAAGUUUAUUGAUAUUAAGCUAAUAAUGGAAGUCUAUUUCAGGUGCAUCAAAGCCUUAGAUGGGUCCUCAUAAUCCAUUAGUUCGAAUCGUAGAAGGACUGUUGUUGAUGCUGAAAUCUGCUCGCCCUCUACCCAACCAAAUCAUUCCACCAACAUUUGUGUAUGCAAUGGAGAGAAUACUGCCCUUUUGCCUCCUUCAGCAACUGCGGAUGCUCCAGGGGUUGGAAUCACCUUUUUCCCUUCUUUCUAAUCCUGCACUCACAGAGAUAGAUCAGAGACGCCGGUGGUUUUACCAGCAUAAACCCUCCAAUACUUAAGUUAGCACAAGGUGUUUUACGGGAAAACUAUGUAACUUGGAUUGUUUGGUUUCUCGUAAUGCUUUCUAAAACUUGUAAAGAAUAUAAUCUGGUUUCAAUUUGGCAGAGUUUUCCUUUUUCUCUCAAUUUUUCCAUCCCUUUUUUCAUUGGUUUCCCGGCUUCUUGUAACCGUUGUCCCACGUUCCUAUCUACUCCUCAUGCCCCCCCUUUUAUCGGGUGAUGGCAGGCCUUCAUGGCCUCCAACCACUGGAUUGUGGGUAAACAUGGGAUGACAUGUCCCUCUUGACGGUUUGGGGCAUAGCGAAACUACCGCAUUUUCGUGAGAUCGUGUGCCCCUUGUUUGGGUGAUGGGUAUCUGGUUGGUAUAUGUCUCUAGUCGGUACAUUCCUCUGGUCGGUGCUCGUCUCUAGUAGGCCCACUUUUGUAUGAGGCGUUUUACCAGGGCUCUUUUUGUGCCGCUCAGUUGAGGUGAUUCACCUCGGGGUGGGAAAUGAGGGCAUGGCUGAGCUGGUGCUCUUUAUUACUUAAUACCAGUCCCCUAGUUUCUGGUCUUGCGAGUGAAAUGAGUUGAGAUUAGAAACUAAGAAUCGGAUUUUAUCGACCCCGGGAAAUUCCUAUCUGGUCUUCGUGUUAUUGUGAUGGACCUGAGGUUCUGCCUUUUGUUUAGGGAGAUUUUUUAUCUAAGUAUGGGCCUUUGUGAGCAUGUCCAAUAUAUAGCUGGGCUAACAUCUCGUCAGGCCUUUUAUAACGGUCAGUGACGUGUCGUUUCUCGUCCUUUCAUAUUUGAAAUUUGAAACGACGGCUUAUCUGCCCUCGAUAUACGGCGAGUGAGCUAGCACCCGUAUAACUUAAACGCUUCCAUUUCCCUAUUUCAUUUCAAAUCCCUAAAUUGAAGCUGUCAUUGCGUUUCACUAUCCGCCAUUUCACUGUAAACUAAGUCCCUCUUUGGACUUCAAUCACACUUUUUGCGUCCGAAACCUCUAUUUGCUGGGUCCUCUCUCCGUCACAGCAGCACUACCAGUGCCAGUUUAUUCUAGGUAUCACUUUUAACUUCUUCGCUGGUUGUUGUUGAUUGGGUUCUGUGUUGCCCCUUUUUGUACCCAUACACUCGGAUUUACUGUGUUUUCCUUUUUGAGUUUUUGAUAUGUCAAACCGAAAGGGGAAACUAAUUGUAGAUGAGAGUGAUGAAGAGGUGGGGGACUCAUACCCCAACCUGUUUGGGCCUAAUGACCCCUUAUCAUCUUCUCGUAGUAUAAGUCUUUCCCAUCAUAGGGAUACCCUAGAGUAUCCUCAUCGCGUGACCACUUUGCCUUCCCCUGAAUUAGAACCCGUGGGAAACCGUGGUGGUUCAGCUUCUUGCUCUGGUGAAAAUCACAGUUCUGAGGGCUGGGGGGGUCCCUGGAAAGUGGGUGAAGGUAAGGAGAGUAGCUCCGAGCCGAGCAGACCCUCUAAGAAGAGAAACUUUGGUCAUAUGAUGGCGGGAGAUGCUUAUCCCAUUGACUAUAUCACCUGUGUUACCACCCACACUGACCUACUCAAGUUUAGAAACCUCUACCAUAUCCCUGAGGUGGUUCUUCUUUUAAUCCCUGGGAAAGGUGACUUCCCCAGUCGGCCUCCAAGGGGAUAUGUCACGAUGGGCACGAUUACCCCUUCAACCUUACUUUGCUUGGAUACUGGGUGGUAUGCAUCUGGCUCCAGGUCAGCUUCACCCGAAUGGGUGGAGGGUUCUCUCAGCCAUGUAUGUGCUAUGGAAAAAGUGUGGACUUGAGGAGCCUUCUCUUGAGGAAGUGAAGCAUUUAUACCAGCUGAUGAGCUUUCCAAGGGAAGCAGGUUGGUACUACUUCAUGUCAAGCUCUGCAAAGAGGAAGCCUGUCACCGACUUUCCUUCUUCCUGUAAAAAUUAGAAGAACAAAUUCUUCUUUGCUGGAGGAAAUUGGUGUCCAACAAUUCAUUCGCUUAGUGGUGAUAUUCACCUCCCAACACAUUUUGUCACCCCAGGUCGUUAAUUUUUCUGCAUACUUCACUUCUCUAAUCGUUACUUAUCGAGUUCCUUAACCUUGUUUGUUCUUUCAGAAUUGUGGGGUUUGAUCAAGAAACUUGACGAUAGACCACUGCUCCAGGUGGAAAUGGCUCUGGUGAACGCGUCUACCUGUCACGAUCUCAUAUCGUUAAUAAAUCUUGUCGGGUUGCACUUAGUGGACGUAGCUAUUGGGAUGGACAACAAGAUCCUCAGCGCUAUGUCUAAGAAACACACUUUGGGUUCAGGUAGCUCCAGCAACCUCCCUCCUCCUUUGAAGAAAGUCAAUGUUGGUUCCUCCAAGGCUUCUGCUCCUGCUCUGCCCCCUCCUUCACCUCGGAAGAAUGGUAGGGAGAAAGUUAGUGACAAGAGCCCCGAGGUCAGCAUUCAAUUUGGAGACCGAUCCUCUCCUCUACCGCCUCGGGACCAGGGUGACUAUCUGACCCUGUACCAGAGAGAUUACAACAAGUCGAUGGGACCAAAAAUGGUCAAGGACAUUGAAAGCAUGAACCUCAGCGAGCUAGGUGGUUCAGUUCAAAUGGUCUCCUUUAAGCUGGCUACUCUGGUUUCUUGCUACAAGAAUAGGUCUACGCGCCAAGAGAGGAGGCUUCAAGCUGAUAACGAGGACUUGAAGAAAAAGGCUAAUUCUGUUGAUCGCUCGAAGGAGAAGCAGAUUGAGCUACACAAGCAGAUCAUGGACCUGGAGGAGAAAGUGGCUAUUGCUGAGUCUAACUCCUCCAAGCUUGAGGGUGAGUUGGGUGAUCUAAAGUCCGAUCUCCAGGUUGCUCACAGUGAACGAGAUACUUUGAGGACGACCCUUGAGGAACAUAUUAGGUCCUUAGAUGAGCAGGUAGCCGAGCUGAAAGGCAAAUCUGUUGAGGUGGACAAUUGACUGGAUGCAGAAUAUAACUCUGGGCUCGCCUUUUGCUACAAGUGCAUCAUGUUUGUGCUUAAGGGAGAAUAUCCUGAGCUUGACAUGAGCAAGCUGGAGGCUGGAGUGCAGAAAUACAUGGCCGAGCCCGAUCAAGGGGAUAAGGAGCAGGGAGAGCAGGAUCAGGUGGAGGCUCCUUCAGAUGGGGUGCAGGAGAGGGAAACAGAGGAUUAUGCUCUUGAAACAGGUCAGGGGUCACUGCCUGCUCCCCCAGAAGUUGCUGGUCCACCUUUUAUCGAGGCUGCUGAACCUCAUAAUCCUUAGGCUUAUAUAUAUAUAUAUAUAUAUAAAUAUUAUUUUGUAUAAAUUCUAAACUCCCAUCUGUCUACAAAUGUUUGGAUGUUUAUAAACUUUGGAUGCUUUUUGUUUGCUUUCUUGCCAUGGUUUUGGUUGUGAAUCGUUUCUACAAGUUACCUUAACAAUUUUGAGUGACUUUGGCUGCUGGUCCUUUUGUCGUCCGAGCAGGAACUGACACUUGUUUGCCUUAGCGAAAUUUGUAAAACUUACAUUUCAGUUUUUCAAACGACUGAGCAGGAACUGGCGUUGGUUUGCCUUAACGAAAUUUUGUAAAAUUGCCUGCUGGUGCUUUAGGCGACCAAGCAGGAAUAGGCACUUGCUUGCCUUCAUAAAAUUUAUAGAUUUGCCUGCUGGUCCUUUAGGCGAUCGAGCAGGAAUAGACACUUGCUUGCCUUAAUAAAAUUUGUAGAUUUGCCUGCUGGUCCUUUAGGCGUCCGAGUAGGAAUAAACACUCGCUUGCCUUAAUAAAAUUUGUAGAUUUGCCUGCUGGUCCUUUAGGCAACCGAGCAGGAAUAUGCACUUGCUUGCCUAAAUAAAAUUUGUAGAUUUGCCUGCUGGUCCUUUAGGCGAUCGAGCAGGAAUAGGCACUUGCUUGCCUUACUAAAAUUUUUAGAACGAGGGAAUUUAUGCUGAAUUCAUCUUUAUUGAACUUUGCAUGGAUUACAAGAGGCGAGAUAUAGUCACGUGUAACAAUUCAUCAUGCUUUUAACAUAAAUAACUUAUUGAAAUAAAACUUGGUAAGGCAGUUUGCUUACUGGAAGUAUUUCUUCAAGUGCUUAGCGUUCCAUGAUCUUUUCACGUCUCGUCUAUCUGGGUAAAUCAGCUUGUACGCUCUUGGGCCAGUUAUUCAUACCACUCUGUAUGGGCCCUCCCAUUUCGGGCUAAGAACACCAUGAAUAGGAUCUCUUGUGCAUUGGUUCACUUUUCUAAAUACCCAAUCUCCUGCUCGGAACUGUCUCAUGCGAACAUUUUUGUUGUAGUAACGCAUGAUCCUUUGCUGGCAUUUGGCUGUUCUCUGCGAUGCCCCUUCUCUUUUUUCCUCCAGCAGGUUCAGGCUCAAGCAGAUCUGCUCGUCAUUUUGUUCUUUGUUGAAAUACUCUGUCCGAUAUGCCCCCACCCCAAUUUUUGCUGGGAUUACUGCCUCAUGACCGAAAGCUAAAGCAAACGGGGUUUCUCCCGUGGCCAUUUUGUGGGUUAUCCGGUAGGCCCAUAACACUCCUAGUAACUCGUCGACCUAAGCUCCUUUUUUUUCUCAUAGCCUGGUUUUCAAGAGUUUCUUUAUUACUUUGUUGGCUGCUUCCACCUGCCCAUUUGCCUUGGGGUGUGCUAGGGUACAAAACUUCAGGUCCACCCCUAAAUUUUGGCUAAAUUCUCUGAAGUUGUGAUUGUCAAACUGUCUCCUAUUGUCUGUAAUGACAGCAAUGAGGAUCUCCUAUCUGCAGAUGAUAUUCUUCCAAACAAAAUCCGUUAUCUUUCUCUCUGUGAUUUGACUGAGGACCCUUACUUCUACUCAUUUGGUGAAGUAGUCUAUAGCCACAAUUGCAUGUAUUACUUCUCCUCGGCCCUUGGGUAAUGGGCCAAUCAGGUCAAUUCCCCACUGAGCAAAAGGCCAUGGGGAUGACAUAGUGGUUAACCUUUCUGGGGGCUGAGCAGGGACUUCCGAGAAGCUCUGGCUGACUUUAUAGUUUUUUGCCAUCCCCGUCGCAUCCUGAUGCAUGGUCGGCCAGAAGUACCCUUGCCGAAGCACCUUGAAAGUCAAAGUUCUCGCCCCCGAGUGGUUGCUGCAUAUUCCUUCAUGAAUUUCCCUCAACACAUAAUUUGCUUCCUCGUCAUCCAAGCAUCUCAAAAGGGGCAAGGUGAAUCAUCGGCGGUAGAGUACCCCAUCGAGUAGCGUAUACCUUGCUGCCUGACAUUUCAACUUUCUUGCUUGCUUCCUGUCCUCUGGUAAGAUGCCCUCACGAAUGUAUAAUAGAAUGGGGUCCAUCCAGGAUUUUUCGAUGCUCACCUGCAUUACUUCUGCUUCCUCCCCUAUGCUUGACGAGGUUCUCACUUUUAGUGGAAUUGACUUGGGUAAUUUUGGAUCUGCAAUUGCGGCCAUUCUGACCAAUAUAUCUGCUCGGUAAUUCUCAUUCAGAUAUAUCUGCUUUAUUUCUAUCUCUUGGAAGAGCUCAACCAUCUGUUUUGCCUUCUUCAAAUAAAGCCCCAUCUUCUCUUCCCUCGCUUGGAAUUGAUCACUGAGCUGAUUACAGACUAAUUGGGAAUUUGCUCAGAUUUCUAUCCUUUUUGUUCGUAGUGCGUGUGCAAACCCCAGCCCAGUGAUGAAAGCUUCAUAUUCAGCUCGGUUAUUCGUAAGCUGAAAUUUAAAUUUCACUGCAUAAGAUACAUCGGCCCCUUCUAGGCUUCGUAUUACAAUUCCUGCUCCAGAUCCCUGUUUACUACGUGACCCAUCAAUUAUUACUAGCCACACCCCCUUUGAUUUCUCCUGCUUCACUGGUUGCUCCUCCCAAAUUUCCUCCCCUAAUUUAACACGGUCAACCAUAAAAUCGGUCAAGGCUUGGGCUUUGAUUGCUUCUCGGGGUUUGUAGGAUAGGUCGAAUUCGCUCAACUCCACGGACCAUUUACUAACCGACCAGAUGCAUCUAGUUUUAGAGCAUUUACCGAAGAGGCUGGUCAGUCAUCACAACUAUCGGGUGGGCCUGAAAGUAAGGUCUGAACUUGCGUGCUACUGUUAUUAAAGCUAGUGCCCAUUUCUCCAUUAGUGGAUAUCUGGUUUCUGCAUCUACCAGGGCCUUGCUAGUGUAGUACACAGGGUGCUGCUUUCCUUCCUCUUCUCUGACUAAUACCGAGCUGGUAGCCCAUUUAAAGACUGCCAAGUACAAAUACAGCUGGUCACCUUCUCCAGGAGUUGAUAGUACAAGGCGCGGGCUAAAUAUUCCUUCAGCUGCCCGAAUGCCUCCUCACAUUCUAACGUCCACUCCAUUUUCCUUCAAUUCUUUAUGAUUUGGAAGAAAUGGUGACAUUUAUCUGUGGCUCGCGAGAUGAAACGGUUCAAUGCUGCUAACUUCCCUGUAAGACUCCGUACCUCUUUAACUGUCCGGGGGGACUUCAUUUUUGUUACUGCCCGUACUUUUUCCGGGUUGGCCUCAAUCCCUCGAUGGCUCACCAUGAACCCCAAAAAUUUACCCGCGCUAACUCCAAAUGCACACUUUUCCGGAUUCAGCUUCAUCUGAUACUUCCUUAGCAGUUCAAAAGUCUCUUCCAAAUGCUUCACAUGAUCCUUCGGUUCCUUGGACUUUGUGAUCAUAUCAUCCACGUAUACCUCCAUAGUGUGACCGAUCAGUGGCUUGAAAAUCUUAUUCACCAACCUUUGAUACGUAGCCCCUGUGUUUUUCAGGCCAAAAGGCAUCACCUUGUAGCAAAAUAAACCCAUGUUAGUUAUAAAGGUGGUACUCUCCUCAUCUUGCUUGUUCAUGGGUAUCUGGUUGUAUCCCGAAAAGGCAUCCAUGAAGCUAAGCAGACUAUGACCUGCCGUUGAGUCCACCAACUGAUCUAUUUUAGGUACGGGAAAGCUGUCAUUUGGGCAUGCCAUAUUAAGGUCUGUGAAAUCCACAUACAUUAUCUAUUUCCCAUUGGCCUUCUUUACCAGCACUACAUUAGAAAUCCACUCCGCAUAUUUAGCCUCCCUUAUAAAUCCUGCUUUCAACAGCUUCUCCACCUCGGCAUUUAUGGCCUCGUACCUUUCCUAGUUAAAGCACCUCCUUUUCUGCAUCACCGGCCUUGCCCCUUUCUUGAUUGCCAACUUGUGGCAAGCUACCCCGCGAUCAAUUCCUGGCAUGUCCUCAUGAGACCAGGCAAAUAUAUCUGCGUGGGACUAUAGGCACUUCACCAGCUCAUCUUUUAUUGCUUCACCUAAUCCUGACCCGAUCUUAAUCACUCUGCUCGGGUUAUUCUUGCUCACAAAAAUCUCCUCCAGUUUCUCGACAGGCUCUUGACGACCCUUCUUAGAAUCUCUUCGGUUAUCCAGAGAGGUAACAUGUAGCGUCUCCUUGGCCGCUGUUGCGUAACAGCUCCUUGCUAUUCUCUGGUCACCUUUUACUACGCCCACAACUCCGUUUACUCUGUAUUUCAAUGCUAGAUAAUGCAUGGAUAUAAUGUAUUAGCUUGCUCUCAUAAAAGGUCGCCCUAGUAUCAUCUGGUAGGGGUUUUUCUCUUCCACCACUACGAAGUCCAGCAUAAUUUUCUUUUUAGAUGACUUCGCUCCUACGGUAAUCGGCAGCUCUAUGAUCCCCAUAGAGGUCAACUGUCUUCCUCCAAAUCCCUUUAAGGAUGUGUUCGUUCGCUCCAAUUUCAAAUCUGCAAUCCCCAUAUCAUCUAGGGCCGACUUAAAUAAUAUGUCGACCGAGCUGCCUAUAUCCACCAAUAUUUGUCGGAAUUCCUUACCCGCCACUAUUACUUUAACUACCAGUGCAUCCUCAUGAGGGUAUAAAAUGCCCUCUUCAUUAUCAUCUGUCCACAUAAUGGGAACUUGUCUUACUUUCACCCUCUUGGUCGUUGGUAAGUUGAAAAGUACCUCUUUGCUGGUCAAAGCGUAUCUCUCAUAAUUCUUUCGUGCUCUGUUUGAGUCUCCAGCCAAUGUUGGCCCUCCUGUUAUCACCUGAAUAUUUAGCUGUUCCCGCUCUAGGCUCCUUUCAACUCCAUCACCCAGCGUAUAUUGUGAUUCAAUGACGGGGGAUACUCCAUCUACAUACUCAUCCAAAUACUGGUUCCUCACCAAAUCUUCCACUUGAGUCUUCAAGUCAUGAUAUUGGCUGAUAGUGUGACUAUGAGUGUCGUGAAAUUUGCAGAAUCUGUUCUUAUCAUGUCUAUGAGCGGGUUUUGUUAUAGGGGCAGGAGGGUACAGCAGGCAUCGUCCCUCGAUUCUCUCAUACAACUCCUCCAUAGAGACUUUCAGUGGGGGUGUACUGUUUGUACGCCAAGCUUUGGUCAAUCAGUUGGACCGUUCAGCUAUCGUGGGUAUCGUUCCGAGCUGGUAUUGUAGGUAGCUGGUUUGGUUGACCAGCCCUGGAGUUAACUAUAUGCAGUACCCUGGGAGCGCUGUGAUAAGGGUGGGCGACUAACUGCCUGAAUUCUCGUUGCCACUCGGGGAAUGAGGGGCGCGGAGGCUGAGCUCAGUUGUGUUGGAGCUGUUGCGGUCUCUGAGCCAUGGGAUAAGGGCGAGACCAAGCUGAUAUUCCACACAUCACUAGCGAUUCUCCAGCUCGCCUUCCUGAUCCGCUCCCGCUCAGGGUUCUUCAAUCUCCAUGUCUCUCUUUGCCUGCUCAUACCCCGUUGAAUAAUUCUGAACGAUGGGACUUCACAAGUUGUACCAUAAUCGGCCUAUUCUUACACCCUCUUUUAAUCCCCUUAACGCCUGCAGGUGAUUGAAAGCUCCCAGAUCAAGCACGGCCCAAUGGUAUCUUUUCACAAAAUCCUGAAGGGAUUCGUGUUCCUCCUGCUUCAUCCCCAUCAAAUCCAUCAUAUCGUCAUCUGGGCCUACUGAUUAUCGGAACAGUGUUGUGCAAAUUUUAAUGAACUCGCAAGCACACGAAUCUAUUGUAGUAUAGAUCAUUGGUAACGAGUGUCGAUCUCAUGAGGAGGUGGAUUUUAAUUGUGUAUAGAAUUGAUUUUGUAAAUGGGUGGUUGGAUUUGUGGUGGAAGUGAUUCAGAUUAUCCUAAAAUUGGAAUUAAAAUGGUGAAAAUAAUUUGAAGAGAAUUCUAUUGAAAUGACGUACUUGGGUAUCUGGAUCCGUAUCAACAUGCAUCAUGGGCUAAAUAUUCCUUAUUAAUACCAAUUAAAUCAUGAGGGGGGAAUCCACACCUCAUGAACCACGCUCUAAUCAAUAUGGUGUUAAGGGCUUAUCGUGCCAAAUAAUAAUAACCUGUACUAGAGAGCCGGUGUAACCAAGGCGGUAUCUAGACAAUACUAGUAUUAUUUGUCAACGAGAAGUCAAAACAUCCAAAAAAACUAGAGGGGAAGAGAAAAUAAAUUUACCAAAUAAAGCCCAUGACACAUGUUGAGACUUCACCUUCAACCCAAGCUUGAAAGAAAAUUAGCUACUCAUAAUUGAACUAGGGGCAAAAUGGGAAUUUAUUAAAAUACGUAGAAAAUACAAGAUGGAGAGAGAAUUACAGAAAAUGGAGUCCAAAAAUGGAUUUAGGGAUAUCAAAUUAGGGGGAGAGGCCCCCUUUUUAUAGAUACAUUGAGUAAAUCGUGGUCAUCGGAUAAAAAAUAGUUUGGACGCUCAGGAUUGCGCCACGUCAUCAGUCAACAGUCCGCGUGAACAGUACACGAUUUGACCACGCGGAUGAACAGUAACACAGUUUGACCCGGGUGAACAGUGACGCAGUUUGGUUGAAAAUGAUCCUGUGUGUUGCAUGUACCGUACAUGAGAUUUUUGAUCCACUGAUAUGCUGCCACGUCAUCGAUCAACAGUGCAUAAGAAUUUUAGUCCAACAGGAUCGUGACACCUCAUCAGUCAAUGCCACAUCAUCGGUCAAUGCCACGUCAUCGAUCCGUCUAUGUGAACAGUGCCGUGAACAGUAACGUAGACAGUACCCGUACAUGUGAAUAGUACCGUAUAUGUGAAUAGUAUUAUUUUUCUUUUUAUGCUCCUCCUAAGAUUUUUGACCGUCCUAAGUUCAAAAAUGAUGUCCGUUUUGCCAUCUGAUCUCUCGUUUAUUGUGAAAUGACUGUGAUACCCCUAAAAUACAUAAAAUACUUGAUUAAAAUAAAACACACGUAAUUAAAUUACAAGUAAGGGUUGUUAGUAAGACAUUUUCUAACACUCAACAAACAGCUCGGCCAACUCUUGGUAUAUCUGCUCGUAUCCCCUUAUACUUCCUCGUGGUAGCUUACGAUACCAUUCUCUGGCUCGUCCUUCUAGUGUCAAUGGGAACACCCUGCACCUCUGAGCUGCUGUUAGCCCCUGUAUGCCCGUCAUGUCAUUGAAGCACUCAAUGUGCACUAGCGGGUCGCUUCUCCCGGAGUACUUGAGGUUGGGAAAGCAGAAAUCUCUUGGGAUAAUAGUGCUUAUGAUCUCGGCUGAUAGCGGAGAUUCUUCAUCCAGCAUUAUCCUCCAGCUUGGAGGCUUUCUCUUGCCCUAUAUCUCAUCCAUCACCUGCGCUAGCCUGCGCACCUCACCUUCCAAUUCCAAAGCACGGUCAAGGUCGCGCGCAGCUACUUGAUCUCGCUCCUGCUCGGCAUUAUGCAGUCGCUGUCUGAGCUCGCCUUCGUCAACAUUUACUCCUCGGUCAUUGAUUUCUAGAACUCGCCCAAGGCGAGAUUGAUCUCUCCUUUCAUCCACACGCUCCCCGGGGAUCCGACCAGCACUUCUAUGGGGAUGUAUCCCAUAGGGUUGUUCUACUAGCGGAGGGAUCUCCUCGAUUCUACGCCUUCGUAGGUUGGGUUCCGCCAUAGUUUCAUCCCUUACCACAGUGGUCUCGCCUUCCCUUCUCCGCUCAUCCCUAAAGUCAUAUAAUAUAGCUGUGAGCGUCUCCAUUUGGUUUGCCAUCUGUUCCAUUCGGUCUUGCAUCAUCCUCUCUCUAGCUUCAUUCGCGAUCUCUCGGAGAGUGAUCGAUUCACCAGUUUCAUUGUCGCCCCCUAAGGCGUCCUUCCUUGUCAUAUCCAUAACUAAUCGUUCACUGCGUCUCUGGUGAUUACUAACUUGAUGGUAGCUUUUUAUCCAGCUCCCUACAGACGGCACCAAAAUGUUGAUGCUGAAACAUGCUUGCCCUCUGCCCGGCCAGAUCGUUCCACUAACGUUUGUGUAUUCAAUGGAGAGGAUACUGCCCUUUUGCCUCCUUCAGCAACUACGGAUGCUCCAGGGGUUGGAAUUACCUUUUUCCCUUCUUUCUAAUCCUGCACUCACAGAGAUAGAUAAGAGACGCCGGUGGUUUUAUCGGCGUAAACCCUCCGAUGCUUAAGUUAGCACAAGAUGUUUUACGAGAAAAUUAUGUAACUUGGAUUGUUUGGUUUCUUGUAAUGCUUUCUAAAACUUGUAAAGAAUAUAAUCUGGUUUUAAUUUGGCAGAGUUUUCCUUUUUCUCUCAAUUUUCCAUCCCCUUUUUCAUCGGUUUUCCAGCUUCUUAUAGCUGUUGUCCCACGUUCCUGUCUACUCCUCAUGCCCCCCCUUUUAUUGGGUGAUGGCAGGCCUUCAUGGGCCUCCAACCACUGAAUUGUGGGUAAACGUGGGAUGACAUGUCCCUCUCGAUGGUUUAGGGCAUAGCGAAACUGCCGCAUUUUCGUGAGAUCGUGUCCUCCUUCUUUGGGUGAUGGGUAUCUGGUCGGUAUAUGUCUCUAGUUGAUACAUUCCUCUGGUCAAUGCUCGUCUCUAGUAGGCCCACGUUUGUAUGAGGCAUUUUACCAGGGCUCUUCUCGUGCCGCUGAGGUGAUUCGCCUCGGGGUGGGAAAUAGGGGCAUGGCCGAGCUGGUGCUCUUUAUUACUUAACAACUGUCUUUGAAAAUUUUGGCUAAGUUAGUAGGCCACAAAAUUUUAUUAACCAUCUAUGCAAUUAUAGAGCAAUCCCCUCCAAAUAGAAUGAUGCCAAUUGUAUUUAUUGUUCUAGGACUACAUUCUCAAAUCCGAAGAAUUAUUCCACCUUAUGAAUCCAACCAGUCGGAUCAUCUCCGUUGAAAUUUGGAAAGUUUAGUUUGAGAUAGUGGUGAUGGUUGGGAAAGUUUGAGGAGAAAGGUUUUAUGGCUUGGUUAGAGGAUGUUGUAGCCUGUAGGUGCAAAGGGGUUAAUUUCAGAGGCAAUUAUGUGUGAGGUUUGUGAUGCACGAAGAGAUUGAAGAUUUCUUGAACCUCAUUACGAAACUCAGCAUUUGAUUGACUUCGGGUAGCCGUAUUUCGAGCAACCUUUGUUUGAUACCAGAUGAUAGGUAAUUUCUUAGUUUAGAAAGGAAAGUAUGAAAAGUAGAGGAAGAAUAUAAGUUGUUUAGAAGGAAAAAGAUAAUUUUUAUUCCAAAAGCAUGCCCACUAUAAAUCCAAUAAUUUCUCUUAAAUAAACCUAUACAUAUACCAAAAACUAAAAAACUAGAAAAGAGGAAAAUCACUUGAAAAUAAGAACAUGAUCAAUUAAAACGGUAACAUGCACAACCGCCACGAAUCAAAACCAAUCGAUUUUAAAUAGUAUGAAUUGAAAUCAAAUUAAACCAAACCAAACUAAAUCGGACCGAACCGAAAUAUUAGGUUCGGUUCUAAAUUUUGGUUUGAUUUUGGUUCAGUUCUAAAUUUUCGGUUCGAUUCUAACUUGUUGUUUUAACACCACGAUUUAUGUUCGUUGGAAGUAUCUUCCUCGUCGUCCAAAAUUCAUCCCACUUGCAGCUCAUUCUCUCAUGCAAUCCCUCAUCUUCUGUAGUGAUUUGAUUGCUCUGAUAACUAUAAGCAAUAAACCACUGCCCAAGAAAUUUUGCCAAGAACAAUUCAAGAUGAAAAUAAGCCAAUGAUUGAUUUAAAGUUCUAAUGAUGAAACGAAACCUUAGCUCUAGGUUAAUGGAGAUUUAACAAAAGAUUGAAACAAAUCAAGAAGCAAACACACUCAAUGCAAAGACAGGAUUUUAAUGUGGUUCAAUUAUGCACAAAGUUCAUAAUCUACAUCCGCGGGAGAAGCCACAAAAAUCUCUUUAUUGAUGAUUCAAGAUGAAUUUUAUUGAGAAAAUACAGAGAUCGUUACAAGGAACAAGAUUACUCUUUCUCACUUUCUAGAAACUCUCUGAAAAGCUCAAUCACACACACGUAAUCUGCUUCAACAACCAGCCUCUUUAUACUCUCUUAUGAAAACCCAGAUUGCACAGCCCUUUGACACGUGUGUAACAGCUUCUAACGACUUGAUUCCUCCCUCACAUGCUAGCUCACGUGUUUUACUUAAGUUUCCUAAAAACGACACAAAGCAAUGUCGUUCUGCCUUAUGCUGAAGAGCCCGUGACUGCACGUGAGUUGUAAGUAAUUCCAACUGAUCAAAACGCAAUCGUUUUGGGACUCUGAGUUUUGAAUUCAUAACACUCCGGUCCACAUCUUCCUCACCCACUAAUAUAAACAAAGCACAAAACAAUUCCAAUCUCAGAAUUAAGAUCAUGCUCAGACAAAUCCUUAAGCCCAUCAGCGAUCUAUCGUCUACUGCGAGCUAAUCGAGAGUGCCAUCUAAUACGAGGUGGCUGAGAGACCGUGAGAGUGAGAUGUUGACCAGAGAUAGACAUAGUGAGAGUGAGCGUGGUUGCGUGAGUGUGGAAGAAAGGGGAUGCUGCUAUGCUGCGUGUUGUGCUUGAGAGUGAGCAUAGUUGCAUGAGAGAGAGAGGGGCUACUGCUAUGCUGUACUUGAGAGUGAGGGUGGUUGCAUGAUAUCUGCUCAAUAUGUAUGGGAUGAAGUUUCUGAUGGGUAAAAAUCAUGUUUUUAAAUUUUUAUAAAACCUUUUUAAGAUCGCUUUCAUAUAAUAUAUAAGAAUUUGUAAUCUAGAAAUCAUACCUUGAAAAUCCGAUUUAGCUUUUUCCGCUGGAAUGAUUUAGGCUCCCAGAUCACGAUCCAUCACCACCACUCCUGUUAGAUUACGAUCCGUCACCACCACGCUUGUUAGAACACGAACUGGCACCAAUGAUCUUCCAGGUUAUGACUCAAGUUUGAUCUGCACUUGACGUGUGGGCGCCUUUAUCACUACCAAAGCAACUAGCACAAGAAAACUUUUCUCUCAACAAUAGAGAGAAAAAUCUUUUUCUCUGAUCUGUAUAAAGUGCCUGCUCCCUUUUUCUUUAGAGAAAAUAAGCAUUUUAUAUCUCCCUUUAGUGAAAACCCUAAGCUCCAAAAAAUCAAAAAACAAAACUCACGUUACUUGCUUUUUCUAUAGGGGACACACCUUGUAAAAUAACAUAAUAGCCCUUACACACAAGCGAAUUAAAUGGAGCCUCCCACUAAAAGAUAUAUUUAGGCUUUUGACCCAAAUAGCUUAUCUUACUUAUUAGUCCAGUAGUGGUGCAUUCAAUUAAAUGAGCUAACCCGGGGAUCAUUUGGGAACAUACAAUAGUGGCUAUAACAAUUAGACCUGUAAUUAAACUAGCCUAAUUAUUUAAUUCCAAAUCUACUCCACUAAAAGAUUGGAAUUGACCUCCAUAAUUGUAUGCUCGAAUAAUAAUUUGUCCCAAGUCUAAUUGAUUUCUUUACUGCACAAUCCUUUGUAUCACAUCGUUAAUUCAAUUGAUAUCUCAACUGUCCAAUCAAUUUAAUAACAUCUUGUUCCUUGAUACUUAUUGGUUUUCUCUAAUGAUCAUUUUCAACAUACUAAAUAUGUUGACACACUCUGGCCAAAGAAUUCUAUGAUCAAGUGCCGAAAACCCAUCAAGAGAUGUAUUGUACAAAUUCUAUAUUGUUAAUCCAUAACUCCAAUACUCAUAAUUGCUCCCACCAAGAUACCGGGUAAUCUUGACCACAAGAAUGUGUCGUGCCCAUUGGUAACUCAAAUGGAAUAACAAUUACAAUCAUGAAAUCAUAAUUAACUCAAGAUUAAGAUUACAGUAAAAUCAAUAGAUUUAAUAAGUCUGACAGUCAUUUCAAUGUUAAUUAAAUCUCAUAUGUGAUCCUGUUCAAUGUAGUCGUACUACAUUAAUAAAUUCAUACAUGAUUAAGACAAAUCAUUCAAUGAAUUCAUUACAGUCUAUACUUAAAUAAAGUGCCCAACUUUAUUUAUCAACUGCGAACUAAAUUUAUUUAAUCAUAAGAUAACUUAUAUUUAUGUCUUCUGUGAAUCCACAUGGUGAUCACAUAAAUACAUAUAAUAUGAUUAAAUGGACUUUGAUCAAAAUAUUAAUGCAAUUAAGAUAUUUGAAUAAAAUACCUCAUUAAUUUUAUUAGUCAGAAAAAAUGUUUAUUAUAAUUAAAUAAACACAUAUACUUUUAAAGAGUAUAUUUUCCCAACAGUUUCUUCAGUUGGUUAUUUCACUUAGUCAAAAUAAAUUAUAGUAGUGGUUGCAUACCUGACUUUGGAGGUAAGGCUGGAGGCAAACUUCUACAUUAAUUUAUAACUUGUUUCACAACAUAUUACGGUUAUAAAUGAGACUUAAUCCAAAGACGGAAAGAGAGAAAUUUGCUACACUCUUUAGUAUCCAUUAUUGAGAAAAACACCAAAAUUAACUUUUACUUCUUUAAAAUCAUUUUUGAAACCUCCCAAAAGAUAUCUCAAAUGGGUUCUCAAUUUUUUAAAACAUUACUUUUGGCUAAACACCCCAUCCUCCAGUAGAUUUUGAAAAUGUCAAAAUGUAUAAGACACUCAUCCAGUGGGGGUUUCACAGGCUUACCUCUCUUAGAAGUCUUUGCAUUCUUGGAUGUCAUGAAGCAGAGUGUUUUCCAGACGAGAAGAUAGGAAUGACGCUGCCCAAUUCUUUAACUUGUCUGUCCUUUCGAGGAUUCAAAAACACAUUUAAGAAAUUGGCAAUUUGUUGUUAGUCACAGUAUCUGAUGUUCUUUUCUUUUAUAGUUUGCAGAAUCAACUGUAUUAUAUGUUGUCAUUUGCAGUAUCUGAGGUGCCUUUUGCAUUUUACUUGACCUUUAUUUGUUUUGCUAGUGACUGAAGAAUACCAACAUUGGUUAGAGAUUUGGAGAAGCAUCUGAAGAGGCUUGACAAAGUUGGAGAUGCACUUGCUCCCAAGCCUUCAAUCAUCACAAUGCAAAUCCGAUGAGUACUUAUGCCGGCAAUUAUGUAAAAUAUUUGAAAUUUUGAUUCAGGGAAAUGGUUUGUUGAUGCAAAGCUUUAAACUGUUAAGACUUACCUAGCAGGCCUGUUGGAUGUUGUAUCAACUCCAAAAUCCAACAAGAACUACGGCACCAAGACCCAUUUUUUACUGAUUCAAUCAGCUGAAAUGAUGAGGCAAAUCCCACGUGUUCGAAUCAGUCAUCCAUUUCAUGAACUGUUAUUUUCAUGAUGCUGGCUAUUGGAGUUGAAGAGGAAACAAGGAUGUGUUGGAAUCAAUGAGAACAGUGGGAAGCAUGACUCGAGCUCUGAUUAUAAAUAGACAUUUUAAAAACAUGUGCUGGUAAGUGGUGAUUAAAGAAAUUUGUGAGCUUAUUCAAGUUUCAGUAUUUGCUGUUUGGAUAAAGCUGAUACCAAGUUUGGCAAAAUCUGUGCUUUCUUUGUUCAAUCUGUGUUAUGGUUAAAGUAGAUGCUCUGAUUAAUAAGCCAGCCUACGAUAGCUGGCUCUAAUAAUCGGCUUCCUUUUUCUUGUUUGCUGUUGUAUAUUCUUUCAAUUUUUUUUCCGCAUUAGGACGAUCAGUUGAAGAACAAGUUUAUGUUUGACGAUGCAUUUAAGGAAGAGCCAGACUUGGAUGCAGAUCUGAAAAGGUUAGCAUGAACGAAAACCUUCAGAACUGACUGAAGGUUUCUGAGUUGAUCCUAAAAAUGUAGCAGUUGUCUGUUUCAUAAAGCAGAACAAAAACAGAAUAAGAGAUCACUAAUCAUGCUUGAGAAUUCAUUUAAAUAAAAUUUCAAAAAUUGCCAAACACAGCAUAAACUAGGAUGCACUUGCUUAAGAUUCAUUUUCAGAAGGAAGUUUGUACUUGCAGCUCAUAAAAUCAUGUUUAUGUUGUAUGUUUAUUCAGCAAAUGAAAGAUUCCAAGUUUGCUGAAACCAUAUUAUUUUUUUACCAGGCGCCUUCCUGAAGGUAUCGACGUCAAUUUCAAAAAUGUUGGGGAUAAGUUGCUUGAUGCAGUGCUACACAAAUAUGAAGGAUUUCUUGUCGGUGAUUACUACCACCUCGAUAAAAAAAUUCAUGGAACUGGUCAUGCCGGCAAUAAAAGAAGGAAAGGUGGUAUACGUCGAAGACAUAGAUGAAGGCCUCGAGUCCAUCAGCCCUCGUUGGGCUAUUCACUUGUCGGAAUGUCAGGAAACAACUUGUUGAAGUUGCGUGGGAAUUUUAAAACUACCAUAUGUUGUAGAAAUGCACUGAGCCAUGUGCUUUCAGAGCUUUGUGAAGAUGUCUUGGCCAUGUGUUUGAUACAGGUUAUGCUUGUUCCAUUAAAUUGUAUGCACUUAUAAAUCAAAGAUUCAGAACAUGUGUAUGUUACUGGUUUCCAGAAUCCAGAUCAAUAAAUGCCUCCAUGUAGAAGUUCAAAUUUUAAAUUUUUUGAAGUAGAGGUGUAGAGUUUCUUUUUUCAAAAAAGAAAAAGUAAAUUCUGAAGACUUUCUUUAUUUAAUUUUACAAUCUUAUUUUAUUUCUUUUACGAUAUAUUUUUAAAAUACUUAUUUAGUAAAUUAUUAACAUCUAUACCACUAAAAGAUUUUUUUUGUUAAACGCUCUACUUACAAAGUUAUAUUAAUUAUAGAUUUACUCAAAGAAGCCCUAUUUAAAAAGUUACAGCAAAAAAAGUCAUAGUUACCUUUAGUAAAUAAUAAUCUUCUAAUCUGUCUUACAACGGACUUUUGACAAAAGUGUGCUACUCCCACCUCCUCAAAGUCCACCCGACACCCCGUCUUCUCUAUUUAAAAUUUUAUAUAGUUGAAAAUUAUAUUUUCUUUUACUUGACGCCCCUCCAAAUUCUAAAACUUAGCUUCGAUGAACCUUCUUCGUUAAAUCUCGUUGCUUUCCUUUUUUCUUGUUACUUGAGAAGAAGAACCAGAGUCUAGAAGAAUGAAAGAAAAUUCAGCGUGAUAGAAAUUUAGAAAUUUCAUCCGAUCUUUUUUUCUUAAAUUUUUUGGUAUUUUGAUUCGUUCAAUGGAUUCUUGAUCAUUCUUCAUUCUUUCUAGUUUCUACCAUGAUUCGGAAAUUUUUCUUAAAAAAACUACUACUCUUGUGUAUUUAAAAAAAAAGGAAAGAAAGAAAAAAGGCAUUAAUAAAGAAUUGCGCACGUAACAUUAUUAGUACCCUGUUGAUUGGUCGUUUGGUCUUCAAGAAAUGCUAGUUAAUAUGUGCUUGAAAUUAUAUUCUGCUUUUUUUUUCCCUAUGUAUUGUUUCCCGUUUGAUUACAUUUCAAACAUUUUUAACACGAAUGAAUGUUUUAACCAUUUUUGUCACUUCAUUAUUACAAUAAGCUGAUUGAAGUUAUCUGCGUUGGCCCUGAAAAUGUAAUGGACACUACUCCGUUUACAUAAAACAGGACAAAACAUCGAUAUUUCUACCAUUGCCAUACAUAGUAUAGCCUAGGAAUACAUUUCCAUAAUUAAUAUUUAUUUCAGAAGGAACUUUUCACUUGCAGCUAACAGAAUCAUGUUAAAUUUAUGAUGUAUGUUUAUUUGGGAGAUGAAAGAUUCGCUGCAUUAUUUUAUUCCAAGUUUGCUGAAAUCAUAUUUGUUUUCCCGGCUGCUUUCCUGAAUGUAUCGACAUCUAUUUCGAAAAUGUCGGGGGUAAGAUGCUUGGUGCAGUGCUACUCAACAUGAGAAUUCAUCUUCUAACUCGUUACCUGAUAUUAUUGUCUUCUUGAAAAUUUAAUUAAGCUUAGAAGUCCCUUAACCACAAAAUCAAUGGAGUUUAACUCUAUCGAUAGACAACUUUUAAGUAAUAAACCAACACAUGAGUUCAUCUCUAUUGAUACUCAAGUUCUAAGUCCCUUAUUCAAUACUAAAAUCCAUGAGAAUUAAACUAACCGUAGUUUAACAUGUGAUUAACAAAUGGUAAAAGGUUCAAAAAAUACAUCAAUUAUAAAAGAAAUAAAAUCAGCAAAGAGACCACAUCAGAAAUUUCUUAGAUGUCCGAAACUAUUAAAAGAAUUCACAUACCAAAUCAAAAAAAGUAGAAAAUGCUUAAGCUCCUUAAGGUAAUUUGAAGUAUGAAAGUGAAUGGCAUAUAAUCCAAUAUAAAAAAAAAAUGGUUUUAGUGCCGUAUAAAGAGAAGUUAAUGGUGGUUACAGAAGUGGGGAAAGUUGAGUACAAAUCAGAUAAUGGGAGGUUCCUAAACUUCCUUAAAUCAAUUUUAAUUUCAAAAAUAAAAUAAUAAAAAAUAAAAAAUAGCAUAAAAGAAAUAAGAUAAAAAUUACUUUUCUAAAAUUGCAUGCAAGUAUACAAAAAUAACAUAUGUUGAUAUUACAUCGAGAAAGGUCCAUCAGCCCUAGUUGGGCUAUUCACUGCAUAGAAUGUCGGAGAACAACUUGUUGUGGUAGCUGUUGGGAAAAUAUGCUCUUUAAAAGCAUGUGUGUUUAUUUAAAUGUAAUAAACAUUUUUUCUGAUUAAUAAAAAUAAUGAGGUAUUUUGUGCAAAUAUCUUAAUUGCAUUAAUAUUUUUAUUAAAGUCCAUUUAAUCAUAUUAUAUGUAUUUAUGUGAUCACCAUGUGGAUUCACAGAAGACAUAAAAUACAAGUUAUCUUAUGAUUAAAUAAAUUUAGUUCGCAGUUGAUAAAUAAAGUUGUGCACUUUAUUUAGGUAUAGAUUGUAAUAAAUUCAUUGAAUGAUUUGUCUUAAUCAUGUAUGAAUUUAUUGAUGUAGUACGACUACAUUGAACAGGAUCACAUAUGAGAUUUAAUUAACCUUGAAAUGACUGUCAGACUUAUUAAAUCUCAUUGGCAUUGAUUUUACUGUAAUCUUAAUCUUGAGUUAGUUAUGAUUUCAUGAUUGUAAUUGUUAUUCCAUUUGAGUUACCAAUGGGCAUGACACAUACAUGUAGUCUAGAUUACUCGGUAUCUUGGUGGGAGCAUUUAUGAGUAUUGGAGUUAUAGAUUAACAAUAUAGAAUUUGUACAACACAUCUCUUGAUGGGUUUUCGGCACUUGAUCAUAGAAUUCUCUAGCCAGAGUGUGUCAACAUAUUUAGUAUGUUGAAAAUGAUCAUUAGAGAAAACCAGUAAAGAUCAAGGAAUAAGAUGUUAUUAAAUUGAUUGGACAGUUGAGAUAUCAAUUUAAUUAACGAUGUGGUACAAAGGAUUGUGCAGUAAAGAAAUCAAUGUGGCUUGGGACGAAUUAUUAUUCGAGCAUACAAUUAUGGAAGUCAGUUCCAAUCUUUUAGUGGAGUAGAUUUGGAAUUAAAUAAUUGGGCUAGUUUAAUUAUAGGCCUAAUUAUUGUAGCCACUAUUGUAUGUUCCCAAAUGAUCCCCGGGUUAGCUCAUUUAAUUGACUGCACCACUACUGGACUAAUAAGCAAGAUAACUAGCUAUUUGGGUCAAAAGCCUAAAUAUAUCAUUUAGUGGGAGGCUCCAUUUAAUUAGUUUAUGUGUAAGGGGUCUUAUGUUAUUUUACAUGGUGGGUCCCCUAUAAAAUAAAAAGUAACGUGAGUUUUAUUUGUGAGCCUAGGGUUUUCACUAAAGGGAGAUAUAUAAGGCUUAUUUUCUCUAAAGAAAAAGGUGAAGCCACUUUAUACAGAUCAGAGAAUAAGAUUUUUCUCUCUAUUGUUGAGAGAAAAAUUUUCUCGUGCUAGUUGCUUUGGUAGUGAUAAAGGCGCCCACACGUCAAGUGCAGAUCGUACUUGAGUCAUAACCUGGAAGAUCAUUGGUGACAGUUCGUGAUCUAACAAGCGUGGUGGUGACGGAUCGUGAUCUAACAGGAGUGGUGGUGGCGGAUCAUGAUCUAGGAGCUUAAAUCACUUCAGCGGAAAAAGCUAACUCGGAUUUUCAAGGUACGAUUUCUAGAAUACAAAUUCUUAUAUAUUAUAUGAGAGCGAUCUUCAAAAGGUUUUAUAAAAAAUUUAAAAACCUAAUUUUUCCCCAACAAUUGGUAUCAGAGCCAUCUCAUAUUAAUAUAUAAGAAUUUCGUAUGAAAUUAAUCUUGAUAUUUAUGUAUUAGAGUGGCACAAUUUAUUCAGAUAUAUAUUAUUUGUUUAAUAUAUGAAUAAAGCAUGUUUAUGGUUUGUCUUAAUUCAUGGUUAGAUUUUCUGUUGUAUUUUUCGUUUGGAUCUUUAACAAGAGGGGUGGUUUUUAUCACAAUGUUUCCCUCUUGAUUUAUUUUACUGUUAUAGAAUUUUUGUAAGCCAAAAAUUGGCCUAGGAAAUUUGUAAAUAAAUCACGGAUGACAAAUCAAAGCGACGGAGGCCGGAAAUUUCGACAUCGACCGCUGACCAGCGCACUCGCUACAACCAACGAGCGGCACACGCUGCAAGCGCAUGCUGGCAGUGCGCGCAGCAAGCAGCGCGCGCGGCCAGCCUGGCCAGCGGCGCGCGUUCCAGCAAGCAGCGCGCGCAGGGAUGGUUUGUUUCCGGCAUAUCGGCAACGGCAAACUCGACGUUGAUAGCGGCUGUCCGAUGAGAUUGGCCUGAACAGUGGCCGUUUGUGGAGAUGGCGACUGGGGAAGAAGAAAGAAAGAAAAAUAUGGAUUUAGGGUUUCAUGGCUUUUAUCAUGGAGAUCCCUAUGGUUCCAUAAUUUUUCACUUGGGCAAUUAAGUUUUAAUUUUUUGCAUUUAAGUCUAAAAAUAGUUUUCGGCUUAAAGAAUCCUAGUUUUAGGUCCAAUUGAAAUUUGGGCUUAAUGGAUUAAAAAUGCAUAGAUAAAAUUAAAUACAUUAAAAUUUAUUUUUGGUCCAAAAGUUUUAUUUUAAUAAAAAAAAUUAUUUAUUUAUUUAUUUCCUUUAAAAAUUAAAAUUGGACCAAUUAGAAAUUAUUUAUUUAUCUCUCAUUUGUACUUGGGAGACAGUCUAUUGUAAGUAGUGUGUAUUUUUGCAUGUCUAGGAAAGUUCUGUCAACAAAGGCGAUAAGUGUAUAAGGAUUCUGGUUUUUAAUUGGGACCAAGUUCCCAUCUAGUUUCCUGGAAACUUUCUUGGUGCAUUUAUUCACGCGAAAUUAACAUCAUAGAGACUGUUUUUCAAGUGAAAAUAGUUCGUUGAGAAAAUGGUAGAAGGUGAAACUUUCAAAAUUGGGGAGAGAUCUACCGAGACUAUUUCAGGAGACACUUCAGGUGGGAGGCGAGAUUUGUCAAAUCGCUAUUCAGCACCUGUAUAGAAGGCCAGAAGAUCGAUGUUGAAAAGUUUGAUGGGAAAAUCAACUUCGGCAUGUGGAGGCGCGAAGUUAUGGAUGCCCUUAUUCAAAUCGAUCUCGAUGUUGUUCUGAAAAAUAAAAGACACUUGUAUGAUGAAGAAAUUUGGGAUCGUAUGAAUGAAAAAGCAUGUGGUCAGAUCAGAUCUUGUUUGACCAAGGAGGUGAAAUACUUGGUGAAAGAUGAGGAGUGUGCGGUGACUUUGUGGCGUACAUUGGAGGAGAAGUACCUGGUGAAAAGUCCUGAAAAUCGCCUUCAUGCAAUGAGCCAAGUAUAUGGCUUUCGAAUAAAGUCUGGGGUGUCAAUGCACGAUCAUGUUUUAAGAUUUGAAAAGUUACUUGCUGAUUUGAAGAAUCUUGAUGAAGAUAUUAAGGAUGAAGUCAAGGCUAUGAUUCUGUUACACUCACUACCAGAGGAAUAUAGCCAUUUUGUGACUACUUUAAUAUAUGGGAAGAGUGUGAUCAUCUUUAAAGAUGUUUGCACAACAUUGACUAGCUUAGAGAUUCGAAAUAAUGAUAAAAAUUCUAAACGAGCAUCGUCUGAAGCUUUGGUGAGUAGAGAUUGGGCGAUGGAGAAACAAAAGAAGCGUGGUGGAAAGAAUUCUCGAUCCAAAUUGAAAAGCAGAAAUAUAGCUCGAGAUGAGUGUGCCUUUUGUCAUGAAAAGGGCCAUUGGAGGAAAGAUUGUCCAAAGGCUCAAAAGAGAGAUGGGAAGAAACCAGCAGCAGCAAACAUGGCACGGAAAGAUGAGGGCUCUGAUUAUUCACUAAGUAUUACUCUUGCAGCAUACGUGGCUAGUUCGAGUGAGUGGAUACUUGAUACUGGAGUGGUUUACGGAUUUUUAUCAUUUGUGUCCUAUUAAGGAAUGAUUUACGGAUUUUCGUAAUCUGGAAUCCGGUGCAGUUGUGAUGGGGAAUGAUCAACCUUGUCGCACAAUGGGGAUAGGAACAAUUCGGCUCAAAAUGUUUGAUGAAAUGAUCAGAGAACUCAAAGAGGUUAGAUUUGUUCUAGCUUUAAAGAAAAAUCUAAUUUCUGUGGAUUUCUGUGGGUGCUUUGGAAGCUAAAGGCUACAAGGUUACCAUUGAAGAUGGUAUAAUGAAGUUUACACAUGGGGCUAUGGUGAUUCUGCAAGGGGUUCGGUGUCACAAUCUGUACUAUUUGAAGGGAGGUACAACUGAUGAAGCAAAUGUUGUUAAGGCGCACAGUGACACCACCAAGCUAUGGCAUGUACGAUUGGGACAUGCUGGAGAGAAGUCUUUGCAAACUCUGAUGAGGCAUGGACUCUUAAAAGGUACCAAAACCUGUAAAUUAAAUUUCUGUGAGCAUUGUGUAGUAGGCAAGAAAACAAGGGUCAAGUUUGGUAUAGUUAAUCACGAUACUCGUGAGAUUCUUGAAUAUGUUCAUAGUGAUGUAUGGGGACCAACCAAGACUGCAUCAAUUGGUGGAAGCCAUUACUUUGUUACAUCUAUUGAUGAUUUCUCUAGACGUGUGUGGGUGUACACCAUGCGAGCAAAGGAUGAGGUUCUAGAGAUUUUCGUGAAAUGGAAGAAAUUGGUGGAGACUCAAACUGGCAGAAAGAUCAAAGUAUUACGAUCUGAUAAUGGGGGUGAAUAUACUUCUGAUCCAUUCUUACAAGUAUGCCAGAACGAGGGUAUUAAAAGACAUUUCACGGUGAGACAUACUCCGCAACAGAACGGUGUGGUUGAGCGUAUGAAUCGUACUUUACUGGAGAAGAUACGGUGUAUGUUAUCUAAUGCUGGUUUAGAUAAAAAGUUUUGGGCUGAAGCUGUGAGCUACGCAAGUCACUUGGUAAACCGGUUGCCUUCUGCUGCAAUUGGAGGUAAAACUCCUAUGGAAAUGUGGUCUGGAAAGCAUGCACAAGACUAUGAUUCCCUUCGUGUAUUCGGGUGUUCAGCUAAUCAUCAUGUCAAAGAUGGUAAACUGGAUCCUCGUGCUAGAAAAGCUAUCUUUGUGGGAUUCAAAGGUGGAGUAAAGGGCUUUAAGCUUUGGGAUCUCGAAGACAAAAAGUUUGUGUGUAGCAGAGAUGUCACAUUUGAUGAAGCUUCAAUGAUGAAAGCGUCAAGUUCUCAGCAGGUGGAGAACAAGACCAAAAAGGUAUUGCAGCGGGUGGAGUUUGAUGCAACUCCAUAUGUACCAGUUAGUUCUACAUCAAAUAAGAGUUCAACUAUGGAGGUGACACCUAGAGUUGAAGAAGAGGUCAUUUUUUCUGAUGUCUCACAAAAUGAAGAAACAAUUGAUGAUGUAGAUAAUGAUGAUUUUAUAGCAACAAGGAGGCCAAGAAGAGAGAUAAAGAAACAGGGAUGGCUUACUAAAGAUAUGGUGGUAGCAUAUGCACUUCCAGUUAUUGAUGAUGACAUCCCCAACACUUUUUGUGAAGCAUUACGCAGCAGUGAAAGUGAUCAGUAGAAGUUAGCCAUGGAGGAAGAGAUGAAAUCUCUCCAUCAAAACCAGACUUGGGAACUUGUAAAGUUACUAAAUGGGAAAAGGGCUAUUGGUAAUAAAUGGGUCUACACCACAAAGCAAGGAUCUCCGAAUCAAACAACUCCUCGAUACAAGGCAAGGCUCGUGGCAAAAGGUUUUGCUCAAAAGGAAGGUAUUGACUACAAUGAAGUUUUCUCCCCAGUUGUAAAACAUACUUUCAUUCGUAUCCUACUUGCCGUCGUUGCAGAAUAUGAGUUAGAGUUGGCUCAAUUGGAUGUUACGACGGCGUUCUUACAUGGAGAUUUGGAAGAGGAAAUCUAUAUGAUUCAGCCUUGUGGUUUCAAAGUUGCUGCAAAGGAGAAUCAUGUGUGUAGGUUGAUUAAAUCUUUGUACGGACUGAAGCAAUUGCCAAGGCAGUGGUACAAAAGAUUUGAUCAAUUUAUACAAGGGCAGAAAUUCACCAGAAGUGAACACGAUCAUUGUGAUUACUUUAGAAGACUACCAGAUGGAGCUUUCAUCUAUUUGUUACUCUAUGUCGAUGAUAUGCUUAUAGCUUCGAAGAAUAGAGAUGAGAUCGAAAGAUUAAAGAAGCAGCUGGCUUCUGAGUUCGAGAUGAAAGACUUGGGUGAUGCACAGAGAAUACUUGGGAUGGAGAUUCGUAGAGACAAGAAGAAUGGGAGCGUAUGAUUGACUCAAAAGUCUUAUUUGAAGAAAGUGCUAGAAAGAUUCAGUAUGGAUGACAAAACUAAACCGGUAUGUACACCUCUAGCUCCUCAUUUCAAAUUAAGCUCUUCUUCAUGUCCUAGAUCUCAAGAAGAGCGCGAUUACAUGGCUCGUGUUCCAUAUGCUAGUGCUGUGGGUAGUCUUAUGUAUGCUAUUGUAUUCACAAGGCCCGAUAUAUCUCAAGCAGUGAGCAUGGUUAGUAGAUACAUGCACAAUCCGGGUAAAAAUCAAUGGCUUGCGGUAAAGUGGAUUCUCCGAUAUUUGUAUGGGACAGUUGAUGUUGGGUUAUUAUUCAAGAAAGAUUGUGGUCAACAAUGUGUUGGGUAUUGUGAUUCUGAUUUCGCUGGAGACCUUAACAAGAGAAGAUCAACAACGGGCUACGUAUUCACAUUGGGUGGAGGUCCGGUUAGCUGGAGAUCGAUUCUACAAUCGACAAUUGCUCUAUCCACUAUGGAAGCAGAGUAUAUGGCAGCAAUUGAAGCUGUAAAAGAAGCUAUCUGGUUGAAAGGCUUGUUAGGUGAUUUGGGAGUAAUCCAGGAGAACAUUACGAUCUUCUGUGAUAAUCAAAGUGCGAUAUUCCUUGCAAAGAAUCAAACAUAUCACGCUCAGAUGAAGCACAUAGAUGUGAAAUAUCAUUAUGUGAGGGAGAUUAUCGAGAGCGGUGUUGUGUUGUUGAGAAAGAUCGAUACCAAAGAUAAUCCAUCAUAUAUGUUAAUGAAGGUAGUUUCUGGAGUUAAGUUUCAACAUUGCUUGAAACUAAUUCAAAUCCUUCGAUUGUGUUAAGAUAUGUCCUUCGGAAAUUUUGAACUACGGUUGGCUUGAUCCCAAAUUUUGGGUACGUUUGGCAGUCACAGAGAUACAGCCACUUUGCGGAUGAUGAUUGGUUGGGAGUCGGCUCAGAUUUGAACAAACCUUCGCCGAGGUGGAGAAUUGUUGAAAAGUCAAAGAAUUGCUUGCCAAUUUCAAAAGCAAAGUUGGUGGGUUUGCCAAAUUCAAAAAAACAAAGUUGGCCGGCUUGCUAAUUUCAAAAGGCAAAGUUAGGUGUUGAAAAACUUGUACAUGCAAUAUAAGAUCCAGCUCAACGUUUUGACCAAAUGAACCCAACUUGGAGCAGAAUGCACUCUAUAAAUAGAGAAGCAUUUUGCAAUUGUCAAUCAUCCCAACAAUUUGUUAAGCUUAUAAAUUUCUAAGCUUUUGAGAGUUCUAAGAGUGUGAAUAAUUGGAGAGUGUGUGUGAGAGUACUUGGUAUAUUUGGGUUCUGGGAAAGUGAGAUUUCUUUACUCAAAUAAUUAUUAAUAAUAUAAUUAUUUUUCUCUUGCUUCCGUGGACAUAGGCAUAUUGUCGAACCACGUAAAUUUUGUGUCCUUUAUUUUUCAGUAAUUAUUUGGUGUGUUUGAUUCCGCAUUCCGCGCACAACACCUACAGGUGACUAAUUAAUGGGAAAUUGACAAUGACAAAAGCAAUUUAUGAGUUUUGUAGGCUGGCAUGCCUAUGUUAUAGCAUUGUUCGAUGAACUGCCACACCACAUGUUUUUGACGAGAAAUAAAAACAUCAAGAUAUUGCCCGCUUGCCGUAUUCCACAUCGUGAAUUGUAUCUCUGUUCCUCAAUUUUCAGUGUUCCAUACAUAAAACCAUUUUCAGUUUCUCUUGUUAUCAAUUCAAUUUUCUUGUUCGUGACGAUCUUGAUUCCUUUCUUUCUGGUAAAACGGAGCCAUGUUUGCUGUUGGAGAGGUCUUCCUCAACGCUUUCUUUCAGGUGUUGUUUGACAGGUUGGCUUCUCGUAAUUUGCUCAGCUUUGUGCGUCAACUCCAAGGCGGGGUUGAUUCGGAGCUCAAAAAGUGGGAGAAAAAGCUGAAGAUGAUUCAGGUUGUGCUUAGCGAUGCAGAGGAGAAGCAACUGACUGACGAGGCUGUGAAGAUGUGGCUGGACGAACUCCAAGACUUGGCUUAUGACGCUGAGGACAUUCUUGAUGAGUUUGGUACUCAAGCUUUGGAAAGGAAGUUGAUGGCGAAAAAUCAGGAUAGCACUGGCCAGAUUCUUAGUUUCAUACCGGCUAGUUUGAAUCCGAAUGCUAUUAUGUCCAAUUAUAGCAUGGGAUCCAAGAUUAAAGAUAUUACUAGCCGGUUGGAGCAACUCUGCCAAUAUAGAAUUGAACUUGGGCUGCAACGGAUUGCUGGAGGGGCAUCAUCACCUACUGCUGCUGCACACCAGAGGCCACCCAGUUCAAGUAUCACAACAGAGCGUGAAGUAUUCGGAAGAGAAGAAGAUAAGGCCAAAAUUCUUGAUAUGGUAUUGACCGAUAUUAGAAUUCGUAAUAAGAUGUUUGGAAACAAAGAAAAACAGAGAAAAUGAAAAAGGAAACUUCACGAUUUAUUAACCAGAAUAUUCAAUGCUUAUUAAGCUUACUUAGCUAAGCUUAUAUACAAUUAUUCUAACUAAUUAAACAACUGCAAAACAACUAAUAACAACUUCAGAUUUAGUUUAGCCAUUGAGCUCUUGCCACAUGUCAUUCAGUUACAUUCAAUCUUGUCCAGCUCAGCAGCUCUGUCCAGCUCAGCAGCAACUAUAUCUUCAACAUCCCCCCUCAAGCUCAACCGAGGAAGUAAGGUUGAGCUUGUCACGUAAGUAGAGAAAAGGGUGAUAAGAAAGAGCUUUGGUGAGAAUAUCAGCAGUUUGUUCUGAGCUAGAAAUAUAUUGAACCUUAAGACAUUGAGCAGCAACUUUCUCUCGAACAAAAUGAACAUCUAAUUCAAUGUGUUUUGUUCUGGAAUGAAACUUAGGAUUAGAGGCUAAAGCAGCUGCACUUUGAUUAUCACACCAUAUGAUUGGAAUGGAGGGAAGAGUAAGACCAAUCUCAGCAAGAAGAGAACGAAUCCACAAGACUUCAGCUGCUGCCAUUGCUAGUGCUCGAUAUUCAGACUCAGCACUAGAUCGAGAGACCACUGCCUGUUUCUUAGAGCACCAAGACACUAGAUUUGGACCCAUAUAGACACAAUAACCAGCCACUGACCUCCUAUCAUCUCUGUCUCCAGCCCAAUCAGCAUCACUGAAACAAUCAAUCUGUAUGCUGCCAUGAUUGUAGAACUGUAAACCAAGAUUAACAGUACCCUUCAGAUAUCGUAAAACCCUUUUACAAGCCUGCCAAUGAUUGACAGUUGGAGAAGAUAGAAACUGACUGAGCUUGUUGACAGAGAAAGCAAUCUCUGGUCUGGUCAAUGUUGCAUACUGAAGAGCACCUAUGGUGCUUCUGUAUAGAGUAACAUCAGAAAAGGGUUCACUAUCAGCUUUAGUAAAAGCCACUCCAGAAAGCAUAGGAGUAGAACAAGGAGUACUAUCCUGCAUGUGCACCUUGGCAAGCAAAUCAGUGAUAUACUUGGAUUGAGAAAGAUGAAUACCAGAUUUAUUGUAAAUGACCUGAACUCCCAGAAAAUAAUUCAAUGCACCAAGAUCUUUAAGUGCAAAAACAGACUGGAAGUUGGUGAUGGUCUGCUGAACAAGCUGAGGAUUGGAGCCUGUAAUAAUAAUAUCAUCUACAUACACCAAGACAAGUAGCAGAUGACCUUGUGUGCUCUUAAAGAAGAGUGAAGUGUCUGAAAUAGAAUUUGUAAAGCCCCACUGAGUUGUAAGAACUAGUUUGAGUCUGUCAAACCAUGCCCUUGGAGCCUGUUUAAGGCCAUAAAGAGCUUUGUGCAGCUUACAGACAUAAUCAGGCCUGGAACUAUCUAUAAACCCCUCAGGCUGUUGCAUAUAAACUUCUUCAGUGAGGUAGCCAUUAAGGAAGGCAUUAUUAAUGUCUAUUUGCCUCAGUACCCAAUGAUUCAUGACAGCCAUACUCAAGAUAAUUCUGAUGGUUGAAGACUUAAUGACAGGACUGAAUGUUUCAUGAAAAUCCAGCCCUUGAGUUUGGUGAAAUCCCUUAGCAACAAGUCUAGCUUUGUAUCUAGAGACACUGCCAUCAGGAUUAUAUUUAAUCCGAAAUACCCACUUAUUCCCAAUUACUUUAAUGGGAUGUGUAGGUUUGACAAGAGUCCAGGUAUGAUUAUUGACUAAGGCUUGAUAUUCAUCUGUCAUUGCUUUAUGCCAAGCUGAAUCUUGAAGGGCUUUUAAGGUAGUAGCAGGUUCUGUAGGUUUGGUAGGAUUGGCUGUAAUAUAGGCUUUAGGUUUGAAGAUACCAGCCUUUGAUCGAGUGAGCAUUGGAUGACCAGUAGAUGACUGCAAUGGUGGAGUUAAAUGAUGAACAGGUGAGGUAGAUGGUUCUGAGUGUGAUUGUAUAGAAGAUUGAGAAGGAGAGUCUGGAGAGGAUUGAGAGAACCUGAGAUCAGCUGCUGUAGAGGAUGAAGACUUGGUUAUAUCAAGUUGAAUCAAAGGACAAACAGAAGAUGAACAAUGUGAAGAAGACUGAGAUGAAUGAUCUGAAGAAGAGCAAGAGUGACUGACAGAGGAAAAAUCAACUCCUGACUGAAAAGGAAAACAUGACUCAUCAAAUGUAACAUGGUUACUGACAUAGAUUCUACCAGAGGAAUGAAGACACAAGUAGCCUUUGUGAAGGGAGCUGUAACCAAGAAAAAUACAUCUAGCAGUUCGAAACUCUAACUUAUGAUGAUUAUAAGGCCUCAGAUAUGGGAAACAAGCACAUCCAAAAACUCUCAUAACAGAAUAAUCUGGUCUUUUGUUGAAUAAUUUUUCAAAAGGUGAUUUGUUAUCCAGAAUGGGUGUAGGGAGCCUAUUUAUGAGAAAUGUGGCAGUAUGGAAAGCAUUCCACCAAAAUUUCAGUGGUAAAUGUGCUUGAGCAAGAAGGGUAAGGCCUGUUUCCACUAUAUGUCUAUGUUUGCGUUCAAUCUUUCCAUUUUGAUGGUGAAUAUAAGGACAAGGAUGUCUAAAUUGGAUUCCCUGCUCAGCAAGAUAAGGAAGAAAUGGCCUAAAUUCACCUCCCCAAUCUGUUUGAAGACACUUGAUUUUCCUAUUUAGGCAUUUUUCUAUCAUAUGCUGGAAUUCAAUAAAGGUUUGUAAGGCUUGAGAUUUGGUAACAAGAGGGAAUAUCCAGGUGAACCUAGUGAAAUCAUCUAAGAUGGAAAGAUAGUAGUGAUAGCCUUGAGAGGACAGCAAAGGAGCUGGACCCCAUAGAUCAGCAUGCAACAGCUCCAGUGGUUGAAUGGUAGUGGUGUCUAUAGAAGGAAAAUGCUGCAUGUGACACUUUCCAAAUUGGCAAGCAUUACAAAAAAUUGGUUUCAGGGCUCUAUUGAUAUCGAGAGAAGGAUGCAAAUGCUUCACAAUUUGUUUAAGAGCAUGCACAGUUGGAUGACCCAUUCUUUUAUGUAAAACAUUGUAAUCAACUGAUUUUGAAUGAGUAACAGACAAGGCCAUUGAGGCAUCAUUAUUGAAUUGAGAAAUAUUUACAUCUGUCAAAAUUUCUCCAGAAUGUAUAGAGUUUGAAACAUUGGAAUGACUAAUCAUUGACACUGGAGAGGAACAGACAUUUGACACAGAACUGGAAUUUGAGAUGACACAGAAAACAUUAGACGGAACUCUAUUUGAAACUGCAGCAUGAGACACUACAACAGGACCUUCAACUUGAUAUAAUCCUCCUCUAGCAAUCCCCUUGAGCAAGAUGAUCCCUGAUUUCUUGUCCUUGACAAAACAGGAGGUUUUAUGGAAUUCAACAACAACAUCAUUGUCAGCAAGUAAUUUAGAUACACUUAAAAGGUUUUUGGUUAUAGUUGGGACAUGCAAAAUAUUAUUAAGAUAGAUAGAUGUUGCAGCAAGUGUAUUCAAUCGUGUGCACCCAACAUGUUUAAUAUGUAAUCCCAUGCCAUUUCCUACAUGUAGCUUAUCAAAACCAUGAUAAACUGAGUAAGAAGAAAAGAUACCUGCUUCCUUAGUCACAUGAUUGGUUGCCCCGGAGUCAAUAUACCAAGCAGGAUCAGCUACAACUCCAUAAUCAGCAACUGGACCAGUGGGAGCAAAUUGUGCAGUGGGAAUAGCAGAAGGAGCAACUCCAUAGUUAGCAAAUGGAGUAGCAAUUGCACCAUUGUAUUGACCUUGUAAUCCUUGAAACACAAGAAACCCUUGAGGAUACAUAACAUUUGCAUUCUGAUAUGCAACAUUCCCUUGAAACAUGGGUGCAUUAUAUCUAGGAGCACCAGUUGCAGUUCCAUAAAAAUUUCCAUAACCUCUUCCAAACAUGUUCUGAGGCUGACCAGGAAAGCCUCUAAAAUUGAAUCCACCUCUAGGCCUAAAGCCACCUCUUCCUUGUCUAGGAAUAAAGUUCUGAUUAAAUCUGUUCCUGCAUUUGUAUGCUCCAUGACCAGGUAUGAAGCAUAUUUGACAAAUUACUUCCUUAUCAACAUUAUAUCCUCCUUUGCCAUUAUCAAAAUUUCCACCAUUAAAACCUCUCUGAUUAGCAUUAUUGAACUUAUUGUAAUUCUGUCCUUUCUGAGCAAAAUUAGCUGACAUAUCAUGCAACAAUUCAUUUUGCACCUUUCCCUUACUCAUCUCAACCCUAGUUUCAUGACUAAGCAUUAAGGAAUACACUUCUUCAAUAGUGAGAUUAUCUUUUUCCAGCCUAGCAAGUAUAGUUGUCACUAAUGACUCAUAGUUGUCAUCUAAACCAGUGAGCAAAUGCAUUAUAAAAUCUGUUGAAGCAAGAGGAUUACCACCAAUAGCUAAGCUAUCUGCAAUUUUUUUCAUCUUAUUGAAGUAAUCACUUACUGACAUAGCUCCUUUCUUUGUGGUUUGAAUCUGCAUUUUCAGAGGCAUGUAUCUAGCCUUUGACUGUGACAUGAACAUCUCGGCAAGUUUCUCCCAGAUCUCAAGUGAAGUAUCACAAUCCACAACCAUGAUAAGUACAUUGUCUACCAUAGAUGACAGCAUCCAGCUCUGUAGAAGCUUGUCAGCUUUCUUCCAGUCAAUAUAGUCAGAAUUUUCACGUCUGCUUGAGCUAGGAGCUUCUGAUCUACUGGCAGCAUUCUCAUAUGAGGAAAGAAAACGAUCUGGACAAGGAGAUUCUCCAUUGAUAAAACCUUCAAGUCCAUUGGCAAUAAUCGAAGCUUGAAUUUGAGCUCUCCACACCAGAUAAUUUGUUCGAUCAAGUUUUGUUGGUUGAAUAAAAGAAAAAGAAAGUGAAGACGAUCCUGAAUUGCUUUGAUUCGUCAUGUUUCGUGGCUCUGAUACCAUAUUAGAAUUCGUAAUAAGAUGUUUGGAAACAAAGAAAAACAGAGAAAAUGAAAAAGGAAACUUCACGAUUUAUUAACCAGAAUAUUCAAUGCUUAUUAAGCUUACUUAGCUAAGCUUAUAUACAAUUAUUCUAACUAAUUAAACAACUGCAAAACAACUAAUAACAACUUCAGAUUUAGUUUAGCCAUUGAGCUCUUGCCACAUGUCAUUCAGUUACAUUCAAUCUUGUCCAGCUCAGCAGCUCUGUCCAGCUCAGCAGCAACUAUAUCUUCAACAACCGAUACCCCCAGUGAUCAUGCCAACUUUGUUGUAAUACCCAUUGUUGGCAUGGGCGGGAUAGGAAAAACAACUCUUGCUCGGGAGGUCUACAAUGACAAGGCCGUUGAAGAUUCAAAGUUUGAUGUAAAAGCAUGGGUUUGUGUCUCUGAUGUCUUUGAUAUUUUGGGCAUCUCAAAGGCACUUCUCGAAUCAAUCACCCGCAGGCCUUGUCUUCUGAACAGUUUAAAUGAAGUGCAGGUUGAGUUGAAAGUAGCUGUGGAUAAAAAAAGAUUCUUGCUGGUCUUAGAUGAUGUUUGGAACGAGGACUACAGCUUGUGGGUAGACUUAAAAGCUCCAUUCUUGGCAGCUGCACCAAACAGUAAGAUGAUCGUCACCACAUGCAAUUCAAAUGUUGCAUCAAUAAUGGGACCAAUUGAACAUUAUAAUCUCAAGAGACUGUUAGAUGAUGAUUGCUGGUCCAUUUUCAUACAGCAUGCACUUGAAUCUAGAGAUCUUAACGCACAUCAAAUUUCAGAAUCGUUCCACAAGAAAGUUGUUGGCAAGUGUGGAGGCUUGCCCCUGGCAGCAAAAACAUUAGCGGGCCUUCUACGUACUACGAGGCAUGAUGCCUGGGACGAUAUCUUGGAUAGCAAACUAUGGGAUUUACCACGACAAAAUGACGUUCUCCCUGUGUUAAGAUUGAGUUACCAUCAUCUUCCGUCUCAUUUGAAAAGAUGUUUUGCUCAUUGUGCCAUCUUUCCGAAAGAUUAUGAAUUCAAUGAGAAGGAGCUGACUUUCUUAUGGAUGGCUGGAGGUAUUAUUCGACAGUCAAGAAAGAAUGAGCAGCUGGAAGAAUUGAGCAGCAAGUGCUUUCAAGAUCUAGUGUCGAGGUCUAUUUUUCAACAAACCAGCUCUGGUAGUGCUAAAUUUGUAAUGCACGACCUUAUCCAUGAUCUUGCUGAAUUGGUUUCUAGAGAAACCAUUUUCAGGUUAGAGGAGUCCACCAACUUGUCAUCAAGAAGAUUUGAAAGGGUUCGCCAUUCUUCGUAUGCCCGUGGUAGGCUUGAUGGUAAAUCUAAGUUCGAGGUUUUCAAUGAAAUUGAACAUCUACGAACAUUCUUGCCAUUAUGCAUAAGAGGUGGCGUUACUUCUGGUUAUAUAACUAGCAUGGUUCUCUAAGAUUUGUUGCCGAAGUUCAAAAGGUUGAGGAUGCUGUCUUUAGACGGAUACCGUAUUAGUGAGUUACCAAUUCCAUUUGAAGAUCUGAGACUUUUAAGGUUCCUAAACCUUGCUGAUACUGACUUAAGAAGUUUACUUGAGUCAACAUGCGCAUUGCUGAACUUGGAAAUUUUGACAUUAAGAAAUUGUUCCCGUUUGAUAAAGCUACCGCCCAAAAUGAUGAACUUGAUCAAUAUUCGUCAUCUCGAUAUAAGAGGUGCAAAUUUGUUGAAGGAGAUGCCAUUCGGAAUGAAAGAGUUGAAGAAUCUUCAAACAUUGUCCAACUUUAUUGUGGGCAAGGGUGAAACUGCAUCUGGUUUGGAAGAUUUAGGAAGUUUAAACUUUCUUUGUGAUGAACUUUGCAUUGCUGGAUUAGAGAAUGUGAAUAAUCCACAGAAUGCAAGAGAAGCCGCAUUAUGUGAGAAGCUCAAUCUUCAUGCAUUGACUCUAGAUUGGGGGUCUCAAUUUGACAAUUCUCGAGAUGUAGCAGUAGAAGAGCACGUGCUUGACAUUCUACAGCCUCAUAAAUGUAUAAAAAAGGUGGCAAUCAGGAACUAUGGUGGUGCAAGAUUUCCACUUUGGAUAGGAGAUCCGUGGUUCUCCAAGAUAUAAUUCCUUGAAUUGGAGAACUGUAACAAUUGUGUAUCUUUGCCAUCGCUUGGUCUAUUGAGUUCACUUAAGCACCUUGCUGUCAAAGGGCUGAAGAAGCUAAAAAGCAUAGAGUCUGAAGUUUAUGGGGAGGGUUUCUCAAUGCCUUUUCCAUCAUUGAAGAUUCUACGUUUUGAGAAUUUGCCAGAGUGGUGGCAUUGGGACACCGAUAUCAAAGGAAAUGUGCACGUUGAUAUAUUUCCUUGUCUCCAAGAACUUUCCGUUGUGAAAUGUCCCAAACUCUCUGAAAAACUGCCUGAGCUUCUGCCCUCCUUGGAGAUACUUGUUGUUAGUAAAUGUGAAAAGUUGGUAGUUUCAUUGUCAAGCUAUCCAAGGCUCUGCAGAUUAGAGGUUGAUGAGUGCAAAGAACUAGUGUGCAGGAUCCCAAUUGAUUCUAAGUUGAUAAAGUUCAUGACUAUUUCAAAUAGUUCAUUAGACAUGAUUGGAUGCAAGGGGAUGCUAU